CUAUAAAUAGCUUGGGCCACCCAAAGCUUCAUCAUCCUCCGAUCCAUCCAUCUCUCGCCCAUAUCUAGUCUAGAUACUAAUAGCUUAGAAGCUAGCCCCACAUCUCGGUCGAUCAUAUCUCAACAAUGGCUUCUCGUGCCGCCACGCUGAAGAUGGCCACUGCAACUGCCCUUGUCCUGCUGGUCCUGCUAUGCAUGGCGACCUCACCUGUGACUGCCUGUACCACCACCUGUCAAUUCGCUUGUGGUACCUUUGCUAUACAAGUCUGCGGUACUUGUUCCACUUCCACGACAUGCAUCACUGAGGCUGAAAAGGUGUGUAUCAAGACCUGCACCGAAACCUGGUGCGGUAAGGUAUUUCUGCCAUGCCUCUAAGAAUAUGCAUGCAUGGAUUCGGAUCGGAUGGCUUAAUCGAUCUAUUCCGACUUCCUCGCUAGCACAUAUAUGGUUGUUGUUGCAGAGAAUAAAGGUGAGUGCAUGCAUGGAGGCAGCCUCUCCCCGUAUCGUGUGGUAUGUGGGAGGGCCUGCAUGCAUGAUGAUCCACGUUACUUUUUCCAAAAAACAUUCUAGUUAUAUUAUCUUAUGAUUAUUAUCAUCGCAUGUUUCUGUCGCCGGCAUGAUGCAUGGCGCGUACAAUAAGACGACGUCCUACUAGCGUAGGAGUAUUGUACACCUCUCUCCAUGCAUAUGUAUAAAUGGAAGGAGGAUUAAUAAUUAAUGUAUGUGCCCAUCUUGUGCCGUUGUGCAUGUCAACAUGUAAUUUCCUCUCAGGUUCUACCAGGGGCUUGAGGGAAUAUACGAUCAUGGUAUUAUCAUUAUAUAAUUUAUGAACUUCUCUAGCUAUUAUGAUGAAAUGAUAUUGUCCUGAUUAACAAGGCAGCUGGCUUCGUGCCUUGAACUAAUACUUCAUGCGACAAUUCGCUCUAUAUAUAUUCACGAAUUAAAUCUUCUCUCAAGUCACCGGUGCCAAAUCAACAAACUCCACUCUGUGUGUUGGAAUAUAUAGAUAGACAAGUGAAAGACAAGGAUCCUUUAAUAAUUAAAAAAGCACCCAAAAGUGUUGGCAGCCGCUGGUCAAAAAUAAACUUACCAUCUAUAACUAUAAGAUAUAUUGAUUGAUUUGGUUUUGGGCAUGCUUACUUGAAACACAAACUACUAUAUCAUUCUUCCAUUAUCUAGGAAUCAGGUGGGGGAAAGAAUCACUGCACAUCGUAUUCUGCUUCAGUGCUAGAUCAUGAUAUUGUAGCUUGUUUUCAUGCACUCAAUGAUAUAAGAUUGGAGCCAAGAAACACAGCAAAACCCCCUAUUGAUCGAUGAUCAUCAACAUCUUCUGUCCAAUCAGUAUCGGAGAAAGCACUUAUCAAAUUUGAAUAUGACUUUCUAACAUUAAGUUCAAGCUUCAGUGUCCCAUGUACGUACCGCAGUAUACAAAGUUGGCGGCUGAUAACCAUCUUCGCUUGCAUCGGUAUCUGUUGGUGGAACUGAGUUUGGCUGUGGCAGCAACCAUAACAGGAGACAUAGUAGAUCAUUGAAACUACAGUCUGACCAGUCAUACUUAGCCUUCAAGAUGAGUAGCUCAAGCACAAAACUUUACAUUGUCCAGUUCAACACCGUACAAAAUCACCUUCCUUGCUUUUUAACCAUUUCUAAAUUUUCUAGAUUUUUGAUGCUCUUUAGUAUAAUCUAUGUUCCAAUGGCCUAAAGCAUUUCCUCCAAACAAUCAGUAUCAUCUUUGUCCCUGACACAUCCUCCACCAUCAUUAUUGGCACCAUCUUCGUCGUUACCAUCCCAACCACCAGCAUCACCUUGUUCAUGGCCAUCAUCCAUUUAUGCAUCAAGCUCUGCUACAUAUCGGUCUUGGUAAUCUAGGCACAUUCGUUGGAUUCUUUAUUAGGAUAAAUGAUAACAAUUGUUUCACUAUGAUAAGUCCACACGGUGUAGUCCUUAACAAAUCCUCGCAUAAUCAAGUGUGAUAUGAUGAUAGUCACAUCUUUCCAUGUGAGAUGGUUCUUGCAGUCGCUACAUGGACAAAUAAUUUUAGUAUUAUUGUAGGUAAACAUUACAUGCUUCUAUGCGGCUUCAAGAAAUUUAUCCACUUCAAUUCGGAACCUGGCUCCCACUUUUUUUGUACCAUACAUCUAGGAGUUCUGGUAGUCUAUCUAUUAGGACAAUAAUCAAAGAGAAAAGUUAAAGGACUAAUUAUUCAUAUAUAUAUAUAUAUAUAUAUAUAUAGAGUACUCCUGGUCAUAUAAGAAUAUUGAUUUCUCCACCUACUUGUUUACGAUAAACAAUUUUUAGUAUAACAACAAUUAAUAUUUUCCCAUUAUCCUUCAUUCAAACUUAAUCUCAUUAUGUCAAACAAAAAAUAAUAAGAUUGUAGUUAGCAAAAAAAACAACCCCUAGUUCUAGAUCUCGAUGUAGAUCGAACAUCCAUAAAACUAACUUGUCCACUAAUGGUAUUGGUAGAUCUAGAUGUAGAUCAAACAUCAAUUAAUCAUCCAUAAAACAUCCAUAACUUGCUCACGGGGGCACAGGAGCUUGGCAUGUCAGAUCCCCUCGCGGUCGCGCAUUGGUAGCCGGUUGUCGGUGCAAGAUUUGGCCGAGAGCCUCACCAACAAGUAAACCGUGCUCUGCGCGUGCUAGACACGGAUGGUAGACAAUUUGACACUCGGUUUGUACUGGUUUGGGCCCUCGGAUGGGUCCCUACAUCUAGUGGGAAGUUCAGCUAGUAUUGUUCUUGCCAAUAUGGCUUGCAGUAGGGGUUAAAAGCUGUUUGAGAGAGGAAGGAGGUUCCCAAGUCUCUGGUGUAAGGAGUUGGUGUGUAUCGUUGUAAUUAUGGGUGGUGCACUCGAGUGUUUGUGUCACCAUUGUUCCAUUUUAUGCUUAGCCCCAAGCCCUUUUAUAGAUGAAGGCUGGGGGUGUACAUGUGUUGGGAGUGACCAGAACUAAAUAAGUCUUCAGGGUACAGCUCCUUCCUUUAGUUUUGAACGAACAAGAGGCAAGAUACGCUUGUUAAGCUUCAGACAUAUAGUUUAGUAGGAUAGCAAGUUUUAGACAACAGCAUUCAGUUUUCAGCAAGAAUCUAAACUAAAAUACGUAGAUUAUGCAUCAUGAGUGGUGAAGAAAAAACUAAACUUACAUCAGGCUAACUAUCCAGUGCUCAUCUACUAUUCAAACAUAGUGCUGGUAGAACCAGAGUUAGAUAAUCAUCUUGAAUUGACUCAAAAUUAUCAUGGGAUACAAUUUACAAAUGCAUGCUGCAAGAAAAAAAUCUCCAUAUUUUAUUGGUGAAACUGAAUACUUUGAUAAUCAAAGAACCCAGGACCCCUGUUUAUGGUUUUUUUAAGUUUCUUUAUAUAGAGGAUAUAAAUAUUUUACAGUUAACAUUUAUUAACCGCAUGUGGGUCGAACCAGUCAGUUAGGACACAUUUAACUUUGACAUGGGUCCCCCCAGUCCAUCUAGGACGUGGCUGUGGCAAGGUGAUUUUUUUUUAAAAAAUAUGUUUUUCAAUAAUGAUGAUCAUAUUCGAUCACUUUCAUCAUGAGCUAUUGUCACAAAGAUUGGGAAGGGUGAAUGGUGACGGUUGUUUAUGACUAAAGCACAUCUUGGUCACAAACGCUUGUCAUCCAUUGAGAACUUGUCGUAAACACGUCGUUUCUAUGACUAAAAAGUGCUUUAUCAUAUGAAAAUUGUCAUAGAAGGCCCAAUCUCUUGUAGUAUAGUUAAAAAAAGAGGAAUUAAAAUAUGUGAUGCACAUGCUAGAUGCAGUUAACACUACUACGGAAUGAGGCAUUGGUCGAUGCCCAAAAUGGCCAAAAACCUCGGCCUUUUUGCGGCCCGGGGUUAAAGGCCCCUUUAACACCGGUUCGUAACACGAACCGGUGCUAAAGGGUCCUGCCCAACGGCUACUGACAGGUGCUGUCAGGGCAGGAACCCUUUAGCACCGGCCUGUGCCACGAGCCAAAGCAAAGCCUUUAGCACCGGUCUGGCACAAAAACCAGUGCUAAAGGGUGACCCUUUAGCACCGGUUUUUGCCCUGAACCGGUGCUAAAGCUCCGGUUUAUAGGCCCGCCUUCUCCUUCCCUCUGCCCAUUUGAAACCGAGAGCACCAUUGUUGUUCUUGGAGCUUCUUCUUCCUUGUUCUUCAUUUGUUCUUCAUCUCCGACGCCCAUCGCUGAUCUUCUUCGACUCCGUCAUCGUUUCUUCGUGCUUGGAGGUGACUAACUUUAGUGUUUCUUGUCUUUUUCAUGUUGUUUUUGGCUUGUGAUGUUCCCAUUAUUUUUAGCUCAAAUCCACUUUGUUAUUUUGAAUCAUUCACAUGAAUUAGUAUCCAUAUAUAUAUAUAUAUAUAUCAUAUUUCAUGGUUGAUGGUUUACCUAGUAUUAAUGUAGUUUGCAAGAAUGAAUUAUAGUAUCUUUUUAUGAUCUUAGAAAGUAGGAUAGUUCAAAUUAAUUGGUUUGUUGUAACACCCAAAAUUUGGAUUUCACUUAAUACGAUUUAAUUUGAUUUAAUUAAGUAUUUUGUGAGCAUUUAAAUUUAGCAUUUAAAUAAUUUUCGGGAAAUUAAAAUUUAUCAUAAGUUUAGUAACAUGAUUUUGUGCAUUCAUGCUGGAGCAUAGUAUUUUUGUGUGUUGUUCAUGUUUUUAUUUUAUUUGUUGUUGCACAAAAUGUUGUUUGGAAAAAUGUUUUGGAAAAAGAAAACAAAAAAGAAAUUGAAAAAAAAGAAAGAGGGAAGCCCUCCCUGUCGGCCUGGCGGCCCAGCCAGCGCCUGGCUUUCCCCCGCAGCGCGCGGCUCAGGAAACCCCCGAAGCCCAGCAACAGGCCGCAGUGCGCCUCUCCCCCCUCUCUUGGUCACUGGCAGCCGGGCCCUCUUCUCCUUCUCUGGCUGCCAUGCGGGACCCGCCAGUCAGCCUCCUCUCUCACUUUCCUUCUUCUUCCCCGCCAGGACGCGCGCUGGGAAGUUUCCUCGCCGAUUCAAACCCGGAUCCUACGAUUUCCUUGCCGUUUUCGUGGAAUUAAACCCCUAUAUAUGCUUCAAACCUCGCCCGCACUCCAUUUUUCCCAUCGCGCCGCGGAAAUCGAGCCCUGGCCGCCUAGCUCAUCGCGUUCUUGAUCUCGCAAAGACCGCGUUGCUUCUACACCGCGAACCGAGCUCUCUGCUACUCCUCGGGUCGAGCCGACCUCCGUGGUGAGCUCGCCUUUCCCUCCUCUUCAACCCGGUGUUUUUCUUUCUUGAAACGGUGCUCGGAAACGAGAAGCUCGCGUACGCCGGUGAACUCCGUGGCGGCGCCCAUGGUCACCACCGCGCCGGAGGUCCCCUUGGCAGCCGGCUGCCGCCGCCUGGCGCCCCAGAUGCACUCGAGCCGUCCAGAUCGAGAUCAAGGGCCCAGAAACAAGGAUACCCCUUCACUUGCUGUUUUGCUAAAGAGCCCCUGGAAAAGUUGAUAACCAACCCGCGGUCCAAGGCGUAAUCACCAGUUUACGUUUUCAUUUUCUAAAAGCGUAUUUCCUCCGGUUUGAUUCAAUUACGCUUUCCAGAAAUUGUAGAAAUGCCACUGAUUUUGUUUUCCUCAUAAAAUACUCAUUUUAACUCUGUUUUAGUCCAUUCAAAUUCCGUUGGAUUCGUAUUUACGAUCUCUACAUGUUAGAAGUAUUUAUUCUCUGUUUUGAAACCUUUUAAUUCUGCAGUAGCAUUUAAUUAAUUAUUUCGCUAUAGGAAAUCUUGGAAAAUUCAUAUCUUUCACGUUUUAAUUCCGAUUUUCAUGAACUUUACGUUUGUGUGAUCGUAGCGCUGCGUAGAAUAUUUUCAUAAACUUUUAUCCUUGAUUUCUCACUGUUUGGUGUAUUGUUCUAAUUAUAUCUUGUUUGCUUUGUGUAUGAUUGUCUACAUUGGAUUGCGUGUUGUUGAUUGAUGUUUGGGAAUAGACGGUGAGCCGUACGUUGGUGAUCAAGACCAAGCUUUUGAAGACCAGCGGGCUCAGGAGAGCUUUGAGCAAGGUAAGUAUAACUUGGGAUCAUCCUUGUUACCUAUUCACUAUUAACUACAUAUAUAUAUAUAUCAUAUGCAUGCUAUCACCUUGUCGACCUUAGCAAAAUCAUAGAUGAGUGUUACCUGUAUUCCUUGCUACCUACUUGAUAUGCAUUUGUUGUAGAUGUGCUAGUGCUUGAUAUAAUCCAUGAUCUUGUAAGAUGAUUAAUAGCUGUGCAAUGAACCUAAAAGAAUGACAAAUAACUAUAUGAGAUCUUGUCUGUAAGUGAUCACCGGGACAAUAGUGCAACCAUGAGGGCUAUAAUGGCUCUGGCUUUAGCUCAGUAUGAAGCCCUUUUCUAGCUUGUUAGAGGUUACCUGAAAGGGCGGAGGGGCUGAACCGUUUUGGGUAUAGUGUGGCCUCUGUCUGUAUGAGUAUAGGCUGCGAGUCAUUGUGCCAUCGGAAGGGGGGCUCUAUAUCUGCGCGCAAAGGAAACCUUGCGGCCCUAACUUGUUAGACGAACUUUUGAAAGGCUUCAUAGUGAUCCCUGCCGACCUCCCUAGGAAGAGGGUUAAGAGAUUAGCUACCUCGGGCGAAAGGGUAAAUCAUGACUCAUGGGUAAAGAUGUACAACCUCUGCAGAGUGUAAAACUGGUAUACUAGCCGUGCUCACGGUUAUGAGCGGCCUUGGGGGUUCUUGCUGCGCCGACGAUGAGCUUAUUAAGUUGUUAUGUUCAUUUGAUUAUCGUUUAUGCUAUGAAUUAAUUAUGCUUACACUUGAUCAUGUGAUUAAUGGAUUAUUUAAGCUACCUUGAAAUUUGCUAUUUAAUUAUGAAUAUGCUAUCCACCAUUAAAAGCUAAAUGUAGUCAAACCAGUGUCAGCUAUUUGAGCCUCAUGAACCCCUGGUUAUACUUGUUGAGUACGAUAUGUGAUCACUCUUGCAAUUUUCCAACACCUCAGGAUAUGUUAAUGAAGAUGACUGGAAUGAGGAUUAUCGCUAUGAGUACUAGGUUUGGAGUCAACCAGUCAACAAUGUCCCUGUGUGGAGCUUCCGUCGAGAGCGUGAUUUACUUUAUGCUAUCAUUUUUGUAUGAGACUUUGUGAUAUAUUAUAUUCCGCUAUGUAAUAAACACUGCAAUGGUACGUUUGAGAUUUGUCUACUUAUGUGUGCGACUAUUCCUGGGGCACAUAUGAGUCUUUUAUGUAUCCUAUUUUGUUCUUAAAAUAUGGGUGUGACAUUUGUUAAUAUCACUUGAUUUAUUUUUAUUACUACAUAAUGUCCAUUGUAUAAUUUAGAAGAUUUGUUGAAGUAAUUAGACAAAUAAAGGAUAUUAUUAGGUUCUUCUUUAAUCAUACGUGUUUACUAGUAAAUGUGGAAUUUAUAAUUGUUUAAAAAUUGAGUAUGGAUAGUAGAUGGCAACCGUGACCGGGUCUUCGGUCUCUCAACGGGUUCAAAAGCGAUACCGGCCGGAACUUCCUCUCAUUACGUGUGGCAAGUGUGGGCAGAAGAUUGUGAUGGAGUACAAAGUGUCGAAAGAGGGAGUAAACAAGGGUCGUAUAUUCUACAAGUGUCCGGAUCGUAAUGUGAGUUAUUUCUAGACAUUUGCUUAUAUAUGUGCAUAUUUUUUUAAAUGAUAUUAAUUAAACUUUUGAUUCUCUCUUUUAAUUUCAGUGGGACGGUACCGGCGGAUGUACAGGUUGGUACUAGGAGGAAGAAUACAUUGAACACAUUAAGAAAUCUUUGCACAGGUGGUUGAGGCUGAAGGUGGUGAGGCAGUGAGCCGAGGAAAGGAGUUCAAUGAUGUUGAUCAAGCGAAUGAUCUAUCUAUUAUAGUUGGGAUCGGACGCGAACUAAUUAUGUUGCUUAAGUGCAUUUUAGUUUUGGUUUUUUAGUGCUAGUUGCGAUUGUAUUUGUUGUAGCCAAGCUUUCUUGAAUUAAUCAACUAUGUAUCUUAGACAUGUUGUGCAAUAAGAUGAGAAACUAUAUGUGUGCAUGGUUUUCAUAAUAUAUAUGUUAUAUUUAAUGCAGAUGGUAACACGUAAUUGGAUGUAUAAUGCCGAUCGGCGCUCCGAAGAGUUCAUUAAUGGCGUGCACUAUGACUAAAGCACAUCUUGGUCACAAACGCUUGUCAUCCAUUGAAAAAUUGUCGUAAACACCUCGUUUCUAUGACUAAAAAGUGCUUUGUCAUAUGAAAAUUGUCAUAGAGGGUCCAAUCUCUUGUAAUAUAGUUAUAAAAAAGAGGAACUAAAAUAUGUGAUGCACGUGCUAGAUGCAGUUAACCAAAAAUGAAUUGGUUAGUAAAGGAAAAUAGCAUGACACAAAGAACAAUGUUUGUGAAUAGGUGAAAGGGCGAGGUUAGAUCCAUAAAAGCGCUACAAUGGACAAUAUUUUAGCAAUUAAAGCCUUCUAGGGGUUAUUCAAAAGGUGUACAAGAGCAUCUCCGAUAGUUUUAAAAAAUAAUUCAUAAUUCAAUUAGUUUACCAAGUGUCUAAAAAAGUUGGGAGCACAUUUGUUGGGUUUGUCCAAUAGUUUUUGAAAUCUUGCACCUAAAAUAUAGGGAGAAAUUUUGCGCCUAGAACCCCUUAGUAUUUGCAAUCACCCUAACCACCCUUAUACUUUUCUUUAUAUUUUGUAUAGUUGCAUUGAGAACCCUAUCCUACUCUUUAUUGUUCUCUCCGUCCUUCCACUUCUAGAUUGGCCGUCCAAUUUCCCAAGUGCAGAAAGAUUAAGAGUUGAGUUAGGUAGUUGUUGGAGAGUGGUAUUUUCAAUGCCAAGAAAUAAGAUUGGGAGUGGCUUUUAAAAACUCUUAGAGAUGCUCUAACACACAUAGAUUAUAUUGGGCACAGUAGUAUUCUCCAAAAUCUUUUCUAUAAAAGCCUAAGAAAACAUCCAUGGUGGACGGUCGCACACCCAUGCCGAACGUGGAUUCACCAAGACAUGCGCCAAGGCUAGCCAUGGACUCGUCGAACGCUGCUGCUCACCUUGCGCCGCCACUUGCUGCAUGCCACUACAUACCAUGAGCCACCACUCAUCGCUGAUCACUGUGCUCCUGCAAAGGGAUGUUAUGGUGGAUUCAUAUAUGUGUGGUGGUGAGGAGUGGAAAGAAGUGAUGUUUUCACGGUUCCAUCCUCUAUAGUAGAAAAAUGGCUUUGACACCCCUAGACUUCUACACCAAAGUCGCUUCUUCCUUGGCGGUUUAGUAGGGUUUCAGCUAAAACCGCUUGAAAAACUCCUGUCAAACGAGGUCAUAUGUUUGUUCUCUCAUACCCAUCGCUCUAGUUCUUGCUCUCUCGCUUCCCCAAAAAUCCACAAUUAUCCUAGCACCACUGUCUCGUUCUCCCCAUGGUCGUCCCACUCAUUCCUAUCAUGGCCCUCAAUGAGGCCUAGAUUAUGGACUGUGCCAACCUGACAAGGCCUCACCAGCUACUAGUCAUAAUCAUAGUUAGCCAAUGGAUAAACUAGGGAGUUGAAUCUAAGAUAAUUCUAUAACUACGCCAAUGAAUAACUCUAAUUAGUGCAAUUACAUCUAGAAAUCAUCGUUAAGUCAACCCUAUAUCAUAAUUACAUGUAAAGAGGCAUCAAUUAAUGAGGGUAUUAAGACACAAGGGUCACGUCUUCGCGACCGCGCCCAUGCUUGUCCUACGGAGGGUGGACUACAGAGGAUCCAAUGCAGUUGUCACCUACGCGGUGUACCACAUGUCCCGGCACGUCAGGGUGCACUCGUAGACAAACAAGAUAUCUAGACACCACGUCUACAUAUUGUCUAUCAUCUACCCAACGAUCGAUUAGGUAAACGCUAUACGAGCAAUUACAUUAAUUCAAUAAGAUCAAACCAACUAUCCUAGACAUAUAAUCAAAGUAGACAAUGACUAAUGCAAUUAAGAACAUAUGAAUCUAUUAAGAAUAAAGUCUCCCUAAUAUACAACUGAAUACUGUACUUCUAAUCUAACUAACUAGAACUAUGAACUAGAAGGCGCUUGUUGAACUUGAAGGCGCUUGAUGCUUGAUGGCUUGAGGCUUUGAUGAAUAAUGAAUUGGCUCUCUCUUGGGGGUCUACCCAUGUAUUUAUAGUUCGGUGGGAUGCCCGUGUGCCAUAGGAUCAAACCGACUUAACCAAGGGCCGAGAUGCAUCUGGAGAGGCGGUGGAGGAAGCUUCUAGAAGAGAAGGGCCAAAACCCUAAUGGGGCAUCGGCCGGCACUAUGGUGGGGCCAGCCGGCCCCACCUAGCAGCCGCUAGGCCCCCCGUUGCUUCGGGUGCCUUCUCGAUCCUUUCUGAGUCUUCCCGCGGCAUUUCCCGUAGCGGAUAAGUUUCGUAUUUAUUUUGCACUAGAGUCCCUCUUUUCACCUUUCCUAAAAUUCACCCUCGAAAAUAUAGAAUAUACAAAACUCGUGGAAAUUGUCAGAUAAAACCCUAGACCAGUGUGUUUUUAUGUUUUCUUUCAGGUCUAAAGUUUAUAAUAAAAGUUGACGUUAUCGACCGUCAACAUAGACCUCGGAGCAAGGUUCGCUAAAAGGUAGAAGAAUAAAAUUAACCCUACUAAUAACUAACCUCAGUCAACGACAUAGUGGUAUACCAAAAACCUAUUUUAUAUUUCCAAUUAAUAAACACACAAUCUUAAUCAAUCUAGACCUCCAAAAUGGCCUCCAAUGGAUGGUGGCUUGUAACACCCUAAAAUUCGCAUCUUUUAAAAUAGGGCUAAAAUAAUUUAAUUAUGUAUUUUUUUUGCGGUCAUGAAAACAUAGGAAAAUAAUUUUUUUCAUCAAAUUAAAAUUUAUCAUAGGGUUUAGCAAUAUUGUUAUGUAUACAUGCUGGUGCAUAAGAUUUGAUGCAAUGUUUGCUUAUUUCUCGUUGUGUGUUGAUAGUGAGAAAAGAAUUUAAAAAUGCGUUUAGUAGGUCGAUCUUCCUUCUUCGGCACGCAUUUAUCUUUUUAUACCAUCAAAUUCUUUGUCUCUCAGCUCAAGAUUUCAUUCAGAGUCUCUUAGAAUCUUUUCAUUCAAUCCUAAGUUUCCUUUCAGUUUCUCGUCCAUCAAGCAAUCUUUAUAAACUUCUCGGGAAUUUUUCCGACCUUUUUUUCGUGAGCAUAAUCUAAUUUUUAUAUGUCUCUACAUAUCUUUUCAUGAGCUCAAAAUACUUUAUUUGGGCUCCUCAUGUUCUAAAGUGCCUCUAAUAAGAAUUUUCCUCAAAAAAUUUGAAAGCCUUCGGAGUACUUUUCGGGACUUAAAAAUCAAAUCUAGACUUUACUGGAAUUAUUUUAAUUUCGAAAUUAAUAAAAUAUCUCUUUUUAAUGCUCACUGUCCAUAUAGAAUAAUUCUUGUAAAUCUUAAAGAGCCAAACACGAGAUUGAAAAUAAUAUUAGGGUUUUAUCCUCUACGCGCCGCCAUUGAAGAUCAAUCUGUCGCUUAUAAAUUUCUGUUGGUGCCAUCAAUUGGCGAAUCGACACUGUAGCACUUUCGUUUGUAUUUGACAAAUAUUGUCCAAUCAUGGACUAACUAGGCUCAAAAGAUUCGUCUCGUCAAUUCCGAUCAAAUUGUGCAAUUAGUUUUUAUUUUCGUCUAUAUUUAAUACUUCAUGCAUGCGUCUAAAGAUUCGAUGUGAAGGGGAAUGUGAAAAAUUUUGCAAAAUUUUCUGGGAACUAAACAAGGCCCAAAUCGAAGGCCACUUGUAUCGAGUUGAAAUUGGUGCGCUUGUCCUGAAAACCAAUGAACACGUCGUUCCCAGUAGCACAUGCCAGGCGGAGCAAAGAAUCACCGCCGCCAGCUGCAUUACUUUUUCAUCCGUAAGGUAAUUUGGAUUUCUUUUUUUAUGGUUUUGCACAUAGAUCGAGGGCUUCAAGUUGCAGAUCGUGUGUUCCUGUGCAUGGAUGGAGAUUUGGUGAAUUUUGUUACACGAGCCUCUUCCCUCCUACACGAUGUAGCAGCAGCUGCUCCAUGCCUGCAAGGCCAUGUUCGGGAAGAACUUUACAGCCAGAUGCAGUUAUUUACAGUUUUGCCACUUCUGGUUUAAUCUCCCGCCGGAUUCGAAUAGUUCAAGUUGCGUUAGGUUUAUAACCACAAAAAAUUCAUGUUAGUAAUUAUUAAAUAAAAUAUUAUAUUUCUUAAUGUAGAUACAACUAGUUUUAUAAUUAAAAUCAACUUAGUGUUUUCACACCAGAUCUUUUAUAAACUUUUUAUACUGAUUUACAUGUUUGGUGUACUGUUCUAAUUAUAGCCUUGUUUGUUUCGUGUAUGUUUUCUUUGAUUGUUUGUGUGAUCGAUGAUUGAGUUUAGACGGAGAGCAGUUUUGGGUGAUCAAGAUCAGAGCUUGGACAACGAGUAAAGACCAGCAGAACCAAAAGGAUCAGCAAGAGCAAUUGGAUUAAGGCAAGUAUAGCAUUUGGAUUUUAUUUCUGUGACCAUGAUCCUGUGACUAGAUUAAUGUUAAGUAAUAAAUGAUAAAAAUAACUUUUUAGCAACUGGAUGAUUUAUCUGUACGUGAUCACCCGGGACAACAGUGCAACCAUGAGGGCUAUAAUGGCUCUGGCUUUAGCUCAGUAUGAAGACCUUUUCUAGCUUGUUAGAGGUUACCCGAAAGGGCGCUAGAGGGGCCUAACCGUUUUGGGUAUAGUGUGGCCUCUGUCUUUAUGUGUAUAGGCUGCAAGUCAUUGUGCCAUUGGAAGGAGGGCUCUAUAUCUGCGCGUCCGGGAAACCUUGCGGCCCUAACAUGUUAGACGAACUUUUGAAAGGCUUCAUAGUGAUCUCUGCCAACCUUCCUUGGUAGUGGGUUAAGAGGCUGAUCAUCUCGGGCGAAAGGGUUAAAUCAUGUCUCAUGGGUAAAGAUGUACAACCUCUGCAGAGUGUUAAAACUAGUAUACUAGCCGAGCUCACGGUCAGGAGCGGCCUUGGGGACAUCUACAUUAAGGGUGAUGAAUCUUGUAUGUUAAAUAUGCUCAUUGUUUAUUGUUUAAUGCUUUACAUUAUUUAUGUCACAUUGAUCAUGAGAUUGUGGGAUCUAUAUAAUCUAGUUGCUAUACUUGUGGAGUUCGACAUGGACUCACUCUUGCUAUUUCCCCCAUACAUCAGGAGGAGUGUUAGGCUUGUGAUCAACCAGUCAGUUGGAUCCUGUAGAGUGAAGUUAAUACCCGAAGUUGGAGUUGGCUAUCCGCUGUUUGCUAUUAAAGGUUAUCUCUUUUAUACUAAGUACGCUAUAUAUUUAUGUAUUGUUUUUUGAUAUUACCCUUUAUUUGUAGCUAUAUGUGGGAUUUGACUUCUAAAACUCACAUAUGGUGCGUAUCUAAUUUUUUCCUUAAAAUCGGGUAUUAUAUGGCUGCGAGAAACAGUUCUGCUUGAGGAGCACGAAGAGGUAUUUAUACUAGAAACUUCACUGGCGACUGGCUUAAGGAACCGCCAAUGUAAAUCCAUUUACACUAGCGGUUCACUUAAGAAAACCGCUAGUGUAAAUGGUGCAUUUCUACUGGCGGUUUACUUAAACCGCCUGUACACUGGCAGUUCACUUAAGUAAACUACUAGUGGAAAUGCAUCAUUUACACUGGCGAUUUUCUUAAGUUAACCACUAGUGCAAAUUUGUUUCCACUGGCAGUUCUUGAAUCGGGCCGGCCAUUUUCUUUGCAGUGGCGCGGGAUAAUUGAAACCGCCUUUAAAUUAGACACAACCGCCGUCAUAGAGCAUUUCUGUACUAGUGAUAACGUCACCAAACUUUUACUAUUGCUACCACCAUAAAUCUAUGGAACCUCAUUUCUUAGUGAAAGUGCCCGUCAUCUCUCAGGAUAUAAAAUGAUAGUGUUGCUUCACACAGAACCAUUUGCUUUCUCCAAUUAAAAUCAAAAGUUUAGCUUCCUGCUGAACAACAGUGCUGUGUAUGACAACUCAUUUGUGGCAACCAGCGUUCGAUAUCUAUUUUCUGGUUCCAACUAGAGCUAUUGCAUCGCGAUUUUUCCUCUACAACAUUGAAUUGCUACAAAAAAAAAUUUUGGCCAAUAAAAACAAUAGGUUUUCCAUAGCCAAAGUCAUCUGUAUUAAUUGUUUCAUGCUCAACCAAACUGAGCCUAUUUUUCAGACUGACAAACACCAAUUGGCAUUCUUUCUUUGCAGUAGAUUUGCCACGGCCACAGCUACACCUGCUGCUUCUGCUGAAACACAUACACGAACCAUAGAGCAGCCACACCUUUUGGAAGACAACAAGAUCUGCUUAUGUUUCGGUUCGAAGCCACUUCAUCAUCUCUUCCUCCAGUGAUCAGGCAUAUUCUAGCAAAAUGCUUAGGCUACAUCUACAUGCUUACCAUGUGUGUCCUGCAUAUAGCUGUCACAUGUACUUUACUCUAUGCACCCGUGUUAUACUCUAUACACCCGUGCAAACUUAACGCUCAUCUGUUUUUAAUUCACCAUAUGAGAUACUGUUAACCGUCCAUGUCUUUGUCAUCAACGAUGCGACACUGAAAAGGUCUCUUCUUUUGUGUAUGGGCCUGUAAAAUUCCACUAAAUUUGAGUAUGGGCCUGUUUGGCUUGGCUCCAAGUGGAGUUAGCCAAACACCCCAACUCCAGAAAAUGUUGGAGCAGCCCAACUCCAUGGAGUUUUUAGAGCUCUAGUACAAAUUUUUGGAGUACCUCUUCUCCAACUCCGAAACUGACCAAAACAGACCAAGACGUGGAGUUGGGGCGAAAUUACCCGUAAUUGCCACUGGUUACACAAGUGAAUCAUUAUUUUUUCUAUUCUCCCUACCCCAACCCCUUCCCCUUCACGCGAGCAGACUCCCUGCCCCGACCCGACAACCUUCACGCGCGGACAGAGGGAGCCCAUGACUCCUGUCGCCACCGUCCGCUUCCAAGGGACGAGCAGGCGGGCGCCCCCCCUCUCUCCGCCUCUCUCCCCCGCCCCCUCCCUCCAUCCGCCACUGGCGGCCGGCGAAGGAGAAGACAAGGAGAAGGUCAUCCUCAACCCUAACCGUAGAAAAGGGGAAGAAGGGUGCCUCUCCACCCACCGGCGGCCGGCGAAGCAGAAGAAGGGCGACGUGAGGCACCCCCGAUGCUCCCCCAACCUUGCAAGGCAUCCCCAUCCCCAUCUCUAUGCUGUGUGUUUUUUUAAGAACAAUGAGUUCAUGGUUUUGGAGAACAUGCUGUGUAGAAUUAUUGAUUUCAUGGAUUAUUCAGAUUAUCUAAGAUUUAUUAUUUCAGAUUAUCUUGUAUGUUAUUGAAUUUUAUUUUAUAUGCAUCAAAUAUUUUUUCACCUAUAAUUAUCUUUUCACGUUCUCAUUUUUCCAAGAAUGCACCGUAUAUGCAUGGUUCAAUUUUAAAGCAAACGGCCGAACGUAACGGGUGCAUAUGUGAUUGAAGGCAAGGGUAAAGUAGGCAAAACACAGUGACAAAGCACGACUCUGAAGCUCAUAGUACCAUUCUAGCCAAAUACCCAGUGGCGAAUCUAGCCGAAAACAUUGUUGGGGUCAUCAGGGUCAACUUCACUAUGUGAUAUAAUUUUUCUUAAGUUUAAAUAGUAAUUUACAAAGGAUUUUACAAAUUUUGUCGGGGUAGGCGGACCCCGAUGAACAACCCUAGAUUUGCCUCUGCAAAUACCCCUACAGACAGCUCCAACUCCACUCAGAGCCAACUCCAGCUGGAUUUAUGAAGUGGAGCUGCUCUGUCUGGAGUUGGAGACAUGCUAAACAGGCCGCAUAUACGAUCAGUGACCUACACUGAUGGUACUCGAUCAUCAGUGACCUACACUGAUGGUACUCACUAAUAGGUUGCAUGACUCUUUUUUUUCUUUUUAAUUCUACAAGAAAUAACUGCCCCGCGGCGUCGCGUGGGGUACUAAUUAGUAGAUGCAAAUAUUAGAUACAGAUAUUGAUAUAAAUCUUGUGUGGUUAUCGAUCAAUGGCUUGAUGCAAUACGAUGAAAAACAUGAAUGUUGAAAUCUAUUCAAAUCUAGUCUGUUUGAAUGUGAUUUUACAACUGUGAGUUUUUUUAAAAAAAAUAAAUUCUUAAAAUUCCUUGCACCUGAAAACCCUUUCUACUUGCGUUUUUCAGUACCGCCUGCGCUGGAGGUCAGUAGAAAUAGGACAUUUCUACAGGCGGUACCUAAGAACCGCCUGUGGAAAUGCAGGCGGUUCAGUUAUGUUUUUCCAGAAAAUAGGAAAUCGGCUUUUUUUCGCGUAAAAUCGCGUGCUUCGCGGCCGGUGGGAUUCGAACCUGAGACCUUGCCCUUGCGCGUAGCCUCCUCUACCACUCCACCUAUCACUCACUUGUGUCUAUAUUAGAGUUUAGUUUCCAACAUAUUAUCCCAAACCGAGCAUAUAUUGAUUAUUUGAGGCCCUAAACGGAUUCCAAUGGAAAAGUUGUCAACUACAAAGUUUCAUAACUUUUUAAGAUCUACAACUUUUAUAUUGGAAGUUUUUCCAUCCGAGGUCAUUUACAAAAUUUGAAUUUCAAAUUUAAGAAAUUCAAACGUAGUUUUCGACGACAAGAUGAUGUCAGAUGAAAAAAUUAUCAACUACAAAGUUUCAUAACUUUUCGUGAUCUACAACUUUCAUUUUGAUAGUUUUUUCAAACAAGGUCAUUUGAAAACCUCAAAAAAUUAAAUUUCAAAUGAUUUCUAUAGGCGGUUCAGUUAGGAAAACCGCCUGUAAAAUGCAUCUUCACAGACGGUUCGUAGUUUUUACACCGCACUUUUUACACCACAGACGCGUGAUAACUACAACCGCCUGUAGUAUAAAAAAUGGGCGUCGGCGUUGUACUCUUUUCUACUAGUGUUGGAUCCAAACUGUGACGACGAUGUUGACCUUGAUGUAUGUAUUUUAUUGACUUUGAUGCAAACUCCAUGGGAUCCGGUGUUGCUGGACUCAUCGGAUCAAUGCAUGUGCGCAUCAAACGAAGUAGCAACUUGCAUACCUGAAUUGAAGCUACAACUACAUCAGAUAUGCAUGCAUCGUAGUACGUGAAUAUAUAUACAAACACCAUUAUCGUAUUUUAUGGAUCAAAACAAAAGAAAGGCAUAUAGCACUACACCAUUUAUAUCCCUAGCUGCUUAACGGCCUGUUUCAUGAGGCUAAGCUUUACCUAGCUAGUUCUAAAACUUAGCUAAAAUUAAACCUAGCGCAUUAAAAUAGUGUGACAGAAUUAUUUUUUAGCUAAAUAUAUUUAACUAGUUGUUAGUUAGUACGUGCCAUUUAAUUAAUUUAAAUUAGGUUUUAGUAUAACUAUUCAUCGAUUCCAGAGAGAUCAGACAGCAUGAGGACCGGAUCCAUAUACUUCCUCCAUACCUAUAAUACUUGACGUCAGUUUUAAGAAAAGUUGACGUUGUGGCCACUAGAGGCUUAAACGUGACGCAUUUGCCCCUGCGCCUCUUUGGCUGCCGCAACGCUUGCUGUGAUGAUUGGGUUUCGAACUCUGCACCCGCAAAUCGUGGUCACAGAGAGCUGCUCUAGCCAGUUGGGCUAGACAACUAUCUUGUGUGAAGAGCAGUCAUAACUCUAUUUAAUAGGGGUAGAGAUGGAAAAAUACCCUCUAAUUAAUCACUCCUUGGUAAGUACAAUCAUGUCCUAAACGUCAAGAAUUUCAGGAUUCAGAAAUAGAGGGAGUACAAUCUCUUUUGCUGAUAUGCAUGGUCAGCCUCACGUGAAACAAGGUACUUUGAUCUAGGAGUACAGGCCACUCGCAAAUCGAAACUUGGCUCCUGUGGCACUACGGCAUCUGAAACUAAUAAAUAGUCUCUGUUGCAUACGGUGUGCACAUGAAUGAAUGAAUGAGGCCGGGUACCCACUAGGCAAUUUUCCAGUUCUACCUUCAUAUAUCUUCCACUUGGUCAAAUUCGCACUAGUUAAUUAGGCUCGUUUUCAGCCUGUCACUAUUAAAAAGAGAAAGUGACCCUGCAAAAGAUAUAAAAAUAUCAAAGUCACAAUGUCGGCAGCAUCUAUCGAAUUAAGUGUCUAUUUACUUUGUCAGUCCCAAUGAAAAAAAGUCAUAGUAAUUUGUAUAGUUUAGGACACUACCAAGAAACUAUUCUUACCGGUAUAAAUUUUUUUACUACAGUCUAGAUAUAAAUUUUCUCAGUCAUCGAACGUGUUCCUCUCUUCCAUAUGUGGAUCCUGUGUGCAGUUGCCUUUUCUUUUAAUUCUCUUCCGUUUCUUGUUACACAUACACAAGAAUGUUCAACCAAUUAGAAAACAUUAAUCACUAAACUGAAAAGUUAGAUGGGACUACACAAAGAAGAACAAAACAAAAAUAAAAAAACACUGAAGUGCUUGACAAAUGUAAUUUGAGCAGCUAGCGAUACGCACAAAUCAAAAUAGCUGAAUGCAACACCUGAUCACGGCACGUUGCAGCGAACCGAGCGCCGAGGCCCUUGCCGGCCGGCACUGCACCUGCUGCCUCGGUAAGGAUGGGGACGGUGCUCUAAACGGAUACGUGCGGAGUGUAACUGAAUGAAGUAAAUAAAAAAAUGAGAGAAAAAUUGUCUAUUUAGUUCAUAAAUUACACUAGAGAAUAACCGCGGAUAUCCAUUUGUAGGGCCACCCCCUCCUUACGCCUCGGGCUCCAGUGAGGCCGGCUCCACUGCUGGCGCAGGAGGUGAAGGCAAAGGAGGUGACCGGCUCCAUACAUGAACUUACGAGGGCCAUCAACGAGAGCUGCAAGCGAGGAGUAGCGGCGAUGCGAACGAGGGCCAUCAACGAGCACAUGCAACUAGAGCAUGAGAUCUGGACCGAUAAGAAGGAAACCAUCAGUUUCUUCCCAACACGAUUUGCGUCGUUUCCUCAUGCAUGGAUACCUGAGAAGACUUCGUUUUCUAUCAAGAAAACAGUUUUUCUAUUUUCUCUUCUCUCUCUAUAAUAAAUCUACUGUCAUAUCAACAAUUUGUGCAGUUGGCAAAGUAACUAAUAGAGAUAGAAGCUAUCAUAAAUACUCCAUUGAGACAGCCCUAAAAUUGCAAUAUGAUUUUUUUCAGGCUGUACAAGUUUUUGGCACUCUCCUAUAUUACUACACAUAAUUUUUUGAUGUAAAGUUGAUGUUAUUACUUUUGUAUUUGAAAUAGUUAUUUAUAAUUUGAUUUUGUAAAAUAACUGUAUAUAUAGAGGAUAUUUUUGCAAUAGUUUGGCAAUAAAUGAAUUGGAUAUUUCCAAGAGGAUAUCUCCAAGAGUUUACCAAAACCACUUGCUAUCCUUAGUUUUUUUGGCAAAACUAGAAAAAUCAAACUCCAACAGUUUGCCAUAUGUCUUGGCAAAAUUUCCCAACUUGCAAUCCACCGAUCGUUCACGCGCAUAUUUGCGCGCGGUAGGUGACUUGGCAUCGCGUGAAUCGCCGGCCCCGCCUCCUCUCCCGUGCGCUCGCCUCCUCCCGGGUCGGACGGGUCCUCAACCUCGACUUCACCGACCGCGACUUCGCACGUGGCCAGCAGGCGUCGUCGCGGGCCGCGGCGGCGCCCACUAUGAGCUGCUGCCUCCGGCUCCACGCCGAGCACGGUGCGCCGCUCGACGUGUUCUGCGUGGUCCUUACAUCACCGGCGCGGGGCACUGGUGGCGCCGACGCGUGGGUCGCGUCCGCCGUGGCGAGGGGCGCCAGGGAGGUGCAGGUGGACCUGACGCCACCGCCGACAAAGGGGGGCGCCGUUGAUGAAAGCGCGGCGCUCGUUGAACUCCCCGGCGACCUGUUCAUGUCCAAGAACUCGCUGGCGCGCCUCACGCUCGGCGGGUUCAGCCUCCGCGCCAUCCUGCCUGGCGCAGCCGGGCUCGCGGGUCUCCACUCGCUCUCCGUCAGCCACGCCGACAUCACAAACGAGGCGGUCCGAGACGUUGUGUCCAGCUGUCGGGCGCUCGAGCACCUCAGCCUGAGGAGCUGCGGCCUCCUCAGAUCGGUUAUAAUCACCGACGCGACGUUGCGAGCCCUGGAGAUCGUGCGCUGCCCGGUCAUGUGGGAGCUCCGGGUCACCGCACCCGCGCUCGAGUCGUUCGCCUUCCAUGGCGACACCGUCUACUCGGACGACUACGAGGACCUCUAUUCUGCCGUCGACCUGGGCUCCACGCCGGCUCUGCGGGACGCGUAACUUUCUCACAUCGGCUUCGACGACGACGUGAACGCGUACCAGGAUACGCCUACUCCUGUAUAAAAGGUUCUCCACACCGAGUAGUAUAAAAGAUUUUGUUCCUGUGCUUGACACAGAUGAAGUGGGCCUACUUUUUAAGCUUUACCAAGCCCAUAUGGCAAAUUAUUGGAGAGACUAUAAAAUUUCACUUGCCAAUGAUUUAGCAACUUGUCAAAUCACAAGAUUUGGCAAACUCUUGGAAAUACUCAUAGGUUUGCUUUUGAAAUAGUUAUGACUUACCUCUUCCACUCGCUCUCUCCUUGCACCGCUGCCCCCUCCCCUCUCUCACACCGCCGCUGCCCUAGUGUAGCAGCCCAAAUCCCCACCCCCGAGCAAGUACCAUGACACGUCCUCUCACAAGUUUUGCCAAAAAUUGCAACUGGCCAAAUCUAAAAUAAACAUUUAGAACAUUGAGCAACAUCAAUUGAUAAGGCAUCUAGAUUGGAAUUUUAAAAACACUACCUGAAUCACUCAAAAUUCUAACGCAGGCAAGGUCAUUGAAGGGACUAUAAUUUUUGAUAUAAAGUUAUCUUCAUCUGAAUUUAUAUGAAAAGUUAUAAAUUAUUUUUUGUUGCAAUUAUCAAUCGAGAUAGACAUAUCUCGAUUAACACCCGCCUCCAUUAAGCAUUAGUUGCUCAAACAUCUCAUAAAUUUAUUGCUCAAAAUUUAUAUAUGUGCACCUUUUAGAAAGUACGGCCGUGCAAAGACUCACACAAGAAAGAUAUCAGGCUAGUUUGGCUUUUGUGACAGGUCUAACUAUUUUUGAUCUCACCAUGGUGAGCAGGGGAGGAAUCAUAACUAUACACGUUUGUCCAUGUGACAAACAUAUUGGCGAGGUAAUUCAACAAGGAAAUCACUUCGAUUGCAGUGCUUUAUGAAUUAAUUCAGUUUGGAGCUAAUUCGAUUCACUUUGUGUUGCAUGGCUUGUGUACCAGCAAGGAGCUGUUGAUGAAACAGAACUAACUCAUUUUCGUUAUGUAAGUCUGUGUAUAGAUUAGUGGCUUAUUAUGUAAUGAUGAAGCAGCUGCUAGUGUAGUUUUGCAUCGGGGCACACACAACAUGAUAUGUCAGGCGCGGUGUUGCUACUGUAAAAAGUACACUUGUUUCUGCCACCCACAUCUGUUAAUAGGUAGAAAAAGGGCUGCCUCCUCUGAAAAUGAUUUUAAGUGCUACUAGUAGGGGUGCUGCGCGCUAAUUCUUUGCAAAUCAUGCAUUUGUGUAUAAUUGAUGUGGAUACGUCACUACUGGAAACUCGUUCUUGGCCGAGGGCCUAAGGCUUUGCCGAGGGCCAAAUCUCGGGCACUCGGCAAAGACCUUCUUUGCCGAGGGCCGCCAGCUGAGGCCCUCGGCAAAGAAAAGCCCUCGGCAAAGACGCCUUUGCCGAGGGCCAAGGCCAUCGGCAAAGAAAUUCUUUGCCGAGGGCCAAGGCCAUCGGCAAAGAAAUUCUUUGCCGAGGGCCACGGCCCUCGGCAAAGACGCCCUCGGCAAUUUUAUUGUGCUGAGUAACGGCAGCCGAGCCCCGUCAGCCUUUGCCGAGGGCCUCCCGUCAGGCCCUCGGCAAAGGUUUUUAAAUUUUUUUUUUCAAAAUUCUUUGCCGAGGGCCUUCCCUGUGGGCACAAAUCACAUUAUUUUUUUUUUUUAAUUUUUUUUUUCAGAAUUUUUUUUUUGAUUUUUGAGUCCAAUUUUUUUGUGGGCACAAAUCACAUUAUUUUAAACACAAUUUUAAAAAUUGGCACAAUUUUCACUUUUUUUUAUAUAUUUCUUGAAUUUUUUCAAUUCGUCGAAAUUUUCCCGCUGUUUUAAAUUUGAACUGCAGAUGCAUGGAAUAAUUCACUGUAGUCUUUCCAAAAAUGUUAUUCAUGUUAUUUGAUGUGUGUGGAGUCCCUACGCACAAACUGGAAUCAAAUUCCGCGCAUCUUUUACGCGUGACAUGAUUAGCCACUUCUUAGAAAAUUGAUUUAAAAUUAUAUUAAAUGUAUACGAAGUCAGAAAAUCACGAAACUUGACGAGGUUUCAUAUUGAGACAUGUGUAGGCUAUGAUAAAAAAUUCAAUCAUUUUCGAGUAAGUUGCGACGUCAUAUGUCCAAAACCCAGACAUCUCCCCUUGGCCGCGCGCUCGCCGGCCCUCGCGAGCUCGCUCGCCCCGGGUUGCGCGCCUGCCUGCGGCUUCGCCUGCCGCCUUGCGCUCCUCCCCCGCCCGCUCGCCACCGCCUAUCCGAGGGCAGAGGAGAAGGAGGUGGGAGAAGGAGAAGUAGCCCCGUGUUGCGACGUGGUUACUACCAUCGCAAGGUAUGGCACCGCUUUCUUCUUUCCCUUGAUAUUAUACAUGUGGUGGUAGUGGUGUUGGUGGCAUAAUUUCUGUGUUAGUAGCCUAGCAGUAGCUGUGUUUCUGAUGGCAUGGAGACGAUAUAUAUAUAUACAUGUGUGUGUGAUCGUUGGCCAUCGUGCCUACGUUUGUUGCAGGUUUUUCAGAACCUCCCGAUGCAGUGAAGGUGCUGUCGAAAUUUUCAAUUGACACUAACCUAUUGCCUUUUUAUGCAGGAGAAGAGCACGUUGCAGGAGACCCAGAGGACGCCAUUUGUCUUCGUCGGCGUCGCGGUUCUGCCUGCACUGCGUCGCCUCACCACUGCGUCGACUCGCACUGCAUCGGUAGCCUGACUUCACCGACACCCUAGGUAUAAAUAGCCUCUCUUUCUUAUUAGUGUCGUAGAUCACGUGACCUAGUUAGGCGUCUCCCGUCCGAAAGAGAUACGGUCGUAGGUAUGUGGAUCUUUGCAUAUCUUCGACCGUAUCUGUUUUGGAUUGUCCACAUUUUUUGGACAGCCCGCAGAUGCGUAGAUGAGUUAGUUUCCAUGGUCCGGUCCUGUCCGAGACAAAGUUUCGACAUCACCUCCCUGUUGUUCUCCGGAUACACACUCUCCUUUGUAGGACGUGUAUCGGGAGAACGACGAGGAGGUGCUGCCGAAAUUUUGUCUCGGAUAGGACCCGACCAUGGAAACUAACUCAUCUACGUAUCUGCGGGUGGGAUUAGGACCUAUCCUCACCUAUUAGAUAGUAGUAACACCGCGUAGAUGCAAUUGAUGGUCACAAUACUUUGUGAUGUAAAUGUUAAAGGAUGGAGGAUCGUGAGUGGAUGUACACGGGCUGGAGAAGCGGGAAUGACUAUGACGUUGCAUGGGUGAAGGGGGUUGAUCUUUUCUUGAACAAGCAUUUGGCCCAGCAGCAGGAGGACAUUCUCUAGUGUGGUGUCCCUGUAUGAAAUGUGACAACAUGCGAAAGGUAGACAAGAAGACCAUGGGUAGACAUCUUGUGUUCAAUGGUUAUACGCCUAGCUACCAUCGGUGGAUCUACCAUGGUGAAGCAGAUCGUAUAAGAGCGGAGGUGGUGAGACCACGGCUCGAGGCUUUUGAUGAUGAUGCUGGGGUAGCAGACAUGUUAGAUGACACCCACCAAGCUCACUUUGCUGAACAACGUGAGAGGGAGGAGAUGGAGGACUCCGCAAAGGGUUUCUACAAAAUGUUGGACUCGGCACAGAAACCCCUUCACGAGCGUACAAUGAUUUCUCAGCUGGAUGCGAUUGGACGCUUAAUGGGGUUGAAGGCUGAGUUAAACCUAAGUCGAGAAGGCUUCGAUAAGAUGUUGGCCGUGUUUGGCACCAUGCUACCGGAGAAGCAUACUUUGCCGAUGAACUUGUACGAGGCAGAGAAAGUCCUUCGUAUGCUGAAGAUGCCAUAUGACAAGAUACAUGUUUGUCCAAAUGGGUGCAUCCUAUUUAGGAAAGAACACAAGGAUGCAAAUUAUUGUCCGAAGUGUAAAUCCUCUAGGUACCUAGAGGUAGACUCUGGUGAUGGUCAGAAGAAGCAGCUUCAGAUCCCCGCGAGAGUGCUACGUCACCUCCCUUUCCUGCCAAGAAUCCAACGCCUAUUCAUGACCGAGGAAUCCGCAAAACAGAUGACAUGGCACAAAGAUGGCAAACGGUAUAAUCCUGAGAAGAUGGUACAUCCGUCAGAUGCUGAAGCAUGGACGUACUUUAAUGACCAACCUCCUGACAAAGCAUCUGAGGCCCGUAAUGUACGUGUCGCACUAGCAACAGAUGGGUUCAAUCCUUAUGGAAUGAUGGCUGCCCCAUACACAUGCUGGCCCGUUUUUGUUAUCCCCCUCAAUCUCCCUCCUGGCAUCUCAUUUCAGCGACAUAAUGUAUUCUUAUCGUUGAUAAUUCUUGGACAUCCGGGUAGUAAUAUGAGUGUGUUCAUGGAGCCUAUGAUUGAUGAAUUGAUCCACGCUUGGGAGAAGGGGGUAUGAACAUAUGACCGAGCUACAAAGACAAGCUUCAAAAUGCACGUUUGGUACCACUACUCCCUGCAUGACUUCUUGGCAUAUGGGUUAUUCGCUGCCUGGUGUGUUCACGGGAAGUUCCCAUGCCCAAUAUGCAAGGAAGCUGUGAGGUUCAUUUGGUUGAAGAAGGGUGGCAAGUAUUCAUCGUUCGAUCAACAUCGUCAAUUCCUCCCUCUAGACCAUGAAUUCAGACAACACAUCAAGAGCUUUACAAAAGGUGUCAAAGUGAUAGACCCUAAACCGCACUUGAGGACUGGUGCCGAGGUAAGUAACUAUAGAUGUCAUCACAGCUACUUCAUAAGAUAUGUUGGAAAUCAUAAGAGAAACUAAUAAAUUUUCUUAAUCACUUGUGCAGGACUUGGUUGGUUUUGUCGGGUACUACAGCACGCACCCCUGCGAGCGUCCUCGGUGUUUUGUGCAGGAAAUGGUACCCCGACAUUAUGAAACUGUCCGAGGAGCCGGUGGUGCGGGAGCCGGCAUCCAACUGGGAUAGGUACGCGCUGGCCACAGAUGACACUUACCGCAACAAGCAGGAGCGGGUAUUAGCGGAGUUUUGGGUAAGUCUCUCUCGCAGAACAUUGCUUAAUACAUCAUAUUCAUUGGUUAAAACUUUUAUUGAAAUAAUGAAUGGAUACAUUGGUUUUGUAUGUAGAAAUUUUUCAAGGCCGAAGAAGGACUUGAGGCCCAGGCGGAUCGGGUGGCUACUACAGCUUGUAGGAAGUACGUCACCGAGAUGCACCACAAUGCGCGCAUCCAGUCCCACAUAGACUACUACAGGUCGGUACUUCACCAGUCCCUCCGCAAGGCACAAGCAAGACAGGUUACGCUGACCUGAGACCAGUACCUUGAGGUAGGUGAAUAACAUUCACAAUGAUUCGUUUUGAUAUUAAGUGGGUUCAAUUUUAUCUUCUAAUGUGUCAAAUACUCUGUUGAUGAUUUGUAGGUGAUUCCCUGGUGGUGCCGAUCGUUUCCCGAGUGCUGGGCCAUGAUCGUGGACAAAUGGUUGUCACAGGACUAUCUUGACACGCAUGAGAAGCAGCGGGAACAACGUCUGAUGAGGCAAGGUCCGACUCACCAUUAAGGCAGCCGCAGCCUCCCUGCAUACAAACAAGCAUAUGUAAGUUAUUUUUUCAUUUCUUUUGAGACUCAAUUAUGCUAGAUUUCUCACCAUCUUCCCGCCUUUCUUGCAGGAGGCUGCGCACCCGGGCGAGGAGGUCUCAGAGUUCUCUGCGUGGGCUAUGUCCCACAUGGGCAGGGCGUCGUCCUCUGUCUCCUUCGAUCCAGCUGCCCCCCCAGAGGUGUACUCCGACCCGAACGUGUACACUAAAGUUCAAGAGUACACGUCAGCGGUAAGGGAGAUCCAUGGGGAAGAUUACAAUGUGCGCACUGAGCCCAUUGAUGCAGAGGCAAUCAUGAGGCUCGGAGGAGGCAAGAAGCACGGGCGACUGUGGAUUGCAGAUGGUGCCAUUGACUCCUCCACUGUUCGAAACCUCGACGCUAUCCGAGCACGGAGCACGAGCUCUAGCCAGGCCAUACGCCCACGCCCUUCUCCAGCACUGCGGCAGGUUGAAGCACUCCAGGUAAUGGAUCUCUUACUCAUCGUAUGUUCAUAUUUACACACCAAAAUUACAAGCAGAUUACUAAUAUAUUGGAGUGAAAUAUUGUAGGCUGAGCUGCAAGAAACAAAAAGGCAAAGCCAAGAGCAGACCGCGGCACUAACCGCACAGCUAGAGGCACAGAAGGCCGCGUUCGAGGGAGCGCAGAAGCAGAUGGCGGAGAUGAUGGUGAUCAUGCAAAGUCUUGGGCAAGCAUCGGGUGUACCUGUGCUGUUUUCAGCUCCUCCUCCUACUCCUACAGCUACUCCUGUAAGUAUAAAAGUCCGUUUUUCACUUGUCUUUGCAUGUAUGUUGGCCUUCGUGCCGUUGUGGAUGUCGGCGUUCGUGCCGUUGUGGAUGUCGGCCUUCGUGCCGCUGUUUUUGCAGGUUUUGUAAACCUCCCUGUUUAGGGGAGGUGGUGCCAAAAUUUUUAAUAUUUUUUUCCCAUAUUACUCAAACAUGCAAUCUCUGUUUCUUUGUGCAGCCUCCGUCCGCGGGUUCGAAUCAUCCUGCAAAUGCGUAGGCCUUUCCUUCACCAUCGUCUCAUAGGCUACCUUGAUGAGGACUCGUGGUAGGUGAUGUGGUUGGACUUUAGCGUGAUUUGUGGUUUAUAGUUGUGACUUGUGUUUGGAUUUGAUGAACUUGUUGUAAUAAACAUGUGAAUGAUGAUGAACAUGCUGAGACUUGUAAUAUGGUUGUGAUAUUAUGAUUUGUGGUUCAUAAUUAUGGUUGUGAUAUAUUGUGAGAAAUGGGAUUAUGCGUGAUAUACAUAUGUGAUGGUUGAUAUAUAUAUAUAUAAAAUGUGUAUGUCGAUGGAAUGUAAAAAACAAAUUAAAAAUAAAAUUUUCUGUCUAUUUGCCGAGGGUCUUUGACCACAGCCCUCGGCAAAGAUUGGGUCUUUGCCGAGGGCCUUCGCCAUAGCCCUUGGCAAAGAAAGUUACAGAAAAAUUCCUGCGUACACUCUUUGCCGAGGGCCGCAAGGAGGCCCUCGGCAAAGAAUUUUUUUUAAAAAAAAUCUAGGCAUUUUCUUUGCCGAGGGCCUCCCUGUAGCCCUCGGCAAAGAUUUUUUUGAAAAAAAAUCUGCUCAAUUUCUUUGCCGAGGGCCGGAGGUAGAGGCCCUCGGCAAAGACUCCAUCCCGAGAAACGGCGCCGUUAUGGUUAAUUUUCUUUGCCGAGGGUCGGCAAAGGCUUUGCCGAGUGCCCGACAAACGGCCCUCGACAAAGGCCAUCUUUGCCGUCUAAAAAUUCCCCGAGAGCCCUUUGCCGAGGGCCGCGCAAAGCCUUUGCCGAGGGCUUCUAGCCCUCGGCAAAGAGGGCGCGUCCAGUAGUGCGUUUUGAACUAUUGCGCGCGGAUUGCAUGAAUGAAUAAUAAUUAAUCUCAAGAAUUAACAGACGGUCAUGGGAUGACUAAGCUAAGGGAGCGAGAGAGCAUAUGCAUGCAUGUAGUAAACUGUGCUCAUGUUGUACAUAGAUUCAAGUGGCCGGCCUGGUAACGUGGCCUCGAAAAAGGGAAACCCAGAGGACUGUUGCCCGUAUUCCCAACUCAACUCGAAGGAAAAAAAAUUAAUUAAGCAAGCAUGCAGCAUCCAUGCACGUUAAUUUAAUUAACAAAGGUCAAUGCUUCACAUAUGCAUCAGUAUGUAGCUGAGUCAUGCAUGCCUGCUUUGCUGGCGAGUGUACUAUACCCAACAAUGUGUAUUGUUAAAGGUUUUUGCUGCCUAUAAAUAGCUUGGGCCACCCAAAGCUUCAUCAUCCUCCGAUCCAUCCAUCUCUCGCCCAUAUCUAGUCUAGAUACUAAUAGCUUAGAAGCUAGCCCCACAUCUCGGUCGAUCAUAUCUCAACAAUGGCUUCUCGUGCCGCCACGCUGAAGAUGGCCACUGCAACUGCCCUUGUCCUGCUGGUCCUGCUAUGCAUGGCGACCUCACCUGUGACUGCCUGUACCACCACCUGUCAAUUCGCCUGUGGUACCUUUGCUAUACAAGUCUGCGGUACUUGUUCCACUACCACGACAUGCAUCACUGAGGCUGAAAAGGUGUGUAUCAAGACCUGCACCGAAACCUGGUGCGGUAAGGUAUUCCUGCCAUGCCUCUAAGAAUAUGCAUGCAUGGAUUCGGAUCGGAUGGCUUAAUCGAUCUAUUCCGACUUUCUCGCUAGCGCAUGGUUGUUGUUGCAGAGAAUAAAGGUGAGUGCAUGCAAGGAGGCAGCCCUCUCCCCGUGUGGUAUGUGGGGGAGGGCUUGCAUGCAUGCUUGAUGAUCCACGUUACAUUUUCCAUUUAUAUUCUAGUUAUAUUAUCUUAUUAUCAUCGCAUAUUUCUGCCGCGGGCAUGAUGCAUGGUGCGUACAAUAAGACGACGUCCUACUAGCGUAGGAGUAUUGUAAACCUCUCUCCAUGCAUGUAUAAAUGGAAGGAGGAUUAAUAAUUAAUAUAGUGCGUGCCCAUCUUAUGCCGUUGUGCAUGUCAACAUGUAAUUCCUCUCAGGUUCUACCAGGGGCUUGAGGGAUAUAUACGAUCAUGGUAUUAUCAUUAUAUGUAAUUUAUGAACUUCCCUAUUAUGAUGAUAUAAUAUUGUCCAGAUUAACAAGGCAGCUAGCUUCGUGCCUUGAACUAAUACUGCAUGCGACAAUUCGCUAUAUAUAUAUUCACGAAUUAAAUCUUCUCUCAAGUCACCGGUGCCAAAUCAACAAACUCCACUCUGUGUGUUGGAAUAUAUAGAUAGACAAGUGAAAGACAAGGAUCCUUUAAUAAUUAAAAAGCACCCAAAAGUGUUGGCCAGCCGCCGGUCAAAAAUAAACUUACCAUCUAUAACUAUAAGAUUGACUGAGGGAUGGUUCUUGAUGCUAUGUAUUGAUUGAUUUGGUUUUGGCAUGCUUACUUGAAACACAAACUAUACUAUAUCAUUCUUCCAUUAUCUAGGAAUCAGGUGGGGGAAAGAAUCACUGCACAUUGUAUUCUGCUUCAGUGCUAGAUCAUGAUAUUGUAGCUUGUUUUCAUGCACUCAAUGAUAUAAGAUUGGAGCUAAGAAACACAGCGAAACCCCCUAUUGAUCGAUGAUCAUCAACAUCUUUUGUCCAAUCAGUAUCCGAGAAAGCACUUAUAAAAUUUGAAUAUGACUUUCUAACUUUGAGUCCAAGCUUCAGUGUCCCAUGUACGUACCACAGUAUAAAAAGUUGGUGGCUGAUAACCAUCUUCGCUUGCAUUGGUAUCUGUUGGUGGAACUACGUUUGGCUGUGGCAGCAACCAUAACAGGAGACACGAUAGAUUAUUGAAACUACAGUCUAACCAGUCAUACUUAGCCUUCAAAAUGAGUAGCUCAAGCACAAAACUUUACAUUGUCUAGUUCAACACUACUGUACAAAAUCACCUUCCUUGCUUUUUAACCAUUUCUAAAUUUUCUAGACCUUUGAUGCUCUUUAGUAUAAUCUCUGUUCCAAUGGCCUAAAGCAUUUCCUCCAAAACAAUCACUAUCAUCUUUGUCCAUGACACAUCCUCCACCAUCAUUAUUGGCACCAUCUUCGUCGUUUCCAUCCCAACCACCAGCAUCACAACUUUGUUCAUGGCCAUCAUCCAUUUAUGCAUCAAGCACUACUACAUAUCGGUCUUGGUAAUCUAGGCACAUUCGUUGGCUUCUUUAUUAGGAUAAAUGUUAUCAAUUGUUUCACUAUGAUAAGUCCACACGGUGUAGUCCUUAACAAAUCCUUGCAUAAUCAAGUGUGAUAUGAUGAUAGUCACAUCUUUCCAUGUGAGAUGGUUCUUGCAAUCGCUACAUGGACAAAUAAUUUCAGUAUUAUUGUAGGUAAACAUUACAUGCUUCUAUGCGGCUUCAAGAAAUUUAUCCACUUCAAUACGGAACUUGGCUCCCUCCUUUUUGUACCAUACAUCUAGGAGUUCUGGUAGUCUAUCUUUUAGGACAACAAUCAAAGAAAACCGUGCCCUGCGCGUGCUAGACCCGGAUGGUAGACAAUUCGACACUCGGUUUGUACUGGUUUGGGCCCUCGGAUGGGUCCUACAACUAGUGGGAAGUUCAGCUAGUAUUGCUCUUGCCAAUAGGGCUUGCAGUAGGGGUUAAAAGUUGUUUGAGAGAGGAAGGAGGUUCCCAAGUCUCUGGUGUAAGAGUUGGUGUGUAUCGUUGUAAUUAUGGGUGGUGCACUCGAGUGUUUGUGUCACCAUUGUUCCAUUUUGUGCUUAGCCCCAAGCCCUUUUAUAGAUCAAGGCUGGGGGUGUACAUGUGUUGGGAGUGACCAGAACUAAAUAAGUCUUCAGGGUACAGCUCCUUCCUUUAGUUUUGAACGAACAAGAGGCAAGAUACGCUUGUUAAGCUUCAGACAUAUAGUUUAGUAGGAUAGCAAGUUUUAGACAACAGCAUUCAGUUUUCAGCAAGAUUCUAAACUAAAAUACGUAGAUUAUGCAUCAUGAGUGGUGAAGAAAAAACUAAACUUACAUCAGGCUAACUAUCCAGUGCUCAUCUACUAUUCAAACAUAGUGCUGGUAGAACCAGAGUUAGAUAAUCACCUUGAAUUGACUCAAAAUUAUCAUGGGAUACAAUUUACAAAUGCAUGUUGCAAGAAAAAAAUCUCCAUAUUUUAUUGGUGAAACUGAAUACUUUGAUAUUCAAAGAACCCAGAACCCCUGUUUAUGGUUUUUUUAAGUUUCUUUAUAUAGAGGAUAUAAAUAUUUUACAAUUAACAUUUAACCGCAUGUGGGUCGAACCAGUCAGUUAGGACACAUUUAACUUAGACAUGGGUCCCGCCAGUCCAUCUAGGACGUGGCUGUGGCAAGGUGAUUUUUUAAAAAAAUAUGUUUUUCAAUAAUGAUGAUCAUAUUCAAUCACUUUCAUCAUGAGCUAUUGUCACAAAGAUUGGGAAGGGUGAAUGGUGACGGUUGUUUAUGACUAAAGCACAUCUUGGUCACAAACGCUUGUCAUCCAUUGAGAACUUGUCGUAAACACGUCGUUUCUAUGACUAAAAAGUGCUUUACAUAUGAAAAUUGUCAUAGAAGGCCCAAUCUCUUGUAGUAUAGUUAUAAAAAAGAGGAAUUAAAAUAUUUGAUGCACAUGCUAGAUGCAGUUAACCAAAAAUGAAUUGGUUAGUAAAGGAAAAUAGCAUGACACAAUGAACAUUGUUUGUGAAUAGGUGAAAGGGCGAGGUUAGAUCCAUAAAAGCGCUACAAUGGAUUAUAUUUUAGCAAUUAAAGCCUUCUAGGGGUUAUUCAAAAGGUGUACAAGAGCAUCUCCGAUAGUUUUAAAAAAUAAUUCAUAAUUCAGUUAGUUUACCAAGUGUCUAAAAAAGUUGGGAGCACAUUUGUUGGGUUUGUCCAAUAGUUUUUGAAAUCUGCACCUAAAAUAUAGGGAGAAAUUUUGCGCCUAGAACCCCAUACUAUUUGCAAUCACCCUAACCACCAUUAUACUUUUCUUUAUAUUUUGUAUAUUUGCAUUGAGAACCCUAUCCUACUCUUUAUUGUUCUCUACGUCCUUCCACUUCUAGAUUGGUAGUUGUUUACCAAGUGCAGAAAGAUUACCAAGUGCAGAAAGAUUAAGAGUUGAGUUAGGUAGUUGUUGGAGAGUGGUAUUUUCAAUGCCAAGAAAUAAGAUUGGGAGUGGCUUUUGAAAACUCUUAGAGAUGCUCUAACACACAUAGAUUAUAUUGGGCAUAAUAGUAUUCUCCAAUAUAUUUUCUAUAAAAGCCUAAGAAAACAUCCAUGGUGGACGGUCGCACACCCAUGCCGAACGUGGAUUCACCAGGACAUGCGCCUAGGCUAGCCAUGGACUCGUCGAACACUGCUGCUCACCUUGCGCCGCCGCUUGCUGCAUGCCACUACAUACCAUGAGCCACCACUCAUCGCUGCUCACUGUGCUCCUGCAAAGGGAUGUUAUGGUGGAUUCAUAUAUGUGUAGGGGUGAGGAGUGGAAAGAAGUGAUGUUUUCACGGUUCCAUCCUCUAUAGUAGAAAAAUGGCUUUGACACCCCUAGACUUCUACACCAAAGUCGCUUCUUCCUUGGCGGCUUCGUAGGGUUUUAGCUAUGAAAAACUUCUGUCAAACGAGGUCAUAUGUUUGUUCUCUUAUACCCAUCGCUCCAGUUCUUGCUCUCUCGCUUCCCCACAAAUCCACAAUUAUCGUAGCACCACUAUCUUCCUUCUCCCCAUGGUCGUCCCACUCAGUCCUAUCGUGGCCCUCAAUGAGGCUUAGAUUAUGGAUUGUGCCAACCUGACAAGGCCUCACCAGCUACUAGUCAUAAUCAUAGUAAGCCAAUGGAUAAACUAGGGAGUUGAAUCUAAGGUAAUUCUAUAACUAUGCCAAUGAAUAACUCUAAUUAGUGCAAUUACAUCUAGAAAUCAUCGUUAAGUCAACCCUAUAUCAUAAUUAGAUGUAAAGAGGCAUCAAUUAAUGAGGGUAUUAAGACACAUGGGUCACCUCAUUCGCGACCGCGCCCAUGCUUGUCCUAUGUACGGAGGGUGGACUAUAGAAGAUCCAACGCAGUUGUCACCUACGCAGUCUACCACACGUCCCGCACGUCAUGGUGCACUCGUAGGCAAACAAGAUAUCUAGACACCACGUCUACAUAUUGUCUAUCAUCUACCCAACGAUCGAUUAGGUAAACGCUAUACGAGCAAUUACAUGAAUUCAAUAAGAUCAAACCAACUAUCCUAGACAUAUAAUCAAAGUAGACAAUAACUAAUGCAAUUAAGAACAUAUGAAUCUAUUAAGAAUAAAGUCUCCCUAAUAUACAAUUGAAUAUUGUAAAGUAAGAACUAGAUCUAUUACCAAACUCUUGCGCUCCAGAUCGACGCCAGGGGCUCCAGAUCUCGAUGAAGAACUAGAUCUCCUCUACUUCUAAUCUAACUAACUAGAACUAUGAACUAGAAGGCUCUUGAUGAACUUGAAGGCGCUUGAUGCUUGAUGGCUUGAGGCCUUGAUGAAUUGGUUGAUUUAGGAUUGUCUCCAGGGGGGUCUACCCUGUAUUUAUAGUCUGGUGGGAUGCGCGUGCGCUGUAGGAUCAAACCGACUUAACCAAGGGCUGAGAUGCAUCAGGAGAGGCGGUGGAGGAAGCUUCUAGAAGUGGAGGGCCAAAACCCUAAGGGGGCGCCGGCUAGCGCUAGGGUGGGGCCGGCCAGCCCCACCUGGCAGCCGCCAGGCCCCCCGCUGCUUCGGGUGCAUUCUCGAUCCUUCCUGAGUCUUCUCGCGACGUUUCCCAUAGCGGAUAUGUUUCGUGUUUAUUUUGCACUAGAGUCCCUCCUUUCAGCUUUCCUGAAAUUCAGCCUGGAAAAUACAGAAUAUACAAAACUCGUGGAAAUUGUUCGAUAAAACCCUAGACUAGUGUGUUUUAAUGUUUUCCUUCAGGUCUAAAGUUAUAAUAAAAGUUGACGUUAUUGACCAUCAACAUAUGUGUUAUUGCUGAUGAAGUUCACAUCCUCUUGCAGUGUAGGGCAACUGAUAGCUGAGUGCCCGUAGUCUCCACAUUCUUCACAUGUCAUAUGGGAAUCAUUGAUGUGCAUGACUUCCUUCUUCUCUAUGUCGAGCUUCUUCAUAAUGAGGUCUAGCUUGGUAGUGACCAUGUCAGCUUCCUUGAGAUGAUGGAUUCCUCCUCCUUUCUUUUGAGACUGGGUACGUUCUUCAUUGCAUGUUGAAUUUGAGGCCAUCUUCUCAACAAGUGCUUUAGCGUCUGAGAGCUUAAGUGAUAGGAAAGCUCCCACAGCUGCAGCAUCAAUAGACUCAUAGGUACUAGAGAUGAGCCCAUGAUAGAAAGUUUGCAUUAACAACCACUCCUCUAUCCCAUGAUGAGGAUAGUCUUCAAUGUAAUUCUAGAAUCUUUCCCAUGCUUCAGUGAAUGAUUCAUCAUGUUAUUGUUGGAAACUUGAAAUCUUCCCAUGCAGAGCAUUAGUCUUGGCUAUAGGAAAGAAUUUUGCCAGGAAAGCAGUUGAGCAAAGGUCCCAUGUAUUGUGUUUGUCUUUCUUGGUGUAGAACCACUGCUUAGCUUUUCCCAAUAAUGAGAACGGGAAAAGAUGGAGUAAGAUAGCAUCCUUUGGUACUCCUCUGAUUGUGAAGGUGCUGCAGAUCUCUAGAAAGUGUUGUAAGUGUGCACUUGCAUCUUCAUGAGCUUUUCCACAGAAUUGGCUGGCUUGAACCAUAGUGAUGAGAGUAGGCUUGAGCAUCUUCAUGUUUGCUGUUAUUGGGGAAGAGAACUCUUGCAGUGUCUCAGCCAUGUCUUCAAACACAGGAGCUAGGUUUCCACCUAACCGCUCUUCUCCUUGUUCUUCUAUUUGUUCUUCAAAUUUCUCUUCCAAUAUUCGAGAUGGCUCCUCUGAUGAGCUAGCUUGAGCGGCAGAUUGUGUUCUUGAUGGUGAUUCAAAUUUGUCCCUUGCUUCUAUAAACUUCUUCUUUCUAAGGAGUUUCUCUAGAUCUUCAGUAAAAUUUCUUGGAAGAGCAAAAUCUUUCAUUCAUCACCUUGCAUAAGAUAAGAAAAUGAUAACGACGAAAGGUGUACCUGAUUGAGUUAGAAAUUGAUUGGUAAUAUGACUUUAUCCAUACGUAUAUAUAUGUUAUCAAUAUAUCCUAAGUUUAUUGUGCCUUCCCCGGCAACGGCGCCAAAAAUGCUUGUUGACAUUUACUACCGUCGUUACUAAAAAUAGAGAUAAACCCUACCCCUAGCAACAACACUAGAAAUGCACAAUAUAUCAUUAACUUGUCAAAUAGCAACUAACCACUCUAACAUUCUUAAGCAUGAAGUAGGUUGUCAUCCCUAAUUACAUUGCUAGGAAUUUUAUAUAAAUUCACAUGUUCUACUGUAACUAGACAGAGAAUAAAAGAUAUGAAUACACUUAUAAACUAAAUUUGUUCUGUAAGCGGACAGAUAAUUAUAUUGUUGUAGCAUUUUACCUAUGGAAGUAUCCAGGUUGUCGAUUUAUAUUUAUACCACUCGGAAGUCUAAGUGUUAAACUAUAAUCUAUUAUACUGAUAAGAAACUAUAUAUAUGGAUGAAUAAAUGAUAUUACCCAAGUCAUAUAAUGUACUCAUAACAGGAAGAGGUCACAAGAUAAAUAUGGAUAAAUAAUAAUGAUAGCAUAAUCAUCAAGUAUCAUAAAUAACGAUAAUCAUCAGAGCAUCUACUAGUCAUAAUCAUAGCUAGCCAAUGGAUAAACUAGAGAGUUGGAUCUAAAGUAAUUCUAUAACUACGUCAAUGAAUAACUCUAAUUAGUGUAAUUACAUCUAGAAAUCAUCGUUAAGUCAACCCUAGAUCAUAAUUAGAUGUAAAGAGGCAUCAACUAAUGAGGGUAUUAAGACACAAGGGUCACCUCCUUCGCGACCGCGCCAUGCUAGUCCUAUAUACGGAGGGUGGACUACAGAGGAUCCAACGUAGCUGUCACCUACGUGGUCUACCACACGUCCCGACAUGUCUGGGUGCACUCGUAGAUAAACAAGAUAUCUAGACACCACGUCUACAUAUUGUCUACCAUGUACCUAACGAUCAAUUAGGUAAACGCUAUACGAGCAAUUACAUGAAUUCAAUAAGAUCAAACCAACUAUCCUAAACAUAUAAUCAAAGUAGACAAUGACUAUUACAAUUAAGAACAUAUGAAUCUAUUAAGAAUAAAGUCUAUCUAAUAUACAAUUGAAUACUAUAAAGUAAGAACUAGAUAUAUUACCAAACUCUUGCGCUCCAGACUAACGCCAGGGGCUCCAGAUCCCGAUGAAGAACUAGAUCUCCUCUACUUCUAAUCUAACUAACUUGAACUAUGAACUAGAUGGCUCUUGAUGAAAUUGGAGGCACUUGAUGCUUGAUGGCUUGAGUCCUUGAUGAAUAAUGAAUUGGCUCUCUCCAGAGGGGGUCUACCCAUGUAUUUAUAGUUCAGUGGGAUGCUCGUGCGAUGUAGGAUCAAACCGACUUAACCAAGGGUCGAGAUGCAUCAAGAGAGGCGGUGGAGGAAGCUUCCAGAAGAGAAGGGCCAAAACCCUAAGGGGGGCAUCGGCCGGUGCUAUGGUGGGGGGACGACCAGCCCCACCUGGCAGCUGCCAGGCCCCCCGUUGCUUCGGGUGCCUUCUCGAUCCUUCCUGAGUCUUCCCGCGAUGUUUCCCAUGGCGGAUAAGUUUCGUGUUUAUUUUGCACUAGAGUCCCUCUUUUCGGCUUUCCUGAAAUUCACCCUAGAAAAUACGGAAUAUACAAAACUCGUAGAAAUUGUCUGGUAAAACCCUAGACCAGUGUGUUUUCAUGUUUUCCUUCAGGUCUAAAGUUAUAAUAAAAGUUGACGUUAUCGACCGUCAACAUAGACCUCUAAGCAAGGUUCGCUAAAAGGUAGAAGAAUAAAAUUAACCCUACUAAUAAGUAACCUCAGUCAACGACAUAGUGGUAAACCAAAAACCUGUUUUAUAUUUCCAAUUAAUAAACACACAAUCUUAAUCAAUCUAGACCUCCAAAAUGGCCUCCAAUGGAUGGUGGCUGCGAGAAACAGUUCUGCUUGUGGAGCACGAAGAGGAAUUUAUACUAGAAACUUCACUGGCGGCUGGCUUAAGGAACCGCCAAUGUAAAUCCACUUACACUGGCGGUUCACUUAAGAAAACCGCUAGUGUAAAUGGUGCAUUUCUACUGGCGGUUUACUUAAACCGCAUGUACACUGGCAGCUCACUUAAGUAAACUACUAGUGCAAAUGCACCAUUUACAUUGGCGAUCUUCUUAAGUUAACCACUAGUGCAAAUUUGUUUCCACUGGCAGUUCUUGAAUCGUGCCGGCCAUUUUCUUUGCAGUGACGUGCGAUAAUUGAAACCGCCUAUAAAUUAGACACAACCGCUGCCAUAGAGCAUUUUCUGUACUAGUGAUAAUGUCACCAAACUUUUACUAUUGCUACCAUCAUAAAUCUAUCACUGGUACAAGAAAGGGCUUUAGCCCCGGGCCGUAAGGGCCUUUAGUCCUGGUUGCGGAACCGGGGCUAAGGUUUUGGGACUAAAUGUCCCACUUCUAGUCCCGGUUCCGCGGACCGGGACUAAAGGUCCACCUUUAGUCCCGGUUGGUAUCAGCAACCGGGACUAAAAGGUACGCCAGAGUGUGCCACCUAGCCUCCACUUUUAGUCCCGGUUGUUGCUACCAACCAGGACUAAAGAUUUUUUUAUUUUUUUCUUUUCUUUUCAUUUGGUUUUCCAUUUAGGGUUUACAAUUAUGUUAUUAUUAUUUUUGAAUGCGUAUUGUUUGCUGGUAGUUUAUGGAACGCGCACCUAUAAUUUAUAUAAUUUAAAGCAUUACAUAUAAAUAUACUAUAAAACACUAUAUAUAUAUAUUAUAUGUAUCUAUAGGUCCAUAAUAUAAUAUUUACACAUAUGCUUCACAGACAAAGUAUUUACCACACAAUUUAUCUCCGCCACUCAAGCAUCGUACAAAUGAUCAUCGUGAUUUGGUUUCAUUGGCUCCUGAGGGUUGAAGUAGCACUCGCCGCCGGGAUUCAGGACUUGGUCGUUAAGAAAUCCUACGAUUGUCUCUUAAAUUCCUUUUAGGCGCACCGCAUCCAACACCUACUCCUUCAACCACAUCUCCUUUAAUAGACAUUAAAGAAAAAAGUUAGAGGUAUGAAUAGGAUUUAUUAAAUAGCAACAAAUAAAUGAAAUAAACUUAUUAUAUAAACAUGUUACAUACUUUUAGGUGCUCAAGAUUAGUUCUUUUGGCAUAGACCGUCAUAAACUCGUACACAUAGUAGCCACACAAAUUGUUGCCCGGUGUCUGCCGUAGAACCCACAGAAGUUCAAAAAAGCAGAAUUUAAAAGAGCAGAAUUAUUAAUUAUCCAUUACAAAGUUUAAAGAGCAGAAUUUAAUAUAUAGAUAUCAGAGUUACCAUUGGAUAAUAUCUAUCAUUUCUUGGUAAUCGUCCUGUGGUUUUCUCAACGAGAGUCAUAGAUUACCAAUUAACAUUGCCAGAGAUCAAUGACAAUUAGUAUCCAAUGAAAGCUGCAUUUGUGUGCAUGUAGGCAAAACUAGUAUAUAUCUUUAUACUGAUCUGAUUAAUUAGUUAAAUAGAAUGUACACACGAUAACAACACUUACUUAAAGUUGUAGGGAAAGAGUAUAUAUCUUUUAUCUUUUUAAUUGAUCAAGAACCUCCGUAGAUUUCUCUCCGUUUGAGUUCUCCAUAAGACAUACGGGGUCUUCUGGUCUUUGAAUACAACAUUUCAAUCCACAAAUCCAAUCUCCUUGUCAUUUCUAACUCUGAGGUCCCUCAUCAUGUUUCUGCAUAUGUAUAGCGGGUUUCUAUAAUUAGUUAUAUAUACACAUGAUAACUUACAGUGACAUUAUUGAAAAAAAGAAUCACUUACAGACAGAAGCAACUCAUUAGAGAUUUGUCAAGAGUGUCCAUGUGGCACAGUUGGUGUAGCUCAUUAAAUUGAACAUAAAUAAUAUCAUCACCACAGAAGUAAUGAUAGUUUCUAAUUCGGACACAAGAUAAUCAUCAACUUUUCUGACACACGCUGCCAUAUACCAUUUGUUUAGCAUGUACAUUUGCGUUCCAAGUUUGCUGAGGGCCGCAGGGUUGUAUAGACUCUUGCCAUAUGUAUAUCCCUUCUGCCAAUGAUCGAAUUCUGGAGCACUUUCAAUUGGUGCCCCAGCUAUCAUUUGGGCUAAGCUGAGACCAGUUUCCGCAAAAAAAUUUCAAGCUCAUCAAAUUUUAAAUCUGUCGAUAUCUGCUGGUCUAGCACGUCAGUGUUUGAACCAUAUUCAUUUCCAAUUACUAGCGGGGAAACUGAUUGCUUUGAUUGUUCCCCGAGCUGUGCUACACCCUUGCGUGCUCUUUUCUCUUUCUUUUUCUCUUCUUCUAUGGAUUUCCUUAAAGUGCGAUCAUAGUCCGAUAAAGAUGAUGAUUCUUUCUGAGCUUCAUGCCUUUUUUUUUGAGCCUCAACCCUUUGUCGUAGAUCUUUCAGUCUUAAGUUUCUUGAAGAAACUAUCCACAUCUGAUUUUACCGAAGCAUCUAGUUCUGCAUCAGUCUUCUCAUAGGACAGCUUCUUAGGAAUGAUAGUUUGUUUCUUUUCGGAGGCUUUCUUUUUUGGCGGCGGGGCGGCCGACACAUUUGAUUGUGUGGCCGGCCUCUUCUUUCGUGCUGGAGCCACGUGUGGAGGCGAUGGGGCGGCCGGUGGCGGUGUUGGAGCCCGAGGAGGCGGCGUUGGAGCCCUAGGUGGCGUUGGAGCCCUAGGUUUUGGUGUUGGAGCCUGAGGUGGCGGUGUUGGAGCCCGAGGUGGCGGUGUUGGAGCCCUAGGUGGUGGUGUUGGAGACCGAGGCGAUGCAGCCGUGUCUUGCACUCCCUCGUCAUCACCCGCAGCACUAGGACAUGUUGGUGACCACUUGUGAAACCAAAAGGUAUAUGAGUAAACCGCUAACUAAGAGAAUGCAAAAUAAAGUUAGUGAACAAAUGUAUAGUCAAUUUUCAUCCACACCUAGGAUUAGAUUCAUGAGAGGAGGUGGUGGUAGACUACUAGGUGAUGCCCCAGGAAUAAUGAUGUAGCGCUUGCACCAACAAAUAAAAGUCUUCUCUCCAUCACCUCCUUCUAUCUCAAGCUGCACAUUACUGAAGCCUUUGACAACUCUAUCCACCGAGACACUAGCAUAUCCAGGUGGAACUAUCGCCCCAUUGAUUCUUGGUGUCUUCGUAGGGUCGACAGGAGUUACAACACCGACAACAACCAUGACUGUGGCAGUCCCCUAUGGAAUGUGCAGCUCACAUGUUGUCAGAGCUUCACUAAUGUCAUCCACCGGAAAGUGCAGCCCCACAUCGUCUUGAAUAGUUGGCAUCUCCGUGGAAGCACAACUGCUUUUCAACUGACUGGGGGGGGCUAAUGUUGACUCUAGGCUCUGAUGCAGUUUGCCUUUGUAUAGAACUUACUGCCAUCUGCACUUGUCUUUUGAUCUCCUCAUUCAUUCUCUCUUCAAGCGCUUUCUCUCGCGCUAUCGCUUCAUGAGCCGCUUUGCAUGACUCCAUCACCAUUGCCUCCAACCUACGCAACCGCUCUACUUCCUCUUUCUUCUUUCUUUGGCGGCUUCUAUAAGUCGGUCUAUCUUUAGGGAAGCCAUGCUCCCACGAUACAUACCCAUAGCCUCUUGUUCGCCCACCGUGUUCAGCAGUCUCCAGGGCGUAUGUCAGCUCAUCCUUUUCUCUAUUUGGCUGCCAGGUGUCACUUUCAACUAAUCCUCUAGCAUAGGCCAUUCUCUGUCCUACUCUCUCCAGCUUUUCGCCGUACACUAUCUUUCCGGUCUCUAGGUCUAUGGUUCCCUCGUGACCGAAGAACCAAUACUUGGCGCGCUCAGGCCAGUGCAUUGAUUCUGGUUCGAUCCCUCUCCCAAGAAUCUCCUGUUCCAUCUAUUGCCACAUAGGAAUAGCAGUCUAGCCACCUGAACCCAAGUGAUGGUGGUAUUGCUUUUGUUUAGCAUUUUCCUGAUUCUUGAUCAUCCGUGCCUGACCCUCUUCUGAGUUCUUAAACUCUACGAACUCAUCCCAAAAAGGCCUCAACUUGACGUAGGCCUUGUUGGUGAAAUCCGGUGUCCGGCCAUGUGCAACAAAAGUCUUGUAUAAUGUCUUCUUCCAAGCUUGAAAUUGUUUGGCCAUCUUCUGCAUAGCCCAGAUUUUAACCUUCUCCUUCAAAGCUUCAUCUUGUGUAUCGAGCGUGAAAUGUUGAAGGAUAUCUAGCCAAAUCAAUUCCUUGUCACGAUCUGAGACAAAACUAAUAUUAGAGUUAUCUUUCCGUUGCUUACAUUCACGAGCACUGACCGGGAGCCCGUCCCUUACAAGGUACCCACAGUGCGCAACAAAUUUUUUAGAAUUGGCCCCAAGCACUUGUCUUGUACCCUCAUCAAAUCUAGAUGUGCCACUGCAGCAUGUAAUUAAUUUACGAGACAAAUUUUUUGCAAGUAAACAAGGCCCUCCAUAUAUAUGUUUACAGCAUGUAAUUAAUUUGCAAGAUAAAUAUGAUAAACGAAACACUUCCAUACAUAUAUGUAUACAUGCCUUAGCUAAAAAUUAGAUAAAAUUAGCUAAGAGUAAUUACACAGUUCAUAGGGAAACCGCGAGACAAACCUUUUAAGCUUAAUUAGUUUUUGUUAGCCAUAAUUACUAUAAUAACACAGAUAUGCUAAUAACGGAUUAGUUAGAUAUAAUAAAUUUGUCUCACAGUUUUUAGAGAGAUUAUAUAAUUAAUUUUUUAAAUUAAUAUCCAAACUGCUCUUUCGAUAUUCCAUAAAUUAUUCGAUACAACAACUAAAGACUUGUUUAGUUUCAAAAAUAUUCGAUACAACAACUAAGGGCUAACAUAAACUAAUAUACAGGAUACAUAUAUAACAAUAAACUAAUUACAACUAAGGGCUAACAUAAACUAAUUACAACACAGGACAAAUUAUAUUAUAUAAAUUAUAUAAUACAAAAGAUAAAUUAUAAAAUAGAAAUUAUACAUCUCAUCUCAAUAUCUAACCCUACUAACCAAUUACAACACAGGAUAGUUUCUCAUAACAAUUUCUCAUCCAAAUCUAAACAUAUAUAGUUUCUCAUAACAAUUUGCUCAACAUAUAUAGUUUCAAAAAAACAUCACAAUGCAAAAGUGCUGGCCGAGAGAUCAUCUUCGUACGGUGGCGACCGAGGGAAAAGAAGCUCGCGCGCGCGGUGUACGGAGAAGAAACGCGCACGGCGUACGGUCGCCGGAGAAGAAGGCCUCGGCGGUGUGGCCGGAGAAGAAGGCCUCGGCGGCGUGGCCGGAGAAGAAGCUCUCGGCGGUGUACGGAGAAGAAGGCGCUCGGGGCCGGAGAAAGAAGCGGUGGGGGCGCUCCUCGGCUACGGUGGCGGCGGCGGCGCUCCUGGGCUCGGCCGGGGACGAGGGUGAGGCGACGACGGGGAGGAGCGGCGCGUGGCGGAGGAAGUUAGGGCAACGUCGAUCUGAGAAAGAAGACUGUGCGCUUAAAUAUACGCGGGGACCUUUAGUCCCGGUGCGUGUCACCAACUGGGACUAAAAGGUCUUUAGUCUUGGUUGGUGAUACGCACCGGGACUAAAUGUAUUUUUGCUGUUUCUUAUUUAUUUAUGCUUACAAUAAUUAGAUUAAUUUUGUUAAUUGCAUAGUAAAUAGAAUAAUAGUUAUUAAUUUGUUAAAAAAUAAUAGUUCCAUUUCUUUUUGUCCAAUUGCUUACAUAAUAAAUUUGGAAACAUAAAAUCUUUUCAUCUCUUAUAUUAGCAAACUUAAAUAUGAAAAAAUUAGUAUUUUGUUAAUGCAAAAAUGUAUAAUUUAAUUUUAAUAUCUUAAAGUAGGUGUUUUUGAUAGAAAAUUUGUUUGUGCAUUAUUUAAAAGCAAAUUUUGUUUAUUUAUCAUCAUUUAUCUUCAAAAUCAUGAUAUACGUGAUAUUCACCAUUACAUCGGAUUAUUUUUUUUAAAGAGUUUUCUCUAUUUCUUAUUUAUUUAAGCUUACAACAAUAUUCACCAUUACAUCGGAUUAUCUCUAACAACUUUGUAUUUAAAUUUUUUUCAUUUCAAGUCAACAAAUGGGUCAUUUGACCAAGUUUGACUAAAGUCAAAACAUUGGUUUUUAGAAACACACACUUUGACCGAACCCUAUAUGGUCCCAAAUGGUAAAGUAAUGAAUACAAAGUUUGUUGCACUCAUCAAGUUCUACAUUUGGUCUAAUGGUCAACUUUUCUUUUAGAAAAGUUUGAACCACUCAAUUUUGAAUUUUGAAAGAAUUCAUAGCCACACAUCGGUUUUCGGAACCCUGGGAAAAGUCAUGAAUACCAAUAUUGUUACACUCAUCAAAAUCUACAUUUAAUAUAUAGACAGUUUUUGCAUUUGACAAAGUGUUGGGAAGCUGUAGUUGAAAAUCCACAAUUGACACAUAUAGUUUCAUACAGUUUGUGUGAGAUUCAAGAUUUGGUGGGAAUUUUGAACUUAAAUUUUCUCAAAUAGAAAAAUUGUCUAUAUAAAAAGUUUAGAUCUUGGUGAUAUCUAACAACUUGGUAUUCAAAUUUUUUUCAUUUUAAGUAAUUUAGUUUGUCAUUUGACCAAGUUUGACUAUUUUUGCAUUUGACAAAGUGUUGAGAAGGUGUAGUUGAAAAUCCACAAUUGACACAUCUCUUAUAAUAGCAAACUUAAAUGUCAUUUCCCACAAGUCAUUUCAUUAUUUGAAAUGAUAUAAAAUAAGAAAAACUAAUAUAAACAUCUUAAGUUACAAUUGUCACAUACACAUACUCUAAUGCAAUCUAUUUAUUAGGCGGGCACAAUAGUGAUCUUCUUUUUGACGUAUGUUCCUUGGUCAUGAUCUUGAUGUAACCAUGGAGUGUCCUCAGCAUUUAUCAGUAUGCUCGGAUCUUUGGUCACAUUGAAAGGCGUGAUUCUGUCAUCCCAUUCAUAGUCUUCCGAAACAUCUGACUUGUCCUCAAUUCCCACAAUGUUUCUUUUCCCUUGAGAGAACUAUAUGGCGUUUUGGCUCAUUUGUUGAUUUGUUGUCAUUUUUCCCUCUCUUCUGUUUUUAGACAUGUCUUUCACAUAGAACACCUGAUUCACAUCAGCAGCAAGGAUGAAUGGUUCAUCUUUGUAACCAACAUUGUUGAGGUCCACUGUUGUCAUUAGAUAGUCUUUGUCAACUGUCACCUCGACUCCGGUAACCUUCACCCAUUGGCACCGAAACAAAGGGACUUUAAGAUUAGGUGUGUAGUCUAGUUCCCAAAUCUCCUCUAUACAGCCAUAAUAUGUUUGUCUGUUUCCAUUCGGGUCUAUGGCGUCUACGCAAACCCCACUAUUUUGGUUCGUGCUUCUUUUAUCUUGGGCUAGGGUGUAAAAUGUAUUUCCAUUUAUCUCGUACCCUUUGUCAUGAGGAUGUGCCAUGAUGGUUGCCUAGCCAACAAAUACAGUUGCUCAUCAAUCUGGUCAUUAUCUUGACAUUCUUUUUGUAACCAAUCACUGAAAGUGUCCAUGUGCUAAUGCAUAAACCAAGCUUAAUUCUUCUUUGGGAAUUGGGAUCGUAGGAAGUCCUUGUGUUUCGUGACAUACGGCUCCACCACAGAUGAGUUUUGAAGAACUGUGUAGUGUGCUUUAUUGAAAGAAUCGUCCCUCGUACCGAUGUAUGUUUUCUUUCCUAGUGUUCCCUUUCCACUCAGUCUCCCCUCGUGUCGUGAUUCAAGAACACCAAUUGGGUCAAGUUCAGGAAUGAAUUCAACACAUAACUCAAUGACCUCAUCUGUCCCAUAGCCCUCUGCGAUGCUUCCUUCUGGCCGAACACGUUGGUGAACAUAUUUCUUCAGAACUCCCAUAAACCUCUCGAAGGGAAACAUAUUAUGUAGGAACACAGGACCAAGAAUAUUGAUCUCCUUGACCAGAUGAACUAGGAGGUGUGUCAUGAUAUCAAAGAAGGAUGGAGGGAACACUAACUUAAAGCUGACAAGACAUUGAACCACAUCAUUCUGUAGAGCAGCUAGUUCCAGUAGAUUGAUUGCCUUCGGAGAAAUUGCAUUGAGGAAUGCACAUAGCUUUACGGUGGCCAGACGUACAUGUGGAGGUAGAAUUCCUCUUAAUGCAACUGGAAGCAAUUGCGUCAUAAGCACAUGGCAGUUAUGUGACUUUCAUUUCAGAAAUUUAUUCUCGGGCACAUUAAUUAUACCUUUUAUAUCAGAGGAGAAUCCAGAUGGGACCUUGAUGCUGCUUAAGCAUACAAACAUGAUUUCUUUCUCUUCAUUGCUAAGAGUGUAGCUAGCAGGUAUUAAAUAUUUGCGUCCAUCAUCUCUCUUCUUUGGAUGUAGGUUGUCUCGUUGUUCCAUACGUUGCAAGUCUUGUCGUGCUUCAAGUGAAUCCUUAGGCUUACCAUAUACACCCAUGAAUCCUAGAAGGUUCACACAAGGAUUCUUUGUUAGGUGCAUGACGUCGAUCGUAUUUUGGACCUCUAGGACUUACCAAUAGGGUAGCUCUCAAAAUAUUGACUUCUUCUUCCACAUGGGUGCAUGACCCGUUGCAUCUUUUGGAACUGGUUGGCUGCCUUGUCCCUUACUAAAAACUACUUUCACAUCCUUAACCAUCUCAAAUACAUCUUCUCCAGUUCUGUUGCGAGGCUUGCAUCGGCGGUUUGCCUUACCUUUAAAAUGCUUUUAUUUCUUUCUAACUGAGUGAUUCAUAGAAAGAAAUCGACGAUACCCAAGGUACACGACCUUUCUGUAUUUUUUCAAACAUAUACUAUCAAGGUCAUCAAAACAGUGUGUGCAUGCAUUAUAUCCCUUGUUUGUCUGCCCUGAAAGAUUACUUAGAGUAGGCCAAUCAUUGAUUGUCACAAACAACAGUGCUCGCAGGUCGAAGUGUUCCUGUUUGUACUCAUCCCACACACGAACACCUGUUUCACUCCAUAAAAGAAGGAAUUCUUCAAUUAAUGACCUUAGAUAGACAUCAAUGUCAUUGCCCGGUUGCUUCGGGCCUUGGAUGAGCACCGGCAUCAUAAUGAACUUUCGCUUCAUGCAUAACCAUGGAGGAAGGUUGUAGAUACAUAGUGUAACAGGACAAGUGCUAUGACUACUGCUCUGCUCACCAAAAGGAUUCAUACCAUCCGUACUUAAAGCGAACCUUAAGUUUCUUGCGUCUUUUGCAAACUCUAGAAAUUCCCUGUCUAUUGCUCUCCACUGGGACCCAUCAACAGGGUGUCUCAACAUGUUGUCUACUUUACGGUCUUCUUUGUGCCACCGCAACAAUUUUGCAUGGUCCUUAUUUCUAAAAAGACAUUUCAAACGUGGUAUUAUAGGAGCAUACCACAUAACCUUUGCAGGAAUUUUUUUUCUGGGACGUUCUUCCCCCUCAACAUCGCCAGGGUCAUCUCGCCUGAUCUUAUACCGUGAUGCUUUACAUACGGAGCAUUCAUCUAAAUUCUCGUAGUCCUUGCCACGGUAUAGGAUGCAGUCGUUAGGACAUGCAUGUAUCUUCUUGAUUUCUAAUCCCAAAGGACAGACGAUCUGUUUUGCUUCGUACGUAGUAGUGGGCAGUUCAUUAGGCUUCGGUAGCAUCUUUUUUGGAUCUUCAGUAAUUGCCCAAAUGCCUUAUCGAAUACACUAUUAUGUGCCUUCCAUUUUAACAACUCCAGUGUUGUACCUAGUUUUUUUUGCCCAUCCUGGGCAGAUGGGUAUAGUAAUUUCUUGUGAUCUUCUAAUAUGUGGUCAAACUUUGUCUUCUCUUUUCACUUUCGCAAUCUUUCUGUGCAUCACGAAUGACAUCACCAAGAGCAUCAUCUUCAACAGGUGCGCCUUCUGCACCUGCCUCAUCUUCAGCUUCUCCCAUUGCUGUAUCACCGAAGUCACCGUAUUGAGCAAUAAUGUCGUUAGGCUCCAACUAUUCUUCUUCACCUUCUUCCAUCAUUAUCCCGUUUUCUCCAUGUUUGGUCCAACAAAUAUAGUUUGGCAUAAAACCCGACUUCAACAAAUGUGAGUGAAUAUUUCUAGAGCUAGAAUAUUCCUUCAAAUUCUGACACAAGGCAUAUGGGCAACAUAUGAAUCCAUCCCGCUUGUUUUCCUCGGCCACUCUUAAGAAAUAAUGCACACCAUCAAUGAAUUCUUUGGAGCGGCGAUCGGCAUUGUACAUCCAAUGACGUGUCAUUGUCUACAUUGCAAUAUAAAGUAUUAUAAGUUUCAAAUUUUUUAUUCAUAAAUUAAAGUAACAAAUAACCUAAAAUUCUCUAUUUCUAAUUUUUCUAAACCAGCAAAAUUAAAAAGACAUAAAAGUUCUCUAUUUUUCUAACUAAUCAUGAAAUGUGGCAUGCAUACUAGUUAUAAUUAACUAAUUAACCUUGGCAUAAAUUGCAAAUUAAAGUAUUAUAAGUUUCUAAUUUUUAAUAGAGAAAUUGAAGUAACAAAAAACCUAAAAUUCUCUAUUUCUAAUUUCUCUAAACAAGAAAAAUUAAAAAAGCACAAAAAUUCUCUAUUUUUCUAAAUAAUCAUGAAAUGUGGUAUGCAUACUAGUUAUAAUUAACUAAUUAAAUUGGUCAAAAAUUGCAAAUUAAAGUAUUAUAUGUUUUUAAUUUUUUCUAAACUAAUUAAAAUAAAAAACAUAGCAUCACUAUUUCUCUAAAAAAACGUGUCGAUGUUGAGAAGACGAUGAAGCUAGUAACCUCUUAAAAAACCAUAAAAUAAAAAACAACAUACAUAACACUAGGAAAUGACAUAUGCCGCUGCUAAAUGUUGAGAAGAUGAAGCUAGUGACCUCUUAACAAGUCGAUAACGGCGUAGAAAUGAUGAAAUGAAUCAAUAGCCGGAGAUGAGAGCAAGAACGAGCAACUCCAAAUGAAAAACAUCAGCAAAAGAGUGAAGAUCGAUGGGCUCGGCCAGAGGAAGAAGAAGAGUUCAAAUAUGGAGAAGGACAUUUAGUCCCGGUUCCAUUUAACAACCGGGACUAAAGUCCAACAUUAGUCCCGGCCGGCCGGUGAGACGGACCGGGACAACAACUUUUAAUCCCGGUUGGUGUUACCAACCGGGACUAAAAGCUGGGCUUUAGUCCCGGUUGGUAAGACCAACCGGGACUAAAGGUCCCUUCUGCCGAUCUCUGACACCAUAGCCGUUGGGCAGGGGACUUUUAGUCCCGGUUAGUCUCACCAACCGAGACUAAAGAUGUUUUUGUCCGAGACGCUGAUUGGGCCGAAAUUAUUGUUCAUUUUAGGCAAGUGACCAAACGCCUGUUCAGGCCUGUUCUGUUGUAGUAGUGUAUGAACCUCAUUUCUUAGUGAAAGUGCCCGUCAUCUCUCAGGAUAUAAAAUGAUAGUGUUGCUCGCCUUCAUCCAAUUAAAAUCACAAGUUUAGCUUCCUGCUGAACAACAGUGCUGUGUAUGACAACUCAUUUGUGGCAACCAGCGUUCGAUAUCUAUUUUCUGGUUCCAACUAGAGCUAUUGCAUCGCGAUUUUUCCUCUACAACACUGAAUUGCUACAACAAAAUUUUUUGGCCAAUAAUUACCGUUUGUAAAUUUUUGUUUGCUAUAGGUUUUCCAUAGCCAAAGUCAUCUGUAUUAAUUGUUUCAUGCUGAACCAAACUGAGCCUAUUUUUCAGACUGACAAACACCAAUUGGCAUUCUUUCUUUGCAGUAGAUUUGCCACGGCCACAGCUACACCUGCUGCCUCUGCUGAAACACAUACACGAACCAUAGAGCAGCCACACCUUUUGGAAGACAACAAGAUCUGCUUAUGUUUCGGUUCGAAGCCACUUCAUCAUCACUUCCUCCAGUGAUCAGGCAUAUUCUAGCAAAAUGCUUAGGCUACAUCUACAUGCUUACCAUGUGUGUCCUGCAUAUAGCUGUCACAUGUACUUUACUCUAUGCACCCGUGUUAUACUCUAUACACCCGUGCAAACUUAACGCUCAUCUGUUUUUAAUUCACCAUAUGAGAUACUGUUAACCGUCCAUGUCUUUGUCAUCAACGAUGCGACACUGAAAAGGUCUCUUCUUUUGUGUAUGGGCCUGUAAAAUUCCACUAAAUUUGAGUAUGUGCCUGUUUGGCUUGGCUCCAAGUGGAGUUAGCCAAACACCCCAACUCCAGAAAAUGUUGGAGCAGCCCAACUCCAUGGAGUUUUUAGAGGUCUAGUACAAAUUUUUGGAGUACCUCUUCUCCAACUCCGAAACUGACCAAAACAGACCAAGACGUGGAGUUGGGGCGAAAUUACCCGUAAUUGCCACUGGUUACACAAGUGAAUCAUUAUUUUUUCUAUUCUCCCUACCCCGACCCCUUCCCCUUCACGCGAGCAGACUCCCUGCCCCGACCCGACAACCUUCACGCGCGGACAGAGGGAGCCCAUGACUCCUGUCGCCACCGUCCGCUUCCAAGGGACGAGCAGGCGGGCGCCCCCCCCCUCUCUCCGCCUCUCUCCCCGCCCCCUCCCUCCAUCCGCCACUGGCGGCCGGCGAAGGAGAAGACAAGGAGAAGGUCAUCCUCAACCCUAACCGUAGAAAAGGGGAAGAAGGGUGCCUCUCCACCCACCGGCGGCCGGCAAAGAAGAAGAAGGACGACGUGAGGCACCCCCGAUGCUCCCCCAACCUUGCAAGGCAUCCCCAUCCCCAUCUCUAUGCUGUGUGUUUUUUUAAGAACAAUGAGUUCAUGGUUUUGGAGAACAUGCUGUGUAGAAUUAUUGAUUUCAUGGAUUAUUCGGAUUAUCUAAGAUUUAUUAUUUCGGAUUAUCUUGUAUGUUAUUGAAUUUUAUUUUAUAUGCAUCAAAUAUUUUUUCACCCAUAAUUAUCUUUUCACGUUCUCAUUUUUCCAAGAAUGCACCAUAUAUGCAUGGUUCAAUUUUAAAGCAAACGGCCGAACGUAACGGGUGCAUAUGUGAUUGAAGGCAAGGGUAAAGUAGGCAAAACACAGUGACAAAGCACGACUCUGGAGCUCAUAGUACCAUUCUAGCCAAAUACCCAGUGGCGAAUCUAGCCGAAAACAUUGUUGGGGUCAUCAGGGUCAACUUCACUAUGUGAUAUAAUUUUUCUUAAGUUUAAAUAGUAAUUUACAAAGGAUUUUACAAAUUUUGUCGGGGUAGGCGGACCCCGAUGAACAACCCUAGAUUUGCCUCUGCAAAUACCCCUACCAGAAAUGAUGAUGUACUUUCCUUGACUUACAAAAGUGCCAUUCUUCAUUUGCUUGAUUUGAAGACCAAGGAAGUAACUAAGCUCUCCAAUCAUGGACAUCUCAAAUUCAUUUGCCAUCAUUUUUCCAAACUCUUCACAAAAGUCUUGAUUGGUUGAUCCAAAGAUGAUAUCAUCAACAUAGAUUUGCAACACAAACAAGUCAUUGCCUAGCUUCUUGGUGCAGAGGGUAGUGUCAACCUUUCCCAUCUUGAACCCUUUAGAGAGAAGGAAAUCUCUCAAUCUCUCAUAUCAUGCUCUAGGUGCUUGCUUCAAACCAUACAAUGCCUUCUUGAGCUUGUAAACAUGGUUGGGUUUCUUGUCAUCUUCAAAACCGGGAGGUUGUUCAACAUAAACCAACUCAUUGAUGUAUCCAUUGAGAAAUGCACUCUUCACAUCCAUUUGAUGAGCUUGAUGUUGUGGGCACAAGCAUAGGCUAAUAAUAUUCUAAUUGCCUCCAAUCUUGCAACCGGUGCAUAUGUUUCUCCAAAGUCAAGACAUUCAACUUUAGUGUAGCCUUGUGCUACUAGUCUUGCUUUGUUUCUCACAACUACACCAUCUUGAUCUUGCUUGUUUCUAAAGACCCACUUGGUACCAAUCACAUUGUAGUUCUUUGGCCUCUCAACAAGCUCCCACACUUGAUUUCUUGUGAAGUUGUUCAAUUCUUCAUGCAUGGCAUUUACCCAAUCGGAAUCUUUCAAUGCAUCUUCUAUCUUCUUUGGUUCCUCAAAUGAGACAAAAGAAUAGUGCUCACAAAAGGAAGCUAGCCUUGAUCUUGUUUGCACACCACUUUGAAUACCUCCAAUGACUUGAUCCAAUGGAUGAUCCCUUGCUAUACUAGUAGGUUGGAGUAUUGGGAAUUGAUUGCUUCCACUAGCUUGAUUUUGAUCUUGAUCAUCAUCAUGAGAGCCACUAGUACUGGCUUGAUUUGUAUCAAUUUGCACUUCUUGAUUGAUCAUGUGAAUGUCAUUAUCAUCAUAAACUUGCAUUGGCCUUAUGUCACCUACAUCCAUAUUUUUCAUUGCAUUAGCCAAUUGAUCUCCUCUCACAUCAUCAAGAUUUUGAACUUCAUUUUGAGAUCCCUCGGUUUCAUCAAACUCCACAUCAUGGACUUCUUCCAAUGUGCCACUUGCCAAGUUCCAAACUCGAUAUGCCUUGCUUGUGGUGGAAUAACCAAGUAAGAACCCUUCAUCACAUUUCUUCUCAAACUUGCUCAAUCUAGUGCCUUUCUUGAGAAUGUAGCAUUUGCAACCAAACACUCUAAAGUAUGCAAUGUUGGGCUUUCUUCCAUUCAAUAGCUCGUAUGGUGUCUUCCCAAGCUUCCCAUGGCAAUAGAGACGGUUGCUACAAUAGCAAGCCGUGUUGAUGGCUUCACUCCAAAAUGAAUGGCUAACAUUGUACUCACUAAGCAUUGAUCUAACCAUAUCAAUCAAGGUUCUAUUCUUCCUUUCAACUACACCAUUGGAUUGAGGAGUGUAUGUUGGAGAGAAUUGAUGUCCAAUGCCAAGAUCAUCACAUAAUUCCUCAAUUCUUGUGUUCUUGAAUUCACUACCAUUGUCACUUCUAAUCUUCUUGAUAGUGGUUUCAAACUCAUUUUGCACCCUCUUGACAAAAGACUUGAAUAGAUCACAAACAUCACUCUUGUUAUAGAGGAAGAACACCCAAGUGUAUCUAGUGUAGUCAUCUACUAUCACAAAUCCAUACUUGUUGCCACCAAUGCUAGUAUAUGUUGUUGGCCCAAAUAAAUCCAUGUGCAAAAGCUCAAAUGCCUUUGAUGUGCUCAUUUCACUUUUCUUAGGAUGUGCAUUUCCAACUUGCUUUCCGGCUUGACAAGCACUACAUGGUUUAUCCUUCUCAAAGGUGACAUCCUUCAAGCCUCUAACUAAGUCAUGCCUCAAUAGUUUGUUCAAUUGUUUCAUUCCAACAUGACCAAGCCUUCUAUGCCACAACCAACCCAAACUUGAUUUGCUAAUUAGGCAUGAUGUCAAUUGAGUGUCACUAUCAUUGAAAUCAACCAAGUAUAAGCUACCAUGCCUAAAUCCUUUGAAUAUCAAGUUUGAUCCAUCAACACUAACAACCUCAACAUCAUCACUUCCAAAGAUGCACUUGAAACCAAGGUCACAAAGUUGUGCAAUAGACAAGAGAUUGAAAUCAAGGCUUUCAACUAGCAACACAUUUGAUAUGCUCAUGUCAUUUGAGAUAGCAAUUUUACCAAGCCCCUUGACCUUGCCUUUCUUGUUGUUACCGAAGGUAAUUGAAUCAAAGCCACCAUUUUGACUAGUAUCAAUUGAUUUAAACAUACAAGACUCCCCGGUCAUAUGUUGAGUGCACCCACUAUCAAGCACCCAAUGCCUUCCUCCGGCUUUGUAAUUGACCUACAAGACAAGAUCAAUUCCUUUUAGGUACCCAAACUUGAUUGGGUCCUCCAAGGUUAGCAACUAAGCUCUUUGGUACCCAAAUGGCUUUCUUCUUUGAGCCCAUCCAUGGUGCACCAAUGAACUUAGCAUGAAUACCUUUUGUAUCCUUGGUAAGCACAUAGAAAGAAUUAAGCUUAAUUGAGGAUACAUAAGCUUUGGGUUUCUUGUUCAUGCAUUGUUGCUCUAGGUGACCAACUUGCUUGCAAGCUUUGCAAUACCGGCCAUUUUUCUUCACAAAACUAGUCUUGUGAGGAGCAAAGGCGGCCUUGCCUUUCUUGGGGUUAUAGCCUAAUCUCUCUUUAUAGAGAGAAGCUCUUUGGCUACCCAAGCACAUAAGCAAGCGGCCUCACCACCAUAAGCCUUGGCUAAGGUGUGAUUGAGCUCUUUCACCUCCUUCUUGAGAAUUUCAUUCUCAACUUUAAGUGUGGUCUCACAUGUGAAACCAUCACCACUCGAUUAGGAUGAUGUAGAUGAGCUACAUGAAGGGUUAGUAGAAGCAACAACAAUAGGGUUGCUUAAGAUAUCACAUGUUAUGCCUAUGUUGCAAGUUUGAGCUUUUUCAAUUUUAGUUGGCUCAUUUUCACAUUUGUUAACUAGAGAGGAAUGAGCUUCUUCAAGCUUAGUGUGAGCAUUUUGAAGCUUCUUAUGGUCUUCCUUUAGACUCUCAUAAGAUGCUCUAAGCUCAUCAAGUUCUUACUCAAGGGUUUUCUUAUCCUUAAGCAAGGCCUUGCACUCCUUUCUAGUUUCUUUAUAAUGAUGAGUGCAAUCUUCUAGCAUAGUGAUUAGUUCAUCUUUAGUUGGUUCGUCAUCAUCACUAUCACUAUCACUAGCAUGGUCACUCUCAUCCUCGGAUGAUACCUUAGUGGCCUUAGCCAUGAAGCAUGAUGGAGUGUCGAAGAUGGAGCUCUUUUCUUGAAUGGCAAUGCUAGCAUGCGCCUUCUUCUUAGUGCUCUCAUCAUCACUUGAGGAGUCAUCACUAUCCCAAGUUGCAACAUGGGCAUCACCCUUCUUCUUGUUUGAGCCUUCCUUCUUUUCUUGCUUCUUCUUUUGCUUCUUCCUUUCCUUCUUGAUAGCAUCUUCAUCAUCACUAUCAUAAGGACACUUGGCGAUGAGAUGAUCGUUGCUAUGGCAUCUAAAGCACCUCAUGGAGUAAUCAUUCUUCUUAGAAGAGUUCUUCUUUCUUCUUGCUCGAUAGCCUUUCUUCUUCAUGAACUUGCCAAAUCUCUUCACAACAAGAGCCAUCUCCUCAUCUUCAUCACUAUCACAAGAGCUUGCUUCUUCUUCACUUGAUGAUUCUUGCUUAGCUUUGCCCUUGGAUGUGGAGGCCUUGAAUGCCACACUCUUCUUCUUCUCAUCAUCCCUCUUUUCACCUUCCUUCUUCCUUUUCUUGACCAACUCAUCCUUCUCAUCAUCUUCUCUAUAAGCAUGAUCGGUCAUUACUUCUUGGAACACUUGUUGGGGAGUUGAUUCACUAAGUGUUGUCUUGACUAGCACGGUGAUCAAUGUGUCAAAUCUCUUGGGCAAGCUUCUCAAGAAUUUCAUAGAGAAUUGACUAUCUUUCACUUCUUCCCCAAGUGCCUUGAGCUCAUUCACGAUGACUUGCAACCGGUGAAACAUCUCCGGCACACUUUCAUCCUCUUGCAUCUUGAAGCUUGAGAACUUUUCUUAGAGGAUGUAUGCUUUGGCGGUCUUGGUUCCCUUGGUUCCCUCAAAUGUUUCUUCUAAUUUUGCCCAUGCAUCAUGAGCAAUCUCAAUAUUCUUAAUUUGCUCAAAGGUCUUGUCAUCAAGAGCUUCAUGAAGAGCACUAAUGGCAAUAUCAUUGCAUUGUAGCUUCUUCUCUUCGACCGGUGUUGGUGCAUUUUCAUUUGCAACCUCAAACUUUGUUUCGGUCACCUUCCAAACCUCUCUAUUGAUUGACUUGAGAUGAGCGGUCAUCUUGGACUUCCAAUAUGCAUAAUUGGUGCCAUCAAAGUAAGGUGCCUUCUUUGUGUUGUUGAUAUACAAACUAAGAGCCAAUUCUUCACCGUAGGUUGUUAAGCCUCAAAUAAACGGUGCCUCGGCUCCGAUGCCACUUGAAAGGUCCAAAUGGCUAGAGGGGGGGUGAAUAGCCUAUUUAAAUUUUCUACAAACUUCAACUUGACAAGUUGAUUAGUAAAACAAAAGGCGAAGCUAUUCUAACACUAGCACAACUAAGCUAUGCAAGCCACCUACACAAGUCUAAUAAGAAAGCUAAACACUAGUUACAACAAGAAAGCACAACUAGAAGCUUGCUACACUCCUAAACAAGAAGACUAAACUAAACAAGCUAAACAACUAGCAAGGUAAAUAAGUAAGUAAAGGAGUGAAGAGUGAUUGUUAUACCAACGUUGUAGAGUAGAGAUAUGUCCAACCAAUCACUCACAAUCACAAGAGAAUCCUCGGCAAGAGAUGACACAAGAAUUUUUACCGAGGUUCACUUGCUUCCCGGCAAGCUAGUCCUCGUUGUGGCGAUACACCCACUUGAUGGAUCACGAGCUAAUUGGCAAUCCAAAGCCAAACCCUCAGCGGGUGCCGCACAUCCACUCACAAGAUGGGGAUCCUCCAAGCCCCGAGCAAUCCACUAGAGUAGCCAAUUGCGAUCUCCCGCGGGGAAGGCUCAAGAACCCCUCACAAGUCACUUGGUGAGGCUCGAAACAAUCUCCAAUCACGAGCUCAACACCACCGCUGCUCCAAGCCGUUGAAAGGUCCUAAUAUGGCUAGAGGGGGGUGAAUAGCCUAUUUAAAAAUUCUACAAACUCACUAGAGCAAGAGGUUAGUAAAUAACAAAGCGAAGCUUUUUGCUCUAGCUCUAAUGGGGUGUAUGCAAGCCACCUACCCAACAAUUCUAGUUGCUAUGAUCACUAUGCGCACAAGAACUAAGUCACUACUUACACUAGAAAGCUACCUAAAGUUUCUAUACAAGUAAGUAAGCUACUCUAGUUUGCGGGAAUGUAAAAGAGAUGGUUUGAACUUUAUACCGCCGCGUAGAGGGGAUGAACCAAUCAAUAAUAUGAAGUCCAAUCACCGGAAGAAAUCCAAUGAACAAUCACAAUGGAGACACACAAUUUUUCUCCCGAGGUUCACGUGCUUGCCGGCACGCUACGUCCCCGUCGUGUCGAACAACACUUGGUGGUUCGGUGGCUAAGAGGUGUAGCACGAACCUCGUCCUCACUAGGACACCACAAGAACCUACCCACAAGUGAGGUAGCUCAAUGACACGAGCAAUCCACUAAUGUUGCCUUUGGCACUCCGCCGAGGUAGGCACAAACCUCUCACAAUCACCGGGAGAUGGCCACGAACAAUCACCAACUCGUGCCAAUCCUCCUCCGCUGCUCCAAGCCGUCUAGGUGGCGGCAACCACCAGGAGUAACAAGAAAACCGUAGCUAAAACGAUCCCCAAGUGCCACUAGAUGCAAUCACUCAAGCAAAUGCACUUGGAAUCACUCCCAAUCUCACAAAGAUGUUUAAUCUAUGGAGGAGAUGAGUGGGAGGUGUUUGCUUAGGCUCACAAGGAUGUCAAGUAUGUUAGAAUGCCAAGAGAGUAAGCCCCAAGCCGGCCAAACACGUAUUUAUAGCCCCUCAAACAAAUAGAGCCGUUGGCUCUUUCACUGGGCGAAAAACGGGGUCACCGGACGCUCUUAAAGGGGCACCGGACGCUCAGCCCUUGCGUCCGGUGCUCCAACGUCAGCCGCGUGUCAGAGUCUAACGGUAACCUGCAGAGCACUGGACGCUUGAGCAAGUUAGCACCGGACGUCCGGUGCACACCGGACUCAUGCGCAGAGAGCUCCGUAAACUCGCAGGGUCACCGGACGCAAGCCACCGGACGCACCCUUAGCGUCCGGUGCUCACCGGACCCAUGCGCAGAGAGGGUCGCCAAGACGCCCGCACACCGGACGCGCACCACCGGACGCUCAAGCCAGCGUCCGGUGCCUAUCGUCCGGUGCCUUACCCUAGCUGGGCUAGGCACUGUCUGCACCGGACGCUCAGACUUAGCGUCCGGUGCCUCAGUGGCCAGCGUCCGGUGAGUGUUUUCUCAGCGAGAAACACUCCCACGACUUCUCCAAAAUUUCCCACCGGCGCAAUAGAAAAUAUGCACUUCAUUUUCUCGAAAAGCGCCGAAUCCUGCCUCGCAAGCUCGGCGGGAGGGAGAGAGGAACCCAUCCCCUCUCUACCCUUGAAACUCGACCUCCUUCUCAAAGUGUGCCAACACCACAACGUGUGUACCAACGAGCGUGCACGUGUGUUAGCAUUUUCACAAUCAUUUUCUUUGAAGGAGUUAAGUUAGCUCACUAGGUUCUAAAUGCAUGCACAUGAACAAUGACACCUAGUGGCACUUGAUAACCGCUUAGCCAAAGAAUUCCCCUCUUUAUAGUACGGCUAUCUAUCCUAAAUGUGAUCACACCCUCUAUGGUGUCUUGAUCACCAAAACCAAAACCCUAAGCAAUACCUUUGCCUUGAUCUCCAAAGGGUUUUGUUUUUCUCUUUCUUCUUUUCCAAGUUGAGCACUUGAUCAUCUUGUGGUCAUCACCAUCAUCACCAUGAUCAUUACUUGCUCCAUCACUUGGCAUGUACCAACCUCAUUAAGUCUACACACACUUAGUAUAGAGGUUAGUACUAGGGUUUCAUCAAUUAUCCAAAACCAAACUAGGGCUUUCAAUCUCCCCCUUUUUGGUAAUUGAUGACAACCCUUUUUACAAAGAUUUUCAUUAAAAUUUUCUAGGAUUCAUGUUGCUUGCCCAAGCAUUUUACCAUGUGCAAAGGUUAUGGACAAGUUUCAUAAACCCAAAUUGGUAGCAAUUGCUCCCCCUACAUAUGUGCUAAGAGUUUGGAUUUGAAAGCUUGCACAUAUGCUUGAAUAGGAAAAAUAGGAGUCAAUUUCUACCAAAUGAUGCUAAGGUGUAAAGAAUGGACCUUUGAAGCGUGAUACCAAUCGGAGUUGCCAAUAUAUACCAUCCUUAGCACCAUUAGUAACUAGACAUUCACAAAACUAGAACACCUCGUGAGAUCAACAUUAUAAACAAGGUUCUAGUACCACUUGUGAAACAACUAAAAGUCUAGUUACAAUAUCUAUGCAUGCUAGUUUUUCAUUUCAUCAAUCAAAUUUACAACUAGCAAACACCACACAAGCAAGGUAUCGGAGAGAAAGCUUCUAAAGCUAAUGCAAAUGCAAGCAACCAUAUGUGAUGCACAUUCAAAUGCAACAUACAAGUUUAUGAGCUUGCUCCCCCUACUUGUGUGCUUCAAAAUUUUAAAUUUUAAUUGAUCCCCUUCUUUUAUUAUGUUACUCUCCUAUCUUAAAUCUUUGGGAAAUUCUCUCCCCCUUUGUCAUCAAAGACCACAAAAGGUGAGCUCAAAUUUUAGAUAGGUUAGUGUGAAACCAUGUGAAGUGAGAUCAUUUGCCUAAAUUUGGUUCAAUCUAGAUUACUUGGCUAAGAUAUUUAACUCGGUUUGAUCCAAGGACAAGCUUCUUCACACCUCCAAAUAAGGGUUAUCUUGUACCAUGUUGAGUUAAACACUUAUAGCUCAUAUUCUAGAUCAAACACUAGGAUUGCAAGCCCACAAACAUGUCAUAUGCUACCACUAGAUCAUGUCAAGCGUAGAAACAAUAGUGGUACCAUACAAGCAUCAAAUUAAUUUGAUUUUCAUGAAUGAUCCUAAGACAUGUAAGAAAUGACUAAAUGCACUAAACAAGUCUUUAGCAAAGAUGGAUGACAUGUCAAACAAUUUCACCUUGCUUUGCUCGAAGGAGAGGCAUGUCAUAAAGUGGGGGUGCAUCAACACAUAUUUGAGAAGUCAAGUAUGUUCAAUUCAUUCCUUAGCUUGCAAAACCUCUUCUCAUCAAGUGGCUUGGUGAAUAUAUCGGCAAGUUGAUCAUCGGUGCCUAUACUUUCAAUGCAAAUGUCCCCUUUUUGUUGGUGAUCUCUUAUGAAGUGAUGGCGGACAUCUAUGUGCUUUGUUCUUGAGUGUUGAACCGGAUUGUUGGUGAGCUUCACGGCACUUUCAUUGUCACAUAGCAAUGGCACUUCUUUGAAAUUGAUUCCAAAGUCCUUCAAUGUUGCCUUCAUCCAUAGGAUUUGUGCACAACAACUACCGGCCGCAAUGUAUUCCGCUUCGGCGGUUGAUAGUGCAACACUAUUUUGCUUCUUGGAUGACCAUGAGACAAGUGAUCUUCCCAAUAGUUGACAUGUGCCCGAUGUGCUUCUUCUUUCAACUUUGCAUCCCGCAUAGUCCGAGUCGGAAUAUCCAACAAGUUCAAACUUUGCACCUUUGGGAUACCAUAAACCAACAUUUUGUGUAUGCUUCAAGUACCUCAAUAUUCUCUUUGUUGCUUUCAAAUGACUUUCUCUUGGUGAGGCUUGAAAUCUUGCACACAUGCAUACACUAAACAUGACAUCCGGUCUUGAUGCGGUCACAUAGAGUAGGCUUCCAAUCAUGGACCGAUACAACUUUUGAUCCACCAUAUUUCCACUUGUAUCACUGUCUAGGCUUCCAUUUGUUCCCAUUGGUGUGCUAAUUGAUUUUGCAUCAUCCAUACCAAACUUCUUGAGCAUGUCUUUUAUGUACUUGCCUUGACUCACAAAUGUGCCAUUUUUCAAUUGCUUGAUUUGAAGACCAAGGAAGUAACUAAGUUCUCCAAUCAUUGACAUCUCAAACUCAUUAGCCAUCAUGUUUCCAAACUCCUCACAAAAUUCUUGAUUGGUUGAUCCAAAUAUGAUAUCAUCAACAUAGAUUUGCAACACAAACAAGUCUUUGCCAAUCUUCUUGGUGAAGAGAGUGGUGUCAACCUUGCCCAUCUUGAAACCUUUAGAGAGUAAGAAAUCUCUCAAUCUCUCAUACCAUGCUCUAGGUGCUUGCUUCAAACCAUACAAUGCCUUUCUUAGCUUGUAAACAUGGUUGGGUUUCUUGUCAUCUUCAAAACCGGGAGGUUGCUCAACAUAUACUUCUUCAUUGAUAUAUCCAUUGAGAAAUGCACUCUUGACAUCCAUUUGGUAUAGCUUGAUGUUAUGAGCACAAGCAUAGGCCAACAAGAUCCUAAUUGCUUCUAAUCUUGAAACCGGGGCAUAUGUUUCACCAAAGUCAAGACCUUCAACUUGAGUGUAACCUUGUGCUACCAAUCUUGCUUUGUUCCUUACAACUAUCCCAUCUUGAUCUUGUUUGUUGCGAAAGACCCAUCUAGUACCAAUGACAUUGUGAUCACUAGGCCUCUCAACUAAUUCCCAUACUUGAUUUCUCUUGAAAUUGUUAAGCUCUUCAUGCAUAGCAUUAACCCAAUCAACAUCUCUCAAUGCUUCAUCAAUCUUCUUUGGCUCAAUGUGAGACACAAAGGAGAAAUGCUCACAAAAUGAUGCUAAUCUUGAUCUAGUUUGCACUCCUCUUUGAAUGUCACCUAUGAUAUGAUCCAAUGGAUGAUCUCUUGUAAUAUUUGUUGGUUGGAGUAUUUGCACUUGAUUGCUUGCACUUGGUUGAUCAUGAGAUGAUGUACUAGCUUGAUGAUCUUGCACUUGUGUACCACUUGUACUAGCUUGAUUUUGAUCAUGUGAACCACAAGCUUGCACAUUAGAGGUAGGAAUCACUUGAUCUUUGUCAUCUUCAUCAAUCACCUCUCUAGGCCUUAAAUCACCAAUAUCCAUAUUUUUCAUUGCAUCGGCCAAUUGAAUGCCUCUCACAUCAUCUAGAUUCUCUUCUUCCUCAUGAGAGCCAUUGGUUUCAUCAAACUCAACAUCAUGCACCUCCUCAAGAGUACCACUAGCCAAAUUCCAAACUCUAUAAGCUUUGCUAGUAGUGGAGUAACCAAGCAAGAAUCCUUCAUCACAUUUCUUUUCAAAUUUACUCAAUCUAGUGCCUUUCUUCAAUAUGUAGCAUUUGCAACCAAAAACCCGAAAGUAUGCAAUAUUGGGCUUCCUUCCAUUCAAGAGCUCAUAUGGUGUCUUCUCCAUCAUUGGGUGACAAUAAAGUCGGUUGCUAUAGUAGCAAGCCGUGUUGAUUGCUUCGGCCCAAAAAGAAUGACUCAUAUUGUAUUCACUCAACAUUGAUCUUGCCAUGUCAAUCAAGGUUCUAUUCUUCCUCUCAACAAGACCAUUUGAUUGUGGAGUGUAUUUAGCCGAGAAUUGAUGCCUAAUGCCAAAUUCAUCACAAAGCUCAUCAACUCUUGUAUUCUUGAAUUCACUUCCAUUGUCACUUCUCACUUUCUUGAUGGUUGUUUCAAACUCAUUGUGUAUUCUCUUGACAAAUGAUUUGAAGGUUGCAAAAGCAUCACUUUUGUCACUAAGAAAGAAUACCCAUGUAUAUCUUGUGAAAUCAUCCACUAUCACAAAUCCAUAUUUGUUUCCACCAAUGCUUAUGUAUGUGGUUGGUCCAAAUAAGUCCAUGUGCAACAACUCAAAUGCCUUGCAUGUACUCAUGAUGCUCUUCUUUGGAUGAGUGUUGCCAACUUGCUUUCCGGCUUGACAUGCACUACAAAGCUUGUCUUUCUCAAAUGUGACAUCUUUCAAGCCUCUAACAAGAUUAUGCUUAACUAACUUGUUCAAUUGUUUCAUACCAACAUGACCAAGCCUUCUAUGCCAUAACCAACCCAUGCUAGAUUUAGUGAGCAAGCAUGUUGACAAUUGAGCUUCACUUGCAUUGAAAUCAACCAAGUAUAGAUUCUCAUAUCUAAAGCCUUUGAAUAUCAAGUUUGAGCCAUCUACACUUAUGAUCUCUACAUCAUCAACUCCAAAUAUGCAUUUGAAACCAAGAUCACAAAGUUGAGCUACGGAUAGCAAAUUGAAGUUCAAGCUCUCUACUAGUAGCACAUUGGAAAUGCUCAAGUCAUUGGAUAUAGCAAUUUUACCAAGCCCUUUGACCUUGCCUUUGCCAUUGUCACCAAAUGUGAUACUAUCAACACCAUUGUCAUCAUUUGGAUUGAUUGAAUUGAACAUUCUUGAAUCACCGGUCAUGUGUUGUGUGCACCCACUAUCAAGCACCCAAUGCCUUCCUCCGGCUUUAUAGUUUACCUACAAAACAAAUCAAUGUUUCUUAGGUACCCAUACUUGUUUGGGUCCUUGGAGGUUAGUGACUAAGCUUUUUGGUACCCAAAUGGCCUUCUUCUUUGGACCCACAAUUGGUGUACCGACAAACUUAGCAUGCACACCCUUCUCACCCUUGGUAAGCACAUAACAAGAAUCAAAAGGAAUGUAAGGUACAUUAGCAAUUUUCAUGUUCUUGUUCAUUUUAUUGCAAUUAAGCUCUAGGUGCCCAACUUGCUUGCAUUUGUUGCAAUACCGACCAUUGCUCUUCACAAAGCUAGGCUUGUGAGUUGCAAAGGCUUUCUUGCCCUUCUUGGGGGUAUAGCCUAAUCCCUCUUUGUUGAGAGAAAACCUUUGGCUACCCAAGCACUUUAGCAAGCGGGCCUCACCACCAUAGGCCUUGCCUAGGGCGUGAGUGAGCUCAUCCACCUCUCUCUUGAGAGUCUCAUUCUCAACCUUUAGUGAGGUGUCACAAGUGACACUAACACUAGAAGUGGAGGUAGAGUUGGUAGUGGUGGAUGAAGACCUACAAGAAGAGUUAGUGGCAACAACAAUAGGUGGGUUGGGUGAUUCUUUAAUUAAGUCACAUGUUGUGCCCACAUCACAUGAUACAACAAUCUUUUCCUUGUUCUCUUCUAACAACAAGGAGUGAGCUUUCUCAAGCUUGGUGUGGGCCUUGCCAAGCUUCUCAUGGGCUUCCACUAGCCUCUCAUGAUUAGCAUUGAGCUCAUCAAAGGAUUGCUCAAGAGCUUUUAACUUCUUGGUCAAUUCUUUGCACUUCUUGUUUUUAGAUUGAAUAAGUGAAUCGGCUUGUUCUAGCAUGUCCAUGAGUUGUUUAUUAGUGAAUUCAUUUUCAUCAUCACUAUUGUUGAUAUUUGGGAACGCAAUAAGGAAUUGAUCCGCAAGCGCACGGAUAUCGGUGAGCAUUUCACCCGAGAAAUUAUCCAGAGUAUCGUAUUUAUUUUUUUACCACUAGGAGAAAGAGUGCAUCUGACUAACCGGUCUAUUACUACUAACCUUUAGGCACAAAGAAUGUCUUUCGAUGUGAGUGAUAGAGAAGACUGCAACCGUAGUCUCCUUCUAACCUUGGUAAGGAUGAUCUAUUGUUCUAAUGGGGAGGCUAACGGAAUCUAGACAACACAAAGGAUGUUCGACCCGCACCUAUAAACCCUAUCCUUCCUGCUAACGAGAUGUGAUCUACAAAGGUAGCUCGGAAUUGUCACGUUCCUCACUACUACCACGGUCCAGCUAGUCAGGGAAUAUCUAUGAGUACCCCAGCCUAAACACCACGUUUACGCCAGCAAUGAUUACUCUAAACUCUACGCGAAGAGAUUAAAGUAAACUCAUAAACCAUAAGAACAAUAAAACAAGAACUUACUAGAAUUUAGAAGUCGAAUUACUGAAGAAUCCUAGGAGCAAGCUUCGGGUUAGGAGAACUUGAUCCCGCAGGUACAAGCUUGGAGUAGACACCGACAGGUCGGGCUUCCUCCACUCUACACCUCCACUCUAUAUCUCUCAAUCUAGUAGAAACUAGAAGAUCUAUUUCUACCUUACAUUGAUUGCUAAGCCUAAAAAGAAAUAUUAAUUAGAGAAGAGGUUUUCCUUCAAGGGCACCCCUCAGUCUCUAUGAUAAUUUCUUCAUGUCCUCCAGGGGCCAGGGGGGCCUCGCUUAUAUAGUCCUCCCCUUCUAUGCGUUUUUAGGUCGAUAGCCGAGGUGGUACUAUGUUUUUCUUGAUCCAAUAGGUCGGUGGAAUAUCCCGAGUGAAGGAGUCCUGAAUUGGCUCCAACAGGGGGGCGGGCGCCCAGGCUACCAGGGCGGGCGCCCUGGGCCUGGCCCAGCUUUGCCUCCGCUUUGGUCUCGUGGCUUCUGGAGUCUUCUAGAUGAUGUAAAAUUGCGCGGUGCGUUGAUAUCUCUAUGUAAUCCCGACAUGUGGGCCUUUCUUCCUUAUUUCCUGAUAACCCCCUGCAGAAAUAGAUAAACAACAAAACUCGUGGAAUUCUGUCAGAUCAAACCCUAAUUCUAGGUGAUGGUUGCAUAUUGGUCCUUUCUCUUGUUUAUUUGAUAAUUAAAAUUGAUACUUAAGAACCGUCAACAAAUACCCCCAUACUUAGGCUUUUACUCGUCCUCGAGAAAAGGAUGGUUGAGAAUAAUAUCUGGGGUAAACAUUUAAAACAUUCUCUUUAUAAUUGCAGGGUGUCAAAAAUUCCACUGUGUACCAUAGUCAUGGAAGUAUAUGGUUAAGAGUAAAGAUCCUUUCUUCUCAAUCCUGUCACUUGGAGUUUUUGUAUAUUUUUGAAAGAAAGUUAGCAUACCUUUUUAUCCUCAUAGGUUCUCUCAGAUCACUCAUUAUCUUUUGUAUAUAUAUCUCACUGAGGCUGUUUUAAUUUUGCAAAAAUUCUCAAGCAUACUUACUUUGCAUUUAUUGCUUGAUCAAAACGGGAUCCGAGGAGGGGAAUGUCAUACUCUUAGAUCAAAGACUUUAGAAAUUAAAAACUUUGUCAACUCUUGCUGGCAUAUUGCUUAUUAGAGGGACCAUGGGCUAUCAUUUUUUUUCUCUUUUUCUCUCUCUCUUUUUUUUUAAGUGGAUACCGAGGUACCCCUAAUUCUACUGCCGGACACUUGUCCAUUUUUUCUGCGAGGUUGUCGAGCACUUGCUCCUUUUUAUUUCCUCGAAAUAUCUUCUAUUUUUGCAUAGCCCAUGCCUCUAAUGCAAUAAUACUUCGGAAGAGUGAAUCUUACUGAAAUAGUGUCUUGAUCUUGGGAGCAUGAUAAAUCUCUCAACAAGGGUCUAACUUAUUUUGAACAAACUCAAUACAGAGCAGAUAGCUUUUAUAAUCAUAAUUAAUAUUUUCAGUCUUAUCAGGCAUAUAAAACACUGAGGAUGGUAGCUAUAAUUUUGAAUAUUUUGAAAUAAAUUCUCCAAGCAACAAUGAUAUCAAGAAUAAGAAACUCAUACUCUACCAUCACAUAUUCCAUAAUGACUUAAGUAACACAGGGUUUUAAAAUGACUUUAUAAUAAUUGCAAGUUUUCAGGAAAUAUCACAGAUUGAGAUUAAUCAUGAUUAGAAAUAUUUUACUCUUUUUAUUUUAUCAUGUCGGAAACAGUAAUCUGCAUAAUCCAAAAUAAAUGUAUGUAUGAAGUAAAGUGUGCAGAAUGUGUACCUGAAUCGUGGAGUGGUGUAGUCGGAGUGUGUUUGGCAUGUUGAGGGAUCUCCCCCAUACUUGUUUUCUGCUUUCUUGCACAAAAGUAAAGUAGAGACACACAAGACAUAAUAAUAAUAAUAAUACUCUUUAUUGAUCUUGAGGCAUUUAUUACAAAAGACUGAUAGCAAACUGAUGAUAAUAGUAAAUUGAUGAUAAUAGCAAACCUAAACCGAAUUUAAAGAUAGAUAACUAAGAUGCAUUGCCUCAAGGUCUAAUCUAGAUAACUUAGCGGCGCUCUAAUUCCUUGAUCUUCCUGUUGGCACUGGCAAGAUCCUGCCUAAGGCCUAGUAUAACGGUGUUGUGGUUAGAGAGCUGCCUAGUGAGGGAAUUAAUCGAGGACUGGAGGUCUAUGAUAACUCUAUCUAACCUGCGAACUUUCUCAUCAAUAUCCAUUAUAGUCUUGCGACGCUUGGGAGGUGUCUCAAAAGCAUUGAGAGAGUGCUUUGGGGCUGCCUUUGGAGGGAUGAAACGGACUUUGGCUGCUCUAAUCCCUUCAAAGUAAGGCCUUUCCUCCUUCGUAGUGUAGCGAACGCUGCUGAUCUCGCCGCUUCGGUUGGUCUUGACUCCAACGACCCUCUCAUUGGGUCUAGGUGGAAGGAUCCUUGUGCCGAUUGGCACCUUGAUAGUGGUCUUCGUCUUGGAUGAUGGUCCUUUGAGGAGUAGGGGUUGUGGUGGUGCGGUGAGAACUGGUUGAGCAUGGUAAGAUUGGGCGGAGCUGCGUUGACGUAAUGGUAUGGCUUCUAGCUGACGCUCUGUGUUGGCCGGGACGAGAGCACUAGCAUCGGGGUCUUCCACUGGCUCCAUGUUGAGGUUGAAGGGGACGACUUCCCAAUCAUCGUGGUAUUUCUCGGCCAUUGGAGUAGCAAGGAACUAAUAAAAUUUUAAUUGAAAGAGAGCUAAUCAAGCUCUAAUUGAAGGAGAGAAAGCUUGGUGGCUUGGUGUUUGAAAACUGAGGUCAGGGGUCUGUUUAUAUAGGGGUCAAAAGGGUGCCUCUAUGGGUUGUUCGGGUUGCUCCCGUCGAUGUGCGUGCGAAACUUUCCAUCCGAGGGAUUAUUCGGAUCACCCUAAGUGCAUUUUCCAUAACAGAGAAAGUCGGGACCGAGAGGGAACAGGGGCUGGGCGCCCGCCCUCUUUCUGGCCCCUCUGUGGGCCCACUUCUCCGAGCGUGCUUCUAGAUGCGAAAUUAUUUAGAAAAAAUAUAUAUAUGACCCAAAACCGUCAGACCAAAAAAAUAUCGGGCUCUAAUUCUCCAUGGGAAGGUAAAAAUGGACUACGUCUAUUUCUUCAAAUUCCUCAUUGGGCUCUAAAAAUAAUUUAAGACGUUGACCAUUUACCUUGAAUAACGUACCUUCGCUGUUCUGAAGUGUGAUAGCUCCGUGGGAUGACGAAUUGAUUACCUUGAAUGGUCCUUCCCAUUUGCUCCGGAGUUUUCCAUGCCCGAAAAGCUUUACCCUGGAAUUAAAAAGUAAUAUCUUAUCUCCGGGUGUGAAUUCCUUCUUCUUGAUUCUCUUGUCAUGCCACCUCUUGACUCUUUCUUUGUAGAUCUUUGAAUUGUGAUAUGCCUUCUCUCGCCAUUCUUCCAAUUCUGAUAGUUGCAUUCUUCUAUAAUCUCCAGCAACAUCUAGGUCCAUAUUCCAUCUCUUUAUGGCCCAGUGUGCUUUGAAUUCUAGUUCAACAGGUAGAUGGCAAGUCUUCCCGUACACCAAUUGGUAUGGAGACAUCCCAAUUGGGGUCUUGUAUGCUGUCCGGUAUGCCCAGAGUGCAUCGGGUAACUUGUCUUUCCACGCCGUUCCCAUUUCAUUUACCGUCUUCUGAAGAAUAUUCUUGAUUUGUUUGUUGGAAGUCUCUGCUUGGCCACUUGUCUGAGGAUGAUAGGGGGUAGCGACGUUGUGACGGAUUCCAUGUCUUGAUAGAUAUUGCUUGAAGCGUUUGUCGAUGAAGUGUGCUCCUCCAUCACUUAUCACUACUCUGGGAACUCCAAAUCUUGGAAAUAUAAUUUCUUCAAACAUCCUCUUUGAACUGACGUUCUCGGCAUGCUUGCAAGGUAAUACCUCUACCCACUUGGAGACAUAGUCAACUGCCACCAAGAUAUACUCACACUUCUUUGAUGGAGGAAAUGGACCCAUGUAGUCUAUUCCCCAGACAUCAAAGAGCUCAAUCUGAAGGUUGUUGGUGAGUGGCAUUGCAUCCCUUGUAUUUAUGUUUCCGUGCCUUUGACAUGGCCCACAUCUUCUAAUAUAUUGCUUCGUGUCCUCAUACAUUGUAGGCCAAUAGAAUCCACACUGCCAGAUCUUUGAAUGUGUACGGAAUGCUCCAUAGUGACCUCCAUAUGGUGAUGAAUGACAUCUGUCGAUGAUCUUCCAUCCUUCCUCAGUGGUCACACAUCUCCUGAGUAAGCCAUCAGAGCAUACUCGGAAGAGGUAUGGCUCAUCCCAUAUAUGUGAACGACUUUCUUGAAUAAGCUUCUUCUUGUUUGCUCCUGGUGGUACAUACCCUGAAACCAUAAAAUUAACAAUAUCUGCAUACCAGGGGUCAGACCUGUUAAUCCCGUAGAGCAUGUCGUCCCGAAGUGAAUCAUUGAUGGGGGUUUCCAGUGGACUCUUAAAAUACAUUCUAGACAAGUGAUCAGCAAUAGAAUUUUCUACUCCUUUUUUAUCUUUUAUUUCUAAGUCUAAUUCUUGGAGUAAUAAGAUCCAUCUAAUCAGGCGAGGUUUAGCAUCUUUUUUAGUGAGCAAAUAUUUUAAUGCAGCAUGAUCAGUGUAAACAAUUAUUUUAGCUCCAACUAAAUAAGAUCUAAAUUUAUCAAUGGCAAAGACAACAGCUAGAAGCUCUUUUUCAGUGGUUGCAUAAUUAAGUUGAGCUCCUGUCAAAGUUUUACUGGCAUAAGCAAUUGCAUGAUGCUUCUUAUCUUUAGUUUGUCCCAAUACUGCCCCCACAGCAUAAUCACUAGCAUCACACAUAAUUUCAAAAGGCAACGACCAAUCAGGGGGUUGAAUGAUUGGUGCAGAGAUGAGUGCUUUCUUUAAUAAAUUGAAAGAUGUUAGACAUGCAUCAUCAAAUUCGAAAGGAGCAUCUUUGGCUAGCAAAAGAGUAAGUGGUCUAGCAAUAAAUGAAAAAUCUUUUAUGAAUCUACGAUAAAAACCAGCAUGGCCAAGAAAGCUUCGAAUUCCUUUUAUAUUCACGGGUGGAGGUAGUUGUUCAAUUACUUCAAUUUUAGCUUUGUCUACCUCAAUACCUCUUUCAGACACUAAGUGUCCUAGCACUAUUCCUUCUCUAACCAUAAAAUGACAUUUUUUCCAAUUAAGGAUUAAGUGCUUUUCUUCACAUCUUUGCAAAACCUUGUCUAAGUUUUCAAGACAACUAUCAAAAGUUUUUCCAUAAACAGAGAAAUCAUCCAUGAAAACUUCCAUAAUCUCUUCAAUCAUAUCAGAAAAUAUAGACAUCAUGCAUCUUUGAAAAGAAGCUGGUGCAUUACAUAACCCGAAAGACAUUCUACGAUAAGCAUAAGUUCCAUAUGGGCAUGUAAAAGUGGUUUUGCUUUGAUCAUCGGGAUGGAUCGGGAUUUGAUGAUACCCUGAAUAUCCAUCUAAGAAACAGAAGAAUGAAUGGUUUGCUAACCGCUCUAGCAUCUCAUCUAUAAAAGGUAAAGGAAAGUGAUCCUUUCUCGUGGCUCUGUUUAAUUUUCUAUAGUCUAUGCACAUCCGCCAUCCUGUGACGGUGCGUUGCGGAAUUAGCUCAUUCUUUUCAUUCAUAAUAACUGUCAUGCCUCCCUUUUUAGGCACAACUUGCACUGGGCUUACCCACUCACUGUGCGGCACAGGAUAUAUAAUCCCUGCAUGCAGCAACUUUAUAACUUCCUUUUUAACUACCUCUCUCAUAGUGUUGUUAAGUCUACGUUGGGGUUCUCGAGAGGGUGUAACAGAAGGAUCUGUUGGAAUACGAUGGGUACAAAUCAUAGGACUGAUUCCUGUAAGAUCUUGAAGUGAGUAGCCGAAAACUGAUUGAUGUUUCUCAAGAAUGGUCAUUAAUCGCAGAGUUUGAUCCUGAGUGAGUUUAUCGCUAAUGAUCACAGGGAACUCUGGAUUAUUGUUUAGGAAAGCAUAGGUAAGACCGGGUGGUAAAGUCUUGAGCUCUAUAGGAGGUCUAGGUGUUUCUGCAAACUCAACUAAGGGUUCAGGCUCAGAAGGUUCGUCUUCUUCUUCUGUGAAGAAAGGAGUUUCGUCUUCUAAGUCUGGUUCAUCUAAAAGCUCUAGAGAUGCAGCCUUUACCUCCUCCAUAGGAUCAGGCAAAAGAUAUGACUCGGCCUUAUUAUUUAAGGAGUGUGAAAUUAUUAUUGGGAAUUGAAAAGUUUUUCCAAAAGAAAUGUGUAGCUUUCCAGUAUGACCUUCAUAAAGGAGUCUUCUAAAAGGUUGUCCUAUCAACAGGUCGAAGUCCCAUGUAUCAAAGAUAUAGAAGUUCAAAUGAACCAUGGAGCCUUCUACUGUAAGAGGUAGGACAUUAAUAAUUCCAAGACUGGGGACUAAUCGUCCCGAAGAUUCCUUUAUGACCUUUGUUGUGGGGGUUAAGAUAAGAUUUUUAAAUAGUUUAAGUGCAAAGGAUUCAGACAUAAUGUUGAUCCCCACAACAGGAUUAUAAAGAGCAUUAAAUCGAUCAGAAUUAUAAGCACAACGUAUAGUUAUAGAGGGUGUGUCCAAUCGGAUCACAUCAGAGGAAAGCUCUGAUUCCUCCAACCAUUCGCUACUCAUUACUGAGAUAAGCUCUCUCAAUUGAUAUUCACUUGGUAAAUAAAUGCUAAACUGGCCGUUUUGGGGUUUGUCAAUAGAAUGGUAAUUUGAAAUAUUUCCAAAAUCGGCAAAAAGAUCGGACUCUAUAUCCAGCAUGAAGUCCGGUAGUGGAAUUUCUUCCUCUUGUGGCUCAGAACUUGGGAUAGCUAAAGUAGAAGAAUUUGGCAGAGUGUCUACUUCGGCUUCGUAGGUUUCAUCAUGAAGGGUAUUAUCCAUCUCAGCUUCUAGGAUUCUAUCUAGGAUCACUCUAGCUUCAUCAGCAGGGAUGCGAAAGAAAGAACCUCUAGACAUAGUGUGCAGCAUUUGUUUGUGAUUUUUAUGAAGACCUCGAAAAAAGUGAAAUAAAAGAACAGGGUCUUCAAGAUUAAGGUUUGGACCAGAUUCUAAAAGAUCAGAAAAACGUUUCUAGGAUUUUCCCAAAGUUUCAUUAUCUUUUUGUUUAAAAGAUAGGACUUCGAGUCUAAGGUCGGCUAUACGGUCAAGGGAAUAGAAAUCUAGACAAAAGUUGGCUCGUAAAACUCCCCAUUCACCUUGUUGUUGACUUACCUUCUGACUGUACCAUUGUCUAGCUUCUCCCCUUAGAGAAAAAGGAAAAAGCUUCCAACGUAAAGUCUUAUCAGAAAUGCCUUCAAUGCGAAGACAAUCACAUGUUUGCUCAAAAUCUCUAAUAUGAAGGUAAGGGUUUUCGUCUUCCUUUCCCGAAAAAGAUAGGUUUGAAUCAUGGCAAUCAACCUAGAACUUAACUUAUACUGGGGUGUUUGGAUAGGCUGUGAUGAUUCCCAUGGUAAAAGGUCAGUUGCUAAAGGGAUUGCAGACUCAUGGAUCGAUUUAGAAUUUUGGUUUUCCAUAAGGUAAGAGUAAAGGAAAAUAAAUAAAGAAUAAAAGAUAAGAAAAGAUAAAAGUAUAGAUAAAAGCUAAUAGCAAGACACAGGUUAUCUCAGCAACCGUCUUUCUCCCCGGCAACGGCGCCAGAAAUGCUAGUUGAUAUUUGGGAACGCAAUAAGGAAUUGAUCCGCAAGCGCACGAAUAUCGGUGAGCAUUUCACCCGGGAAAUUAUCCAGAGUAUCGUAUUUAUUUUUUUACCUCUAGGAGAAAGAGUGCAUCUGACUAACCGGUCUAUUACUACUAACCUUUAGGCACAAAGAAUGUCUUUCGAUGUGAGUGAUAAAUAGAGAAGACUGCAACCGUAGUCUCCUUCUAACCUUGGUAAGGAUGAUCUAUUGUUCUAAUGGGGAGCCUAACGGAAUCUAGACAACACAAAGGAUGUUCGACCCGCACCUAUAAACCCUAUCCUUCCUGCUAACGAGAUGUGAUCUACAAAGGUAGCUCGGAAUUGUCACGUUCCUCACUACUACCACGGUCCAGCUAGUCAGGGAAUAUCUAUGAGUACCCCAGCCUAAACACCACGUUUACGCCAGCAAUGAUUACUCUAAACUCUAUGCGAAGAGAUUAAAGUAAACUCAUAAACCAUAAGAACAAUAAAACAAGAACUUACUAGAAUUUAGAAGUCGAAUUACUGAAGAAUCCUAGGAGCAAGCUUCGGGUUAGGAGAACUUGAUCCCGCAGGUACAAGCUUGGAGUAGACACCGACAGGCCGGGCUUCCUCCACUCUACACCUCCACUCUAUAUCUCUCAAUCUAGUAGAAACUAGAAGAUCUAUUUCUACCUUACAUUGAUUGCUAAGCCUAAAAAGAAAUAUUAAUUAGAGAAGAGGUUUUCCUUCGAGGGCACCCCUCAGUCUCUAUGAUAAUUUCUUCAUGUCCUCUAGAGCCUCGCUUAUAUAGUCCUCCCCUUCUAUGCGUUUUUGGGUCGAUAGUCGAGGUGGUACUAUGUUUUUCUUGAUCCAAUAGGUCGGUGGAAUAUCCCGAGCGAAGGAGUCCUGAAUUGGCUCCAACAGGGGCGCGGGCGCCCUGGGCCUGGCCUAGCUUUGCCUCCGCUUCGGUCUCGUGGCUUCUGGAGUCUUCUAGAUGAUGUAAAAUUGCGCGGUGCGUUGAUAUCUCUAUGUAAUCCCGACAUGUGGGCCUUUCUUCCUUAUUUCCUGAUAACCCCCUGCAGAAAUAGAUAAACAACAAAACUCGUGGAAUUCUGUCAGAUCAAACCCUAAUUCUAGGUGAUGGUUGCAUAUUGGUCCUUUCUCUUGUUUAUUUGAUAAUUAAAAUUGAUACUUUAGAACCAUCAACAACUAUCACUAUCAUGUUCAUGUUCACUUUCACUUUCACUCUCAUCAUAUUGUACCUUGUGGCCCUUGGCCAUGAAGCAUGAAGGAGUGUCGAAGAGUGAUGGCUUGUUGUUGAUAGCAAAGCUAGCAAGUGCCUUCUUCUUGGAUGCUUUGUCAUCAUCACUUGAAUCAUCAUCUGAAGAGGCAUCACUAUCCCAUGUCACAACAUAGGAUCCACCCUUCUUCUUCUUCUUCUUGAAAACCAUCUUCUUCUCUUUCUUUUCUUUCUUCUCCUUCUUGUUCUUCUUCUCAUGCUCAUCAUGAUCACUAUUGUAAGGACAAUCCGCCACAAUAUGAUCGGGGCUCUUGCACUUGUAGCAUAGCCUCACAUACUCCUUGUUCUUGGAGUUGUCCCUUCUCUUUCUUGUAUGGUAGCCCUUCUUCUUCAUCAUCUUGCCAAACUUGCGGACAAAGAGUGCUAGUGCUUCAUCAUCACUAUCAUCAUUGGAGCACUCCUCAUCACUUGAUUCUUCCUUCUUGGCCUUGCCCUUGUUCUUGCUCUUGGAUGAAGAGCUAGCUUUGAAUGCUACACUCUUCUUCUUCUUAUCAUCAUCAUCCUUCGUCAUGACCUCAUCAUCAUCGUUGUUAUUGUAUUGAUCUUCGGUCAUGACAUCUCCAAGUACCUCAUUGGGAGAUACACCGGUCAAUCCACCUCUAAAGAUGAUUGUUCUCAAUGUCUUGAAUCUCUUGGGCAAGCACAUUAAGAACUUGUGAAUGAAAUCCUCAUCCUUCACUUUCUCACCAAGGCCCUUGAGAUCAUUGAUGAUGACUUGGAGCCUAUAGAACAUCUCCGGAAUUGACUCAUCAUCCUUCAUCUUGAAGUUUGAAAGCUUGUCCUUGAGCAUGUAUAACUUGGCACUUUUUACCGUUGUAGUGCCCUCAUAUGUUUCUUCUAGUCUUGUCCACACUUCACUUGCCUUCUCAAGAUCUUUGACUUGUUCAAAUACUUUUGAAUCAAUGCCAUUAUAGAUUGUGUUGAGAGCCAUAGUAUUGCAUUGCUUGUUGGCUCUCUCAUUGUCGGUGGGGUUAGCCGGAUCAAGAAUCACAAAGUCAUUUUCGGUAACUUCCCACACUCUAUCAUUUAUUGAUCCAAGAUACAUUUUCAUCUUUCUCUUCCAAUAGUCAAAAGAACUUGUGCCAUCAAAGAACGGUGGUUUGCCCCCAACAUGGUUGAACACUAUUUGAGCCAUAAUUUGAGCACCGAGGUUGUUAAGCCUUCACAAACGGUGACCACGGCUCUGAUACCACUUGAAAGGUCCUAAUAUGGCUAGAGGGGGGGUGAAUAGCCUAUUUAAAAAUUCUACAAACUCACUAGAGCAAGAGGUUAGUAAAUAACAAAGCGAAGCUUUUUGCUCUAGCUCUAAUGGGGUGUAUGCAAGCCACCUACCCAACAAUUCUAGUUGCUAUGAUCACUAUGCGCACAAGAACUAAGUCACUACUUACACUAGAAAGCUACCUAAAGUUUCUAUACAAGUAAGUAAGCUACUCUAGUUUGCGGGAAUGUAAAAGAGAUGGUUUGAACUUUAUACCGCUGCGUAGAGGGGAUGAACCAAUCAAUAAUAUGAAGUCCAAUCACCGGAAGAAAUCCAAUGAACAAUCACAAUGGAGACACACAAUUUUUCUCCCGAGGUUCACGUGCUUGCCGGCACGCUACGUCCCCGUUGUGUCGACCAACACUUGGUGGUUCGGUGGCUAAGAGGUGUAGCACGAACCUCGUCCUCACUAGGACACCACAAGAACCUACCCACAAGUGAGGUAGCUCAAUGACACGAGCAAUCCACUAAUGUUGCCUUUGGCACUCCGCCGAGGUAGGCACAAACCUCUCACAAUCACCGGGAGAUGGCCACGAACAAUCACCAACUCGUGCCAAUCCUCCUCCGCUGCUCCAAGCCGUCUAGGUGGCGGCAACCACCAAGAGUAACAAGAAAACCGCAGCUAAAACGAUCCCCAAGUGCCACUAGAUGCAAUCACUCAAGCAAAUGCACUUGGAAUCACUCCCAAUCUCACAAAGAUGUUUAAUCUAUGGAGGAGAUGAGUGGGAGGUGUUUGCUUAGGCUCACAAGGAUGUCAAGUAUGUUAGAAUGCCAAGAGAGUAAGCCCCAAGCCGGCCAAACAUGUAUUUAUAGCCCCUCAAACAAAUAGAGCCGUUGGCUCUUUCACUGGGCGAAAAACGGGGUCACCGGACGCUCUUAAAGGGGCACCGGACGCUCAGCCCUUGCGUCCGGUGCUCCAACGUCAGCCGCGUGUCAGAGUCUAACGGUAACCUGCAGAGCACCGGACGCUUGAGCAAGUUAGCACCGGACGCGUCCGGUGCACACCGGACUCAUGCGCAGAGAGCUCCGUAAACUCGUAGGGUCACCGGACGCAAGCCACCGGACGCACCCUUAGCGUCCGGUGCUCACCGGACCCAUGCGCAGAGAGGGUCGCCAAGACACCCGCACACCGGACGCGCACCACCGGACGCUCAAGCCAGCGUCCGGUGCCUUACCCUAGCUGGGCUAGGCACUGUCUGCACCGGACGCUCAGACUUAGCGUCCGGUGCCUCAGUGGCCAGCGUCCGGUGAGUGUUUUCUCAGCGAGAAACACUCCCACGACUUCUCCAAAAUUUCCCACCGGCGCAAUAGAAAAUAUGCACUUCAUUUUCUCGAAAAGCGCCGAAUCCUGCCUCGCAAGCUCGGCGGGAGGGAGAGAGGAACCCAUCCCCUCUCUACCCUUGAAACUCGACCUCCUUCUCAAAGUGUGCCAACACCACAACGUGUGUACCAACGAGCGUGCACGUGUGUUAGCAUUUUCACAAUCAUUUUCUUUGAAGGAGUUAAGUUAGCUCACUAGGUUCUAAAUGCAUGCACAUGAACAAUGACACCUAGUGGCACUUGAUAACCGCUUAGCCAAAGAAUUCCCCUCUUUAUAGUACGGCUAUCUAUCCUAAAUGUGAUCACACCCUCUAUGGUGUCUUGAUCACCAAAACCAAAACCCUAAGCAAUACCUUUGCCUUGAUCUCCAAAGGGUUUUGUUUUUCUCUUUCUUCUUUUCCAAGUUGAGCACUUGAUCAUCUUGUGGUCAUCACCAUCAUCACCAUGAUCAUUACUUGCUCCAUCACUUGGCAUGUACCAACCUCAUUAAGUCUACACACACUUAGUAUAGAGGUUAGUACUAGGGUUUUAUCAAUUAUCCAAAACCAAACUAGGGCUUUCAGCCAUCUAGGGCAUCGGGAAACACCCAAGAGUAACAAGAAAUCCGCAGCAAACUCACGAAUCAAGUGCCACUAAAUGCAACUCUCAAAGCAAUGCACUUGAAUCUCACUCAAUCUCACUAGGAUUAGCAAUCAGGCAAGGAGAUGAGUGGAGGGAGUGUUCUCUAGCUCAAAGUAUGCCUCAAGUAAUCAAAUGUGCAAGAGAGAACCCCCAAAAGCCGGCCACCAACUAUUUAUAAGCCCCUCGAAGAAACUAGCCGUUGGCUGUUUUCACUAGGCUAAAAACGGGGGCACCGGACGCUACUAAGUGAGCACCGGACGCUCGACUCCCUGCGUCCGGUGCACUGGAGUUGGCCACGUGUCCGUCCUGAAUCUCGCGUGUCAGAUCCUAACGGUCACCUGCGGAUCACCGGACGCUCUGCAGGUUUACACCGGACGCGUCCGGUGCACACCGGACUCAUGCGCAGAGAGUUUGUCAAACUCGUGACCUCACCGGACGCUGGGCACCGGACGGUCCGGUGCUCACCGGACUCGUACGCAGAGAGGGUUGCAAAAACCCCUCACACCGGACGCUACCAGAGUGCGUCCGGUGCUCAACCCUAGCAGAGUCAAGCUCUGACAGCACACCGGACGCUCGGGCCAGCGUCCGGUGCCUCCGCACUGAGCGUCCGGUGAGUGUUUCCAACUGAGAAACACUUCCGCGACUUCUUCAAAUUUCCCACCGGCGCAAUAGAAAAUAUACACUUAAUUUUCUCAAAAGCGCCGAAUCCCGCCUCGCAAGCUCGGAGGGAGGGAGAGAGGAACCCACACCCCUCUCAACCCUAGGAAAAACACCUCCUUUGCAAAAGUGCUAACACCAACAAGUGUCCACCACCAAAGUGCAAGUGUGUUAGCUUUUCACAAACAUUUUCACCAAGGGAGUUAAGUUAGCACUUUACUAGAUCCUAAUGCAUAUGCUCAAGAUAUGGACCUAGUAGCACUUGAUUCGAGAGAUGACCGUGAUUUCCCCUCUUGAUAGUCGGCUAUUUAUCCUAAACCUGGUCAAUCACUUCUCUACUCAUCUUAGACCGGCAAAAGUAAAACCCUAUAUUUAUACCUUUGCCUUGUUCACUUUCUCCCUUGUCUGUCAUCAUGAUCUCCACAUCAUGCUUCAUCUCUUUGUAUUCAUGUGGCCACCUUUCCAUGCCACCAUGCACCUUCAUCACAUGUGUUGCUAUGCCUAACUCAAAUCACUUAAACACAAGGCAUUAGCAACUUGGUGUCAUUAAUUACCAAAACCAAACUUGGGCUUUCAAUCUCCCCCUUUUUGGUAAUUGAUGACAACCAUCACAAAGAUAUGAAAUGAAAUCAUAAUGAACUUGAAUUGCUUGUCCAAAGCAUUUUAAUCAUGAGACAAGGUUGGACAAACAUUUCAAUUUUGGUUUUGGUAGUACUAGCUCCCCCUACAUAUGUGCUUCCAUGAGUUUGGUUCAAGUUUGCACAUAUGCAUAAAUUAGAGUUUUGGGAGAUUUAUUACUACCAAAAUUAUGCUAAGGUAUAUAGAAUGGACCUUUGAAGCGUGAUACCAAUCGGAGUUGCCAAUAUACCAUCCUUAGCACCAAUGUAGCUAGACAUACAUCAAAAACUCAAUAUACCUCGUGAGAUCACAUUAUAUGUCUAGAUACCACAAGAAAAUAAAACUCUAUGCUAGAAUUCAAAACAUCAUUCAAGUUCUAUUUCUAGCAAGCACCAAUCAAACAAGAGUCGUGAAUUUAAAUUUGCAAUGCAACAACUCAUUAUGUUAGUGCACAUACAAAUGCAACAAAUGGUUCAUGAGCUUGCUCCCCCUAUUUGUGUGCUCAAGCUUAAAAAGUUUAAAAAGUUUUCUCUCCUUUUUUUUGUUUAUCUCCCUCUUUUUGACUUUAUCUUUGUUUCUCUCCCCCUUUGUCAUCAAUGACCACAAAGGUUCAAAAUUUUAGUGAGAAUUAAGUCAAUCAAUGUGAGGGUCAAAUUAUGGUUCAAUCUAGAUCACUUGCCUAGAACAUGUAAUUCGGUUUGAUCCAAGGACAAGCUUUUUCACACCUCAUAAAGUAUAAGGGUUAUCUUGACCAUGUUGAAUUACACAUCAUAAGCUCAUAUUCUAGAUUCAACGCUAGGCUUGCAAGCUCACAAACAUGUCAUAUGCUACCACUAGAUCAAUCAAUCAUAGAAGCAAUAGUGGUACCAUACAUACAUCAAAAUAUUUUUUUUUUCAUGAAUGAGCCUAUUUGUCAUGCAAAUAUGUCUAUAUGUUCUAAUCAUGUCCUUAGCAAAGUAUGAAUGAUAUGUCAACCAACUUUACCUUGCUUUGUUGGAGGAGAGGCAUGUCAUAUAUAAAUGUGGGGGCGCACUCAUCUCAAGUUGGAGAAGUCAAGUAUGUUCAAUUCAUUUCUUAACUUCCAAAAUCUCUUCUCAUCAAGUGGCUUCGUGAAGAUGUCGGCUAAUUGAUCUUCGGUCCCAAUGCUUUCAAUGCUAAUAUCACCCUUUUGUUGAUGAUCUCUUAUGAAAUGAUGCCUUAUGUCAAUGUGCUUGGUUCUUGAAUGUUGAACCGGAUUUUGUGUCAUUUUGAUUGCACUCUCAUUGUCACAUAGCAAAGGCACAUUCUUGAAUUUAAUUCCAAAGUCAUUCAAGGUAGCUUUAAUCCAAAGUAAUUGUGCACAACAACUACCGGCACUAAUGUAUUCGGCCUCGGCGGUUGAUAGUGCAACACUAUUUUGUUUCUUUGAUGACCAUGAAACUAGAGACCUUCCCAGCAAUUGACAAGUGUCACUUGUGCUCAUUCUAUCAAUCUUGUAUCCACCAUAGUCGGAGUCCGAAUAUCCAAUUAACUCAAAGUUAGACCCCUUGGGAUACCAUAAUCCAACAUCAUGAGUGCCUUUAAGAUACCUCAAUAUCCUCUUUGUUGCCUUCAAGUGACUUCCCUAGGUGAAGCUUGGUAUCUUGCACACUUGCACACACUAAACAUCACAUCCGGCCUUGAUGCGGUGACAUAGAGCAAACUUCCAAUCAUGGACCGAUAUAGCUUUUGAUCUACCAUGUUGCCACUUGCAUCACUAUCUAAUUGAUCAUUUGUGCCCAUAGGUGUGCUCAUUGGUUUAGCUUCUUGCAACCCAAACUUCUUGAUCAUGUCCUUGAUGUACUUUCCUUGACUUACAAAAGUGCCAUUCUUCAUUUGCUUGAUUUGAAGACCAAGGAAGUAACUAAGCUCUCCAAUCAUGGACAUCUCAAAUUCAUUUGCCAUCAUUUUUCCAAACUCUUCACAAAAGUCUUGAUUGGUUGAUCCAAAGAUGAUAUCAUCAACAUAGAUUUGCAACACAAACAAGUCAUUGCCUAGCUUCUUGGUGAAGAGGGUAGUGUCAACCUUUCCCAUCUUGAACCGUUUAGAGAGAAGGAAAUCUCUCAAUCUCUCAUACCAUGCUCUAGGUGCUUGCUUCAAACCAUACAAUGCCUUCUUGAGCUUGUAAACAUGGUUGGGUUUCUUGUCAUCUUCAAAACCGGGAGGUUGUUCAACAUAAACCAACUCAUUGAUGUAUCCAUUGAGAAAUGCACUCUUCACAUCCAUUUGAUAGAGCUUGAUGUUGUGGGCACAAGCAUAGGCUAAUAAUAUUCUAAUUACCUCCAAUCUUGCAACCGGUGCAUAUGUUUCUCCAAAGUCAAGACCUUCAACUUUAGUGUAGCCUUGUGCUACUAGUCUUGCUUUGUUUCUCACAACUACACCAUCUUGAUCUUGCUUGUUUCUAAAGACCCACUUGGUACCAAUCACAUUGUAGUUCUUUGGCCUCUCAACAAACUCCCACACUUGAUUUCUUGUGAAGUUGUUCAAUUCUUCAUGCAUGGCAUUUACCCAAUCAGAAUCUUUCAAUGCAUCUUCUAUCUUCUUUGGUUCCUCAAAUGAGACAAAUGAAUAGUGCUCACAAAAGGAAGCUAGCCUUGAUCUUGUUUGCACACCACUUUGAAUACCUCCAAUGACUUGAUCCAAUGGAUGAUCCCUUGCUAUACUAGUAGGUUGGAGUAUUGGGAGUUGAUUGCUUCCACUAGCUUGAUUUUGAUCUUGAUCAUCAUCAUGAGAGCCACUAGUACUAGCUUGAUUUGUAUCAAUUUGCACUUCUUGAUUGAUCAUGUGAAUGUCAUUAUCAUCAUCAACUUGCAUUGGCCUUAUGUCACCUACAUCCAUGUUCUUCAUUGCAUUAGCCAAUUGAUCUCCUCUCACAUCAUCAAGAUUUUGAACUUCAUUUUUAGAUCCCUCGGUUUCAUCAAACUCCACAUCAUGGACUUCUUCCAAUGUGCCACUUGCCAAGUUCCAAACUCGAUAUGCCUUGCUUGUGGUGGAAUAACCAAGUAAGAACCCUUCAUCACAUUUCUUCUCAAACUUGCUCAAUCUAGUGCCUUUCUUGAGAAUGUAGCAUUUGCAACCAAACACUCUAAAGUAUGCAAUGUUGGGCUUUCUUCCAUUCAAUAGCUCGUAUGGUGUCUUCCCAAGCUUCCCAUGGCAAUAGAGACGGUUGCUGUUGACACUUCUUAACGCAACCACCGGAUAUCGGCGACGGCGCCAGAAGUGCCCUGGUAGGGUAACUCUAUUUACUAUUGGAUAAUUCCGCAAGCGCACAGAAUGUACCGCUGUAGCACUUCACCAAGGAGUAUUCCAAGGUAUCGUAAUUUAUAUUUUCCCAAGGGAAAGCGGCUAAGUGUGUUUAACAAAAAGGGGAAUGAGAUUCCUUGAGUUGUCUAGUAUCAACUAGUGAAUAAGGGUGGUAAAUAACGAAUAGGAAGGGUAGUGGUGAAUCCAAGGUCCUAUGCUAAAGGUAAAUGGUAGAGUUAGCUAGGUGGGAGGACAACGAGUGAGUAAAGGACUCCUAUGUAUCUAACUUGACUUCUGUGACUUACUUUAAUAGAUAAUUGUCUUAACUACGCUAGAGCCUUACUAACUGUGUGCGAGGGAUAGCCGAGCUGGUAAGACGCUUAGAAGGUUUUUCACCUAACCCCUUACCGAAAGCGACUAUUGGGCUUAUGGACGCCUUACCUUUUAAGAACUAGCCUGUACGUGAGGAGAACCUAAUGCCGCCCACGAUCUGUCACCUACUAGGGAGUGCGCUCCUACUUUCCGUUCAAGCCAGCGGUAAUCAAAGGUAAUCUUAAGUAUGAGCACCACGCUCACACUUAAUCCUACAACGCUAACUAGUUGCAGCUAGCUAGAGCUCCUAUACAAGAUAGGACGAUGAUGCACACACAGGAGUGGUUACAGGUCACUAACUUCACUAAGACAACUAUAUUACUAAAGUAAAUGCACAACAAGACUAAAAGACUUGCACUAAGUAAGAACUCAGUAAAGUAAAGUAAGAAUAAUAUAUUAAUAAAAGGAAAGUCUUACAAAAGUAGAAAGGUACAAGAGCUAUACCAGACUCUCCAGAAGACGACUCCGGAGACCCCGAGCUUCGCUCGACUCGACUCUAACUCCCACUCUAGACUAACUACUACUCUACUUGUAUGCUUGGAACUUGUAAUGCACUUGGCCUUGGAAUUGCACACUUAAAAUGAAGGAUGGAGGCUGCCUUUUAUAGAGGGAGAUGGAGUAGGGGUUACUCCAUCGCCACGUCAUCGAUCCGCGUGACAUCUUCUCUCCACCCUUGGAUCAAACCGACCUCACAACCGCCAUUUGAUCAACGGCAGGGGCAAAUCAACAUGUGGGACAUGUGGGGAAGGUCGGUGGGAGGCCACCGACCCUGGAACCGCCUUUGAUGUGGGGUCGGGCGACCCCACUUCUGGGCCUCUGGGCCCACCAGCAGUGUCCACAGGGGUCCCUUAUGUCGGUGGACUAGGUGGCACACCUGGGUCCCACCAAAGAGGGGUCGGGCGACCCCCUCCCUGUGGGCCCAGGGUGUCACCUGUUGUCCCCUCGAUCUCCUCUUGAUGAUUCUGAUGUUGGCUUUGUCAAAUAAUGUCUUGAAUUUGUUGUUCCUGCAUAAACAAGCUAAGAGUACAAGUGGAACUAGUUAUGGAUAAAAUAUGUUCAUGUCAUGUCGUUUCCUCUUGCAACCGAGGCAUGUUGACGGUGUUUUGUAUGUGGAUUUCUAUGGUAUAUCCACCGUCAACAAGAUCCCCCAAGCUUAACCUUUGCUCGUCCAGAGCAAACAAUCAAACUUAGCCUCGGUGGAUCAGGUAUUGUUACUAUGUUCACAUUUCAAGAGUACCAUGUGUACAACAAAGUUCUUCUCUUUGCAUGAAAAAUUUAGCUAUGUAAACUUACCCCUAUUACCUUAGUCCCUUAUGGGGCUUAUGGCUUUUCCUUUGUCUUAGGUGGUUGAGAGACGGAACAGUUUGACUUGAGCACUAACUUUCUCAUUCUUAGCAAGUUUCAUAUCAGAGGUUUUGUGAUAUUUUCAAAAGAAAGUUUAAAUGUUCCUCUUAUGGUUCUCUCAUGUCACUCAAAUGGUGUAUGAUUCCUCACCAAGGCAUAUGGUAAGAGUUGCCUUCUCUAUUUCAUCCUAUUUCUAAAAGGCUUAUGUGGAGUUCAAGGUAGGGAUGAAAGGAGAUAGCAUACUUACUUUGCAUGUAUUGCGAAGUCAAAGCUCGGAUCCUUGAAGAGAAGUGUCAUACUCCCAGAUCAAGAUGUGCAAGUGUGAUAUAUGGUGGACUAGGUUGCUCCUUUAUUUGAUAGACUCUCUAUGUAUUGAGACAUGGCUAGCAUUUUUUUUCUUCUUUUUUUUUUAUAUAUGAGCUUUCAUGUGCUCAAUUUUCUUUUUCUGUGGACUUGCACAUGUCCAUCUUUUUAUUUCAUUUUGCCUAGCCUUUUGAUGUCUCAUUUACCAAAUAAUGCUUAGAGAGAUGUUCUAACAUUUAGAGUAUGGAGCAACCUAUUUAGUGGAUGCGAAAUACAUGUGGUUGCGUACUUCCAGUGUAGAAGCAGCAUAUAUAUAUAUGUGGUGUGUACGUGAUCUUGAUCUUAGGAGCAUGAAAAAGUCUCUUAACAAGGGUCAACAAGACUUGACGACACUCAACACAAAGCAAAUAGCUUAUGUGGAAAGGUUGCAAUUAUGUAAAGUAGAUAUGGCUGUGGUAGGAAUUCAUCACCAUUGAGGAACAAUUAAGGUUUUGAUCAUUUUAAGAAUAAAUCUCUGAUAAUCAUGCAUGCUUAGAAAAAUAUUAUAGUAGCUCUUGUCUUACUAUCUCAUGUCCCACAACAACUUAGACUUAGUUCUAGCACUUGCAACCCACAAAGUUUUUAGGUUCAUGGCAGUUUAAGUGAGCUAAGUGAUCCAUACUUAGAGAAAUACUAAGUUGUAUACUAGGCACUAGAGAAACAUUAACAAGCAACUAGUCAUAAUUUCCAUGAGGGAUAUAAACAUACAUGAAGCAUAUAUGCUAAAGGGAAAUGCUAAUAAAUAUUUUUUUUAAGUAAGAAUGAUAAAAUGCAUGAAAAUAAAUAGGAUAGAAUACUUACCUUAGUGGGGGAGAGGAUCUCCCCCAAGCUAGAUCUUCGCUCACUGUGGUGGCGGGAAAUUUUGGUACCAUCCAGCCCAGCGUUGUGCGUCUUCCUCUCGCACACGUCGGAUAUGUUGGCCGUUUUGUAACGCCAGUUGCAAUGUUGCUUCUUGCCCAAUCUGCAAUUCGCCCAUGUCAUUAAUGAGACUGUCCAUACCUGUGGGCUGGUGACGCCUAGCCCUGUCCCUUGGGCGUGGAGUGCGUUGUGGAGGUAGACCCAUGGAGUCUGAAGCAUCCACUGACAUCGCUCCAUCGCCCUCUUCAACGUCAUGGUGCGAGGAUCCUCCUUGCUCCAUCUGGGCGGCUUGCAUCAUCCUUCUUGUCACCCUGCGUGUCCCUGCAAUAUCUGGACUUGCCACUCGGGCUAGUCUAAUGGUAAGUGUGCGGACCCCAUACAACCGGCGCCUCGCACAUGGGAGAGGAAUUUCGGUUGUAUAGCCCGGAUAAAUCAUUUUAAGUUCACCAUUUGGAUCUCUUAUGAGCAUGUUAGCAUUGAUAAAGAAGUUCUCAUCUACCACUCCUCUAACAUAGCCAAUGUCUUCAAAAUAAUGUGAUUCAAGUAAUCCAAAAGUAUCGGCUAUUCGAGUAAUAAAGGAUGUGAAAUAGAUGGGCUUCCCAUACUCAAUAGAGUUAAGCCAAUAGUUCACUAGCAGUUUCACAGGGGAGACCUUGAUUUUACUAACCAUGGCAUAGAGAAUUUUAAGUUCAUCAUCAAUUAAAGUAUCAGUUCCCAUGCCAGGAUAUAGAGUGCACAUGAUCCAGAAGUGAAGAAAGCGCAAGGUUGGAUUAUGGAUUUCAAUGGGAGUAGGAUUUGAACAAUCAUUAGAGCCAGAAAUUGCUUUCCAAAAUCUAAAUUUAUCGAACAUUCUAGUGGCAUGAUCUAGAUCAAGUUCACAUUCAUGUUCACACCCUAAAGCAGUGUUUAGCAAACUCCAAUUUAAUUGAUGUUCUUGCUCACACAUGCGAAAAGAUAUUCCAUUAUUUGUGAGUUUUAGGGUGCAUAGAAAUUCCUUAGCAAGCAAUUCUUUUCCAAAUUCAGGCACUUGCCAAAAACUACUCCAACCAAUUGCUCUAAACACCUUAUCGAAUUCAACAUCCAUACCUGUGCGGGCCAAAAGGUCCGGAUCGAUGAUGCUAGUGUGUAGGAAGAGACCCUCUCGGAUGAUGUAGUACCUUUGCAACUCUUCUUGGCUUAACAUGAGGCCGCUCUCGGGCUCUCUCAUCCUUGAUGGAGGCUCGUAGGGUACCAUCCCAUGGUAACCUUCUUCUUCCUUCCUUCCAUGAGCAUGGUGAGAGCCUUGAGAAGAGCUCUCACCCUUUGCUUUCUUGAACUUGCCGAAGAUAUGCUUCUUCAUCCUCCUACACAAGUGAGGCAAACCAAGCUCCUACUACUACUACUAUGCAAGGGGAAUCUUUUUGGGUUUUUGUUUUGAUGACUAUUUCUAAACUAAACUUGAGAAAUGGCUUGUAACAAAGAGAGAAGAGAAAGGAUUGUGAGCUCGAAAUGGUUCUGGUGGUUUUGGGUGUGGAGUUGAGCUCACAAUGCUGUGGUAUUUAUAGGGGGAGAAGGGCAAGUAGUGGACCCACAAUAUAGGGGUCGGCCGACCCCCCCUAGAAGCACUUUGAAUUUGAGUUUAGCUUUAUACAGGGAACCAUUCUGCAUGCUUUCAAGAUUUUGCAGAGAUGGUCCAAAAUGGGGGUCGGCCGACCCCCAUCCUAGCCCCUCCUCCACUUUAAACAUUGUGUCAUUGAUUGUCCGGAAAAGUAAAGGCUAGGUGUGGACCAAAAGUUUUCAAAUUGUUUCUGAGAUUCCCUGUUUUAGUGCUUUGUGAAAGGUAAAAGAUGAAUGGCAAAAGUGGAGACAUGUCUAAAGUGAUUCCUAUGGACCAUGGGAGCACUCAAGCAUGCCUAGGUGACCACUUUGCAGAAUUUAAGCUAGUGGAGUGGUCCCAAAAGAAUCAAAGAUGAAAGGAGCAUCUUAUGACUAAAGUAAAGGAUCAAGGGACCACUCUUUUUCAAACUUUAGCUAGUGUUACAAGCAUAGGACUCCAUUGUGAUUCAAAUGGUGGCCAGCAGGAGGCAAGUGGGGCCAAUAUGGGGGUCGGCCGACCCCCACAUUGGAGCUCCCAGAGCAUCCAAGUGCUGGGUUGGAACCUCUAUGACUAGCAAGGUUGAAAUGUGGUGAAGUGGGCCCCAAGGUGGGGUCGGGCGACCCCCCUUUGGGAGCUCCAGCAGCUCAAAUUUUUAUGACAAGUUAUUCUCAAGAUUUUAUUUAUUAUGGCUAAACAUUUUGUCGAAAUAAGAUAUGCAAAAUUCAAAGUAAGAAAGCAAUUGAAAAGUGAAUAGUAGAAAUUGAAAUGCAGAAAAUAAAUAUGGGAUAACUACUGAUUUACCUUAUCAGCAAGGGCUCCAUGUUUUAGGUCCGUAGAGCAGGACCUCUCCAUCUUGUUCAUCCUUCGGGUGCAUCAGAUGGUCCCGGAGACGUGGACCUUGAUUGCACCUCUUUCUCCCGCCAUACUUGCUUGGUAUUGAUUUUUGGUUCAGCGGGUUCCUCUUCUUUCUUUUCGGCCCUUUUGGCCGACUUACCUCUCUUGUCCCUUCGGCGUCGGAUGUGGCGAGGCUUAGUCGGAGGUUCUUUGUCCUUCACCUGCAUGUUAGCUUUAUAACCAUUGAAUGGACAUUUUACCUUCCAUCCUGGGAAUUGGAGGUGAAUCUGGCCGGACCCCACAUAGAUGACUGCAUUGACCGUGUUGAGGAAUGGCCUUCCCAAGAUGAUCGAGACAUCAUUAUUGGAUCCCAUAUCUAGAAUGAUGAAGUCGGCAGGGACGUAGUCGUCUUGAACUUUUACCAGUAUGUCCCUUGCCAACCCCUCAGGGAACCUGAUCGUCUGAUCUGCCAUCUGCAAACGAACAAAUGUGGGGUGCAAAGGCCCCCCUAGCAAAUUAUCAUAAGUUACCUUGGCCAUGAUGUUGACACCCGAUCCAAGGUCGCAGAAGGCGUUGUGGAAGAUUUGCGGUCCGAUCUCACAGGUGAUGGUCGGCAGGCCUGGGUCGUCCUUCUUGGUGAUGAAGGGCGAAUCCAGAAGAUAGCUCCAGUUGGAUUGUACCGGAGGCUUACCGAACCUCGUAGUAACUAGUUUAACUCCUUCAAUUGGGUCCUCAGGUUUCCCUGGGAUCUUACCUUGCUCGAAGGAUGGGACAGCUGCUGCUAAUUGAGCUAAUUGUGUUUCUAGCAUUUUGUUAAAGCUCAACUGAUUUUUCAUACCAGAGUUAAAGUUAUCCAACUUUUCACUUAAGUUUUCAAGGAUCUUAUCAUUAGCCAUCAUUUUCUUGUUAAUGCUAUCAUUGAUUUUAGAUUGGCCUAAGACAAGAUCUCUAAGAGAAGGUUAGUUACCAAAAGAAUUAUUGAAAUUUUGAUUGUAACCAUUACCUUGAUUACCUUGGUAGAAGGGGCGCGAGUUCCAUUGCUGUUGUUGGGGCCGGUACCCAUUGUUGUUGUUGUUGUUGAUGAAGCUCACUUCCUCCUUUGUUUCGGGACAAUUGUUUCCCGAAUGAUCAUCUCCUCCGCACACUUCGCACCAUGAAUCAGAUUCAAUGGCCCGUGCAGUGGCGUAAGGUUGAAUGGUCUCUUGCUUGGAACUUUCUUCCAUCUUCUUCAUUAAGAGGUUCAUCUUAGCAGAGAGCAUGUCCACCUCAUUCAAGGCAUGGACACCUCUUCUCUUGGGUUGGAGGCGUUCCUCAUUCCAUCCUUGGUUUAUAACCAUCUUUUCAAUGAGGUCCUUGGCAUCCUUGACAUUGUGUUGCAAGAAUGCUCCUCCAGCGGCAGCAUCAAGGUGACUACGGGCCAAACCGGUCAGGCCAUGGUAGAAACCUUGGAUUAGGAGCCACUCCUCUAUCCCAUGAUGAGGACAGGCGCGAAUGUACUCCUGCAGACGUUCCCAUGCUUCGGGAAUCGUCUCAUCUGCUUGCUGUUGGAAGCUGGAAAUCUUUCCACGAAGGGCGCUGGUCUUGCCCAUCGGAAAGAACUUCUUGAGAAAUGCAUUGGCGCACCUCUCCCACGUGGUCACUUCACCCUUGUUGGCGUAGAACCAUUGCUUCGCCUUCCCCAAUAACGAGAAUGGGAAGAGGCGAAGACGGAUGGCGUCUGCGGCGACAUUCUUGAUGGUGAAGGUGCCGCACACCUCCAAGAAGUGUUGGAGAUGGGCAUUGGCAUCCUCGUGUGGCUUUCCACAGAAGGGAUUAGCUUGCACCAUAUUGAUAAGCGCAGGCUUCAACUCAAAAGUCGCAUCCCCCAAGUUAAGCUGCGGACCCGUGGCGACAUUGUCAGCCGACGGCGCAGAGUACUCAGAGAUGGUCUUCUGGGCCAUAGCUUCUUUGAUAACCGGUGCAGAUACUCCUUCCUCUAACGGAUUCAGGUUCGAGAUGAACCUUUGAGGUGGAACUUGACGACGUCUAGUUCUCCUCAACAGUUGCUCAGGAUCUUCAACGAAGUUUGACGGCAAUUGGAAACCGCUCAUACACUGUCAGGCUUCACAAUAAAGGAAGACAAGACAAGUGAUGGGUUAUCCCUAUCACUACUUGAUAACUAGCAAACUCUGGAUUCUCUUUUUGUUAAAACUCUUAGACAGACGUUGUCCCCGGCAACGGCGCCAGAAAUGCUUGUUGACACUUCUUAACGCAACCACCGGAUAUCGGCGACGGCGCCAGAAGUGCCCUGGUAGGGUAACUCUAUUUACUAUUGGAUAAUUCCGCAAGCGCACAGAAUGUACCGCUGUAGCACUUCACCAAGGAGUAUUCCAAGGUAUCGUAAUUUAUAUUUUCCCAAGGGAAAGCGGCUAAGUGUGUUUAACAAAAAGGGGAAUGAGAUUCCUUGAGUUGUCUAGUAUCAACUAGUGAAUAAGGGUGGUAAAUAACGAAUAGGAAGGGUAGUGGUGAAUCCAAGGUCCUAUGCUAAAGGUAAAUGGUAGAGUUAGCUAGGUGGGAGGACAACGAGUGAGUAAAGGACUCCUAUGUAUCUAACUUGACUUCUGUGACUUACUUUAAUAGAUAAUUGUCUUAACUACGCUAGAGCCUUACUAACUGUGUGCGAGGGAUAGCCGAGCUGGUAAGACGCUUAGAAGGUUUUUCACCUAACCCCUUACCGAAAGCGACUAUUGGGCUUAUGGACGCCUUACCUUUUAAGAACUAGCCUGUACGUGAGGAGAACCUAAUGCCGCCCACGAUCUGUCACCUACUAGGGAGUGCGCUCCUACUUUCCGUUCAAGCCAGCGGUAAUCAAAGGUAAUCUUAAGUAUGAGCACCACGCUCACACUUAAUCCUACAACGCUAACUAGUUGCAGCUAGCUAGAGCUCCUAUACAAGAUAGGACGAUGAUGCACACACAGGAGUGGUUACAGGUCACUAACUUCACUAAGACAACUAUAUUACUAAAGUAAAUGCACAACAAGACUAAAAGACUUGCACUAAGUAAGAACUCAGUAAAGUAAAGUAAGAAUAAUAUAUUAAUAAAAGGAAAGUCUUACAAAAGUAGAAAGGUACAAGAGCUAUACCAGACUCUCCAGAAGACGACUCCGGAGACCCCGAGCUUCGCUCGACUCGACUCUAACUCCCACUCUAGACUAACUACUACUCUACUUGUAUGCUUGGAACUUGUAAUGCACUUGGCCUUGGAAUUGCACACUUGAAAUGAAGGAUGGAGGCUGCCUUUUAUAGAGGGAGAUGGAGUAGGGGUUACUCCAUCGCCACGUCAUCGAUCCGCGUGACAUCUUCUCUCCACCCUUGGAUCAAACCGACCUCACAACCGCCAUUUGAUCAACGGCAGGGGCAAAUCAACAUGUGGGACAUGUGGGGAAGGUCGGUGGGAGGCCACCGACCCUGGAACCGCCUUUGAUGUGGGGUCGGGCGACCCCACUUCUGGGCCUCUGGGCCCACCAGCAGUGUCCACAGGGGUCCCUUAUGUCGGUGGACUAGGUGGCACACCUGGGUCCCACCAAAGAGGGGUCGGGCGACCCCCUCCCUGUGGGCCCAGGGUGUCACCUGUUGUCCCCUCGAUCUCCUCUUGAUGAUUCUGAUGUUGGCUUUGUCAAAUAAUGUCUUGAAUUUGUUGUUCCUGCAUAAACAAGCUAAGAGUACAAGUGGAACUAGUUAUGGAUAAAAUAUGUUCAUGUCAUGUCGUUUCCUCUUGCAACCGAGGCAUGUUGACGGUGUUUUGUAUGUGGAUUUCUAUGGUAUAUCCACCGUCAACAGUUGCUACAAUAGCAAGCCGUGUUGAUGGCUUCACUCCAAAAUGAAUGGCUAAAAUUGUACUCACUAAGCAUUGAUCUAGCCAUAUCAAUCAAGGUUCUAUUCUUCCUUUCAACUACACCAUUGGAUUGAGGAGUGUAUGUUGGAGAGAAUUGAUGUCCAAUGCCAAGAUCAUCACAUAAUUCCUCAAUUCUUGUGUUCUUGAAUUCACUACCAUUGUCACUUCUAAUCUUCUUGAUAGUGGUUUCAAACUCAUUUUGCACCCUCUUGACAAAAGACUUGAAUAGAUCACAAACAUCACUCUUAUCAUAGAGGAAGAACACCCAAGUGUAUCUAGUGUAGUCAUCUACUAUCACAAAUCCAUACUUGUUGCCACCAAUGCUAGUAUAUGUUGUUGGCCCAAAUAAAUCCAUGUGCAAAAGCUCAAAUGCCUUUGAUGUGCUCAUUUCACUUUUCUUAGGAUGUGCAUUUCCAACUUGCUUUCCGGCUUUACAAGCACUACAUGGUUUAUCCUUCUCAAAGGUGACAUCCUUCAAGCCUCUAACUAAGUCAUGCCUCAAUAGUUUGUUCAAUUGUUUCAUUCCAACAUGACCAAGCCUUGUAUGCCACAACCAACCCAAACUUGAUUUGCUAAUUAGGCAUGAUGUCAAUUGAGUGUCACUAUCAUUGAAAUCAACCAAGUAUAAGCUACCAUGCCUAAAUCCUUUGAAUAUCAAGUUUGAUCCAUCAACACUAACAACCUCAACAUCAUCACUUCCAAAGAUGCACUUGAAACCAAGGUCACAAAGUUGUGCAAUAGACAAGAGAUUGAAAUCAAGGCUUUCAACUAGCAACACAUUUGAUAUGCUCAUGUCAUUUGAGAUAGCAAUUUUACCAAGCCCCUUGACCUUGCCUUUCUUGUUGUUACCGAAGGUAAUUGAAUCAAAGCCACCAUUUUGACUAGUAUCAAUUGAUUUAAACAUACAAGACUCCCCGGUCAUAUGUUGAGUGCACCCACUAUCAAGCACCCAAUGCCUUCCUCCGGCUUUGAAAAUGACCUACAAGACAAGAUCAAUUCCUUUUAGGUACCCAAACUUGAUUGGGUCCUCCAAGGUUAGCAACUAAGCUCUUUGGUACACAAAUGGCUUUCUUCUUUGAGCCCAUCUAUGGUGCACCAAUGAACUUAGCAUGAAUACCUUUUGUAUCCUUGGUAAGCACAUAGAAAGAAUUAAGCUUAAUUGAGGAUACAUAAGCUUUGGGUUUCUUGUUCAUGCAUUGUUGCUCUAGUUGACCAACUUGCUUGCAAGCUUUGCAAUACCGGCCAUUUUUCUUCACAAAACUAAUCUUGUGAGGAGCAAAGGCGGCCUUGCCUUUCUUGGGGUUAUAGCCUAAUCCCUCUUUAUAGAGAGAAGCUCUUUGGCUACCCAAGCACAUAAGCAAGCGGUCCUCACCACCAUAAGCCUUGGCUAAGGUGUGAUUGAGCUCUUUCACCUCCUUCUUGAGAAUUUCAUUCUCAACUUUAAGUGUGGUCUCACAUGUGAAACCAUCACCACUCGAUGAGGAUGAUGUAGAUGAGCUACAUGAAGGGUUAGUAGAAGCAACAACAAUAGGGUUGCUUAAGAUAUCACAUGUUAUGCCUAUGUUGCAAGUUUGAGCUUUUUCAAUUUUAGUUGGCUCAUUUUCACAUUUGUUAACUAGAGAGGAAUGAGCUUCUUCAAGCUUAUUGUGAGCCUUUUGAAGCUUCUUAUGGUCUUCCUUUAGACUCUCAUAAGAUGCUCUAAGCUCAUCAAGUUCUUGUUCAAGGGUUUUCUUAUCCUUAAGCAAGGCCUUGCACUCCUUUCUAGUUUCUUUAUAAUGAUGAGUGCAAUCUUCUAGCAUAGUGAUUAGUUCAUCUUUAGUUGGUUCGUCAUCAUCACUAUCACUAUCACUAGCAUGGUCACUCUCAUCAUCGGAUGAUACCUUAGUGGCCUUAGCCAUGAAGCAUGAUGGAGUGUCGAAGAUGGAGCUCUUUUCUUGAAUGGCAAUGCUAGCAUGCGCCUUCUUCUUAGUGCUCUCAUCAUCACUUGAGGAGUCAUCACUAUCCCAAGUUGCAACAUGGGCAUCACCCUUCUUCUUGUUUGAGCCUUCCUUCUUUUCUUGCUUCUUCUUUUGCUUCUUCCUUUCCUUCUUGAUAGCAUCUUCAUCAUCACUAUCAUAAGGACACUUGGCGAUGAGAUGAUCCUUGCUAUGGCAUCUAAAGCACCUCAUGGAGUAAUCAUUCUUCUUAGAAGAGUUCUUCUUUCUUCUUGCUCGAUAGCCUUUCUUCUUCAUGAACUUGCCAAAUCUCUUGACAAGAAGAGCCAUCUCCUCAUCUUCAUCACUAUCACAAGAGCUUGCUUCUUCUUCACUUGAUGAUUCUUGCUUAGCUUUGCCCUUGGAUGUGGAGGCCUUGAAUGCCACACUCUUCUUCUUCUCAUCAUCCCUCUUUUCACCUUCCUUCUUCCUUUUCUUGACCAACUCAUCCUUCUCAUCAUCUUCUCUAUAAGCAUCAUCGGUCAUUACUUCUUGGAACACUUGUUGGAGAGUUGAUUCACUAAGUGUUGUCUUGACUAGCACGGUGAUCAAUGUGUCAAAUCUCUUGGGCAAGCUUCUCAAGAAUUUCAUAGAGAAUUGACUAUCUUUCACUUCUUCCCCAAGUGCCUUGAGCUCAUUCACGAUGACUUGCAACCGGUGAAACAUCUCCGGCACACUUUCAUCCUCUUGCAUCUUGAAGCUUGAGAACUUUUCUUGGAGGAUGUAUGCUUUGGCGGUCUUGGUUCCCUUGGUUCCCUCAAAUGUUUCUUCUAAUUUUGCCCAUGCAUCAUAAGCAAUCUCAAUAUUCUUAAUUUGCUCAAAGGUCUUGUCUUCAAGAGCUUCAUGAAGAGCACUAAUGGCAAUAUCAUUGCAUUGUAGCUUCUUCUCUUCGACCGGUGUUGGUGCAUUUUCAUUUGCAACCUCAAACUUUGUUUCGGUCACCUUCCAAACCUCUCUAUUGAUUGACUUGAGAUGAGCGGUCAUCUUGGACUUCCAAUAUGCAUAAUUGGUGUCAUCAAAGUAAGGUGCCUUCUUUGUGUUGUUGAUAUGCAAACUAAGAGCCAAUUCUUCACCGUAGGUUGUUAAGCCUCAAAUAAACGGUGCCUCGGCUCCGAUACCACUUGAAAGGUCCAAAUGGCUAGAGGGGGGGUGAAGUUAUGUUUUUCCAGAAAAUAGAAAAUCGGUUUUUAAAAAUCGGCUUUUUUUCGUGUAAAAUCGCGUGCUUCGCGGCCGGUGGGAUUCGAACCUGAGACCUUGCCCUUGCGCGUAGCCUCCUCUACCACUCAACCUAUCACUCACUUGUGUCUAUAUUAGAGUUUAGUUCCCCACAUAUUAUCCCAAACCGAGCAUAUAUUGAUUAUUUGAGGCUCUAAACGGAUUCCAACGGAAAAGUUGUCAACUACAAAGUUUCAUAACUUUUUAAGAUCUACGACUUUUAUGUUUUUUCAUCCGAAGUCAUUUACAAAAUUUGAAUUUCAAAUUUAAGAAAUUCAAACGUAGUUUUCGACGACAAGAUGAUGUCAAAUGGAAAAAUUAUCAACUACAAAGUUUCAUAACUUUUCGUGAUCUAUAACUUUCAUUUUGACAGUUUUUUCAAACAAGGUCAUUUGAAAACCUCAAAAAAUUAAAUUUCAAAUGAUUUCUACAGGCGGUUCAGUUAGGAAAACCGCCUGUAAAAAUGCAUCUUCACAGACGGUUCGUAGUUCUGACACCGCACCUUUUACACCACAGACGCGUGAUAACUACAACCGCCUGUAGUAUAAAAAAUGGGCGUCGGCGUUGUACUCUUUUCUACUAGUGUUGGAUCCAAACUGUGACGACGAUGUUGACCUUGAUGUAUGUAUUUUAUUGACUUUGAUGCAAACUCCAUGGGAUCCGGUGUUGCUGGACUCAUCGGAUCAAUGCAUGUGCGCAUCAAACGAAGUAGCAACUUGCAUACCUGAAUUGAAGCUACAACUACAUCAGAUAUGCAUGCAUCGUAGUACGUGAAUAUAUAUACAAACACCAUUAUCGUAUUUUAUGGAUCAAAACAAAAGAAAGGCAUAUAGCACUACACCAUUUAUAUCCCUAGCUGCUUAACGGCCUGUUUGAUGAGGCUAAGCUUUACCUAGCUAGUUCUAAAACUUAGCUAAAAUUAAACCUAGCGCAUUAAAAUAGUGUGACAGAAUUAUUUUUUAGCUAAAUAUAUUUAACUAGUUGUUAGUUAGUACGUGCCAUUUAAUUAAUUUAAAUUAGUUUUUAGUAUAACUAUUCAUCGAUUCCAGAGAGAUCAGACAGCAUCAGGACCGGAUCCAUAUACUUCCUCCAUACCUAUAAUACUUGACGUCAGUUUUAAGAAAAGUUGACGUUGUGGCCACUAGAGGCUUAAACGUGACGCAUUUGCCCCUGCGCCUCUUCGGCUGCCGCAACGCUUGCUGUGAUGAUUGGGUUUCGAACUCUGCACCCGCAAAUCGUGGUCACAGAGAGCUGCUCUAGCCAGUUGGGCUAGACAACUAUCUUGUGUGAAGAGCAGUCAUAACUCUAUUUAAUAGGGGUAGAGAUGGAAAAAUACCCUCUAAUUAAUCACUCCUUGGUAAGUACAAUCAUGUCCUAAACGUCAAGAAUUUCAGGAUUCAGAAAUAGAGGGAGUACAAUCUCUUUUGCUGAUAUGCAUGGUCAGCCUCACGUGAAACAAGGUACUUUGAUCUAGGAGUACAGGCCACUCGCAAAUCGAAACUUGGCUCCUGUGGCACUACGGCAUCUGAAACUAAUAAAUAGUCUCUGUUGCAUACGGUGUGCACAUGAAUGAAUGAAUGAGGCCGGGUACCCACUAGGCAAUUUUCCAGUUCUACCUUCAUAUAUCUUCCACUUGGUCAAAUUCGCACUAGUUAAUUAGGCUCGUUUUCAGCCUGUCACUAUUAAAAAGAGAAAGUGACCCUGCAAAAGAUAUAAAAAUAUCAAAGUCACAAUGUCGGCAGCAUCUAUCGAAUUAAGUGUCUAUUUACUUUGUCAGUCCCAAUGAAAAAAAGUCAUAGUAAUUUGUAUAGUUUAGGACACUACCAAGAAACUAUUCUUACCGGUAUAAAUUUUUUUACUACAGUCUAGAUAUAAAUUUUCUCAGUCAUCGAACGUGUUCCUCUCUUCCAUAUGUGGAUCCUGUGUGCAGUUGCCUUUUCUUUUAAUUCUCUUCCGUUUCUUGUUACACAUACACAAGAAUGUUCAACCAAUUAGAAAACAUUAAUCACUAAACUGAAAAGUUAGAUGGGACUACACAAAGAAGAACAUAACAAAAAUAAAAAAAACACUGAAGUGCUUGACAAAUGUAAUUUGAGCAGCUAGCGAUACGCACAAAUCAAAAUAGCUGAAUGCAACACCUGAUCACGGCACGUUGCAGCGAACCGAGCGCCGAGGCCCUUGCCGGCCGGCACUGCACCUGCUGCCUCGGUAAGGAUGGGGACGGUGCUCUAAACGGAUACCUGCGGAUCUUCUCUAGUGUAACUGAAUGAAGUAAAUAAAAAAAUGAGAAAAAAAUUGUCUAUUUAGUUCAUAAAUUACACUAGAGAAGAACCGCGGAUAUCCAUUUGUAGGGCCACCCCCUCCUUACGCCUCGGGCUCCAGUGAGGCCGGCUCCACUGCUGGCGCAGGAGGUGAAGGCAAAGGAGGUGACCGGCUCCAAACAUGAACUUACGAGGGCCAUCAACGAGAGCUGCAAGCGAGGAGUAGCGGCGAUGCGAACGAAGGCCAUCAACGAGCACAUGCAACUAGAGCAUGAGAUCUGGACCGAUAAGGAAGGAAACCAUCAGUUUCUUCCCAACACGAUUUGCGUCGUUUCCUCAUGCAUGGAUACCUGAGAAGACUUCGUUUUCUAUCAAGAAAACAGUUUCUCUGUUUUCUCUUUUCCCUCUAUAAUAAAUCUACUGUCAUAUCAACAAUUUGUGCAGUUGGCAAAGUAACUAAUAGAGAUAAAAGCUAUCAUAAAUACUCCAUUGAGACAGCCCUAAAAUUGCAAUAUGAUUUUUUUCAGGCUGUACAAGUUUUUGGCACUCUCCUAUAUUACUACACAUAAUUUUUUGAUGUAAAGUUGAUGUUAUUACUUUUGUAUUUGAAAUAGUUAUUUAUAAUUUGAUUUUGUAAAAUAACUGUAUAUAUAGAGGAUAUUUUUGCAAUAGUUUGGCAAUAAAUGAAUUGGAUAUUUCCAAGAGGAUAUCUCCAAGAGUUUGUCAAGAGGAUAUUUUUGCAAUAGUUUGACUAAGCUAAGGGAGCAUAUGCAUGCAUGUAGUAAACUGUGCUCAUGUUGCACAUAGAUUCAAGUGGCCGGCCUGGUAACGUGGCCUCGAAAAAGGGAAACCAGAGGACUGUUGCCCGUAUUCCCAACUCAACUCGAAGGAAAAAAAAUAAUUAAGCAAGCAUGCAGCAUCCAUGCACGUUAAUUUAAAUAACAAAGGUCAAUGCUUCACAUAUGCAUCAGUAUGUAGCUGAGUCAUGCAUGCCUGCUUUGCUGGCGAGUGUACUAUACCCAACAAUGUGUAUUGUUAAAGGUUUUUGCUGCCUAUAAAUAGCUUGGGCCACCCAAAGCUUCAUCAUCCUCCGAUCCAUCCAUCUCUCGCCCAUAUCUAGUCUAGAUACUAAUAGCUUAGAAGCUAGCCCCACAUCUCGGUCGAUCAUAUCUCAACAAUGGCUUCUCGUGCCGCCACGCUGAAGAUGGCCACUGCAACUGCCCUUGUCCUGCUGGUCCUGCUAUGCAUGGCGACCUCACCUGUGACUGCCUGUACCACCACCUGUCAAUUCGCCUGUGGUACCUUUGCUAUACAAGUCUGCGGUACUUGUUCCACUACCACGACAUGCAUCACUGAGGCUGAAAAGGUGUGUAUCAAGACCUGCACCGAAACCUGGUGCGGUAAGGUAUUCCUGCCAUGCCUCUAAGAAUAUGCAUGCAUGGAUUCGGAUCGGAUGGCUUAAUCGAUCUAUUCCGACUUCCUCGCUAGCGCAUGGUUGUUGUUGCAGAGAAUAAAGGUGAGUGCAUGCAAGGAGGCAGCCCUCUCCCCGUGUGGUAUGUGGGGGAGGGCUUGCAUGCAUGCAUGAUGAUCCACGUUACAUUUUCCAUUUAUAUUCUAGUUAUAUUAUCUUAUUAUCAUCGCAUAUUUCUGCCGCGGGCAUGAUGCAUGGCGCGUACAAUAAGACGACGUCCUACUAGCGUAGGAGUAUUGUAAACCUCUCUCCAUGCAUGUAUAAAUGGAAGGAGGAUUAAUAAUUAAUAUAGUGCGUGCCCAUCUUAUGCCGUUGUGCAUGUCAACAUGUAAUUCCUCUCAGGUUCUACCAGGGGCUUGUGGGAUAUAUACGAUCAUGGUAUUAUCAUUAUAUGUAAUUUAUGAACUUCCCUAUUAUGAUGAUAUAAUAUUGUCCAGAUUAACAAGGCAGCUAGCUUC
rnacentral:lncRNA from 1 species